GCGAGGACUGCCGUUACCUCCAUCGCGUCCCCAACGGCCACCACGAACCCAACCAGACUGUCACCAAGAAGAUGAGCAGCCUGGACCUAGGCGGCGACGAGGCUCAACCACGGACGCCCGUGUCUGCCACUGCACCAGCUACCGUCAAGACCCGGCUCUGCAAGAACCACGGCGCGCCGGACGGGUGCAAGUGGGGGGACAGGUGCCACUUCGCGCACGGCGACGGCGAGCUCGGCAAGCCCAUGGGUCCCGGGAGCAGCUUCAAGACCAGGCUGUGCGUGAGCUUCGUCGCCGGCGGGUCAUGCGCCUUCGCCGGCAGGUGCCACUUCGCCCAUGGCAAGGAGGAGCUGCGCAGGCCAGACGCGUCUUGACCCUUGAGAGCCUAACAUCAAAACGUUCCUGCUCUUUCUCAUGGUGUUUGUGAUGAUCGCUUGUCGACUGUUUCUCAGAAAUGCCUAAACAGAAGCUCUGCAUCUCCUGUCGUUAGACAGGCCCAUAAGUUUUUUGCCUAUUCCUGCCGUAUCCAAUGGUUUACCAGUUCAGUGGAGGAAUGAUCUAAAGGCAAGACUAAAAAUGGAGUUGAAAGAAGUCAAUUGUUGUCAAAAUUACAGACUAUGGAUAUGAAUUUUCGUUCAGCUAGAAGCAAACCUUUAUCCUUUUCUUUACCAGCACAAGCAUAUUACGGUGAGCAUUAUACAAGUCCGAUCCAAGAACAUUAUUUAAGUCGACUGAUCUAAAGAACUACAGUAGCAUUUCUAUUGAACUUACAUUUCUAAUGCUCUCUUUCCUGUCCCGGAGGAAUCUCGUCUCCUCAAGGUAUGAACUAGCACAAGCGGUGCUACGGGCCUACGGCACACCUUGUUCUACAAUGGAUACGUUAGUCAGGUGAUACCUCUACACAUACAAACACAGGGUAGACCGCGGCGCAAGGCAUUUAAGCAGGCCUGAUCACUCCUGAUCUAUGAAUAGACGCUUGCGUUUGGAGCUUCUGUCCUCCUCGGGUGUCUCAGCAACAACCAUCUGCUCCUGAAGAACCAAACCUCGGUUCCGGCAAAGUUUCCUUAUCGGUGUUCGUUGCGCACAUGGCUCCAGCUGUUCUCGCUCUUCAGCAGAGAGGCUGUGCGCGGUCCUGUGCGGCAUCAGUUCUUCCCCUUCAGCAACGACUUCUUUCAUGAGCUAACAACAGGUAAAACACACAGGAAAGGUCAGAUUAUUUGAGAGAUUAAAAUCUCCUACGGCAUCUGAUGAAUUCUCAUAUUGUAUGUUUUUAUCUUGCCCGCAAAGGGGGAGUGGAAAGAAAAAAUGAGUAAAAUGAGUAACUGGUUAAACAAGUAUAGGAGCCAAUUCAGAGGAAGAUGCAAACAGAGUCAUUUCUUCCUAAGUUGGGGUCAAGAUGAUUUCUGUUGCCAACUAAAUAAAGGAUGCUAAGCUGAUGGAUCAAAGACNNNNNNNNNNNNNNNNNNNNNNNNNNNNNNNNNNNNNNNNNNNNNNNNNNNNNNNNNNNNNNNNNNNNNNNNNNNNNNNNNNNNNNNNNNNNNNNNNNNNAAUUAUGAUAGUUUCUCCUUGAUUGAAUGCAUUUCUUUGAUGCAAUCCAUGUUGAACUCUCCACAUGCUUAUAGCCAAAACAAAGCCUUUACCGAUCAUAUCGUCGAAGCUAUGAUAAAAGCUCUUGCAGAGAAACUUGAAUUGGAAGUCUCUAUCCCUAGAAAGCUUCAUGAUGAGUGGGAACCUACCAUCAAAAUCAAAAUCAAAAACUAUGAGUGCAAUGCUUUGUGUGAUUUGGGUGCUAGUGUUUGUGCGAUUCCAAAGUCUUUAUGUGAUGUUCUGGGUUUUAAUGAGAUUGAAGAGUGUUCUCUUAAUUUGCAUAUUGCUAAUUCUACUAUCAAGAAACCCAUGGGAAGGAUCAAUGAUGUUCUUAUUAUUGCAAACAGGAACUAUGUACCCGUGGAUUUCAUUGUGCUUGACAUUGAUUGCAAUCCUACAUGCCCUAUUAUUCUUGGUAGACCUUUCCUAAGGACUAUCGGUGCUAUCAUCGAUAUGAAGGAAGGGAAUAUUAGAUUUCAAUUUCCUUUAAGGAAGGGCAUGGAACACUUUCCUAGAAAGAAAAUAAGAUUGCCUUAUGAAUCCAUGAUGAGGGCUACUUAUGAUUUGAGCACCAAAGACGACGAUACGUGAUUCUAUCCUUCUAUGCCUAGCUAAGGGCGUUAAACAAUAGCGCUUGUUGGGAGGCAACCCAAUGAAUUUAUCUUUUUCUUUCUGUUUUGUUGCGUCCACGCUUUCAAAAUUCUGUUUUGAUUCUGUUUUGAUUGUGUUUUUUGUGUUUCUUUUUGUGUUUGAGCCAAGCAAAACCUUUAUGACUAGUCUUGGUAAUGGUUGUUUGAUCCUGCUGGAAAAAGACAGAAACUUUUCGCUCACGAGAUGAUGUUUCAUUUUUAUUUAGAAAGAGCUUUUGAGUUGAUUCUUUUUGUUGAUGAUUGAUAUGCUUUUUCCCCAGAACGUCAAAAAAUUUCAGAUUUUUGGAGGUACCAGAAGUAUACGAAGUAUACAUAUUGCUACAGACUGGUCUGUUUUUGACUGAUUAUGUUUUUGUUGAGUUGGUUGCUUUUUUUGAUGAAACUAUGGUUAGUAUCGGAGGUACUAGCCAUGGGAAAGUGAGAAUACAAUAUCCCAUCAUCAAUAUAGAUGGAAUUAAAGUUUUCUACAGUACCAAAGGAAGUGGUAGUUUGUUUUCUUGUACUAAUGUUAUCACAAGUUUCUGUUUAAGUUUUGUGUUGUGAAGUUUUCAAGUUUUGGGUGACGUUCCCAUGGACAAAGAGAUAAGGAGUGGAAAGAUAUCAAUCCUGGGGAUGGCCAAGGCCCCCCAAGCCAAAUUCAAGGACACCAAAAAUCCUAAGCUUGGGGAUCCCCGGGAAGGCAUCCCCUCUUUCGUCUUCAAUCCAUCGGUAACAUUACUUGGAGCUAUAUUUUUAUUCACCAGAUGAUAUGUGUUUUGCUUGGAGCGUCUUGUAUCAUAGGAGUCUUUUCUUUUUCUUGUGUCACAAUCAUCCUUGCUGCACACCUUUUUGAGAGAGAGAGACAUGCACUCAUCGUGAUUUUGCUAGAAUGCUCAUAGUGCUUCACUUAUAUNNNNNNNNNNNNNNNNNNNNNNNNNNNNNNNNNNNNNNNNNNNNNNNNNNNNNNNNNNNNNNNNNNNNNNNNNNNNNNNNNNNNNNNNNNNNNNNNNNNNNNNNNNNNNNNNNNNNNNNNNNNNNNNNNNNNNNNNNNNNNNNNNNNNNNNNNNNNNNNNNNNNNNNNNNNNNNNNNNNNNNNNNNNNNNNNNNNNNNNNNNNNNNNNNNNNNNNNNNNNNNNNNNUGCUUCACUUAUAUCUUCUGAGCUAGAUAUUUUUACUCUUGUGCUUCACUUAUAUCUUUAGAGCACGGCGGUGCGUGAUUUGGUAGUUGGCUUAUGCUAUGAAAGUAGUCCCAUGUGCUAGGUACCCAAAGAGGAUGCAAAAACCUCCAUCUUCAUGUGCAUUGAGUAGAAAGAAAAGUUUUGAUUCCUCUCAAUUAGUUUUGAGACGUGGAUUCGGUAAUAUUAGAAGUUAUGUUAGUAGGGUUUUGUGAAUCUAGAGAUACUUGUGUUGGAGUUAGUGAUUCCCGUAGCAUGCACGUAUGGUGAACCGCUAUGUUAGGAAGUCGGAGCAUAAUCGAUCUAUUGAUUGUCAUCCUUUGUGUUGAGGUCGGGAUCGCGCGAUGGUUUACACCUACCAACCCUUCCCCUCGGAGUAUGCAUUUAGCACUUUGUUUCGAUUACUAAUAAAAACUUUUGCAACAAGUAUGUGAGUUCUUUAUGACUAAUAUUGAGCCCAUGGUAUAGAUGCACUUUCACCUUCCACCAUUGCUAGCUUCUCUAGCGCCGCGCAAUUCUCGCCGGUGCACAAACCCACCAAAUUCCUUCCUCAAAACAGCCACCAUACCUACCUACUAUGGCAUUUUCAUAGCCAUUCCGAGAUAUAUUUCCAUGAAACUCCCCCCAUUCCGUCUCAUGACUUGUGCCGUCACUCUCAUAUUGCCAUUGCAUGAUCAUACUAGAUCGUUGCACAUCCCGGUACACUGCCGGAGGCAUUUCCUAUGGAGUCAUCAUCAUUGUGAUCUUUGAGCUUUGAGUAACUAAAAAGUGUGAUGAUCAUCAUUAUUAGAGCAUUGUCCCAUGUGAGGAAAUAAAAAAAGAGGCAAAAGAGCCCAAAAACAAAAAAAAAGAGAAAAAAAGAGGCCUAAGAGCCCAAAUAAAAAAAUGUGAGAUAAGAGAGAAGGGACAAUGUUACUAUCUUUUUCCACACUUGUGCUUGAUGGGCUUCCUUAAAAUUGCCCUAGGGCUUCGUGAGCAAGCAAGUUGGAUGCACACCCACUAGUUUUCCUCUUGAGCUUUCACAUACUUAUAGCUCUAGUGCAUCUCUUGUAUGGAAAUCCCUAGUCAUUCACAUUGAUAUCUAUUAAUGGGCAUCUCCAUAGCCUAUUGAUACGCCGAGUCAGUGUGAUCAUCUCCUCAUUUUUUGUCUCACAACCACCACCACACUCUAUUCCACCUAUAGUGCUAUAUCCAUGGCUCGCGCUCAUGUAUUGCGUGAUAGUUAUAAAAAGUUUGAGAAAGUAAGAGUGCGAAAACAAUUACUUGGCCAAUUUUGGGGUUGUGCAUGAUUUACAUUAGUUGUGUGAGGAUGAUGGAGCAUAGCCAAACUAUAUGAUUUUGUAGGGAUAACUUUCUUUGGCCUUGUUAUUUAAAAAUUUCAUGAUUACUUUGCUAGUUUGCUUGAAGUAUUAUUGUUUCCAUGUCAAUAGCAAACUAUUGUUUUGAAUCGUACGGAUCUGAACAUUCAUGCCACGUGAAAGAAGUUGCAAAGGACACCUAUGCUAGGUAGCAUUCCACAUCAAAAAUUCAUUCUUUUUCACUUCCCUACUCGAGGACGAGCAGGAGUUAAGCUUGGGGGAUGCUUGAUACGUCUCCAACGUAUCUAUAAUUUUUGAUGGUUUCAUGCUAUUAUCUUGUCAAACUUUGGAUGUUUUGCAUGCCUUUUAUUUAUUUUCUGGGACUAACUUAUUAAUUCAGUGCCAAGUGCCAGUUCCUGUUUUUUCCAUGUUUUUGACCCCUUUNNNNNNNNNNNNNNNNNNNNNNNNNNNNNNNNNNNNNNNNNNNNNNNNNNNNNNNNNNNNNNNNNNNNNNNNNNNNNNNNNNNNNNNNNNNNNNNNNNNNNNNNNNNNNNNNNNNNNNNNNNNNNNNNNNNNNNNNNNNNNNNNNNNNNNNNNNNNNNNNNNNNNNNNNNNNNNNNNNNNNNNNNNNNNNNNNNNNNNNNNNNNNNNNNNNNNNNNNNNNNNNNNNNNNNNNNNNNNNNNNNNNNNNNNNNNNNNNNNNNNNNNNNNNNNNNNNNNNNNNNNNNNNNNNNNNNNNNNNNNNNNNNNNNNNNNNNNNNNNNNNNNNNNNNNNNNNNNNNNNNNNNNNNNNNNNNNNNNNNNNNNNNNNNNNNNNNNNNNNNNNNNNNNNNNNNNNNNNNNNNNNNNNNNNNNNNNNNNNNNNNNNNNNNNNNNNNNNNNNNNNNNNNNNNNNNNNNNNNNNNNNNNNNNNNNNNNNNNNNNNNNNNNNNNNNNNNNNNNNNNNNNNNNNNNNNNNNNNNNNNNNNNNNNNNNNNNNNNNNNNNNNNNNNNNNNNNNNNNNNNNNNNNNNNNNNNNNNNNNNNNNNNNNNNNNNNNNNNNNNNNNNNNNNNACUAUGGCCCCCAGGGUCUACUCCACACCUUAUUUUUAGCCUUACACUUUUUACUUCGUUGCACUUUCCGCCUUCAGAUCUCACUUUGCAAACAAUCUUGAAGGGAUUUACAACCCCUUUGAAGCCUUGGGUGCAAGCUUGUUUGUGUUUGCGCAGGUACUCUGGACUUGACGAGACCCUCCUUCUGGAUCGAUACCUUGGUUCUCAAACUGAGAAAAAUACUUACUGCUCCUGUGUUGCAUCACCCUUUCCUCUUCAAGGGAAAAACCAACGCAAGCCCAAUCUCCGUCAACGUGUCAAUUUCUGGCGCUGUUGUUUGAGAAGUAGCAUGGCACUAAGUGAAUUACUUGAUGCUUAUAUUGCUAGAGCUAGUGAACUUGAAAAUGCUGAAACUGAUGAAGAUUUUGAAUCACCUUAUACACCUCGUCCCCCUAAUAGAUAUGAAUUUCCUUAUGUACUUUAAGGUUAUGUUAUGGAUGAAGAGGUAGUUAGGGACUUUCUUGCUUGUAAGGAUAGAGAUGAUUUGAGAAAAUUACUAUGCAAACUGAAAGAAAAAUCUAUGAUGGAGAAAAUGAAACAUGAUCCUAGAUUUGCUACUUCUCCUAUAUUUGUCAAUGAUAAGGACUAUGAAUUUUCUAUAGACCCUGAAUUAAUUCCUAUAUUAGAGUAUGAUCCUUUCCAUGGUUACGAAAAUGAAAUUGUGGUUGAACACCUUAUGAAACUGAAUUAUAUUGUUGCUUUGUUCACCAAUGAUGAAAAGAUACGCUCCUAUUGUAUCCUUAAGAUUUUUCCUUUCUCGCUGAAAGGUGAGGCCAAGGAAUGGCUUCUUUCUCUUGCUCCUGGUUGUAUGUGUAGUCCCUAGGAUAUGCUUAAUUACUUAUCUCGAAAAUAUUUUCAUGCCCAUAAGAAACAAGAUGCUUUAUAGGAAAUAUUUAACUUUGUGCAAAUUGAAGAAGAUAAUCUCCCUCAAGCUUGGGGGAGGCUUCUUGAGCUACUUAGAGCUUUGCCUGGUUAUCCUCUUGAGAAGAAUGAAAUUCUUGACAUAUUUUAUAAUGGACUAACCGAUGCUUCUAGGCACUUCGAUAGUUGUGUUGGUUGUGUUUUCAGGGAAAGAACAGUUGCACAAGCAGAAGAGUUACUAAAUAGUAUAUUGCAAAAUGUUGAUGAUUGGACACUUCCUGAACCACCACCGGAACCUAUUCAAAAGAAGAGGUAUUCUAUUUCUUAUCCCUGAAGAUAUGCAAGAAGCAAAAAGAUCUAUGAAGGAGAAAGGUGAAAGGACGUGGAUGUCGCCUAGAGGGGUGGUGCAUAGGCGCUUUAAAAUAAUUACGGUUUAGGCUUGAACAAAUGCGGAAUAAAACUAACAUUUAAUUUGUCAAGCACAAAAACUAAAACAACUAGGCUCAACUAUGUGCACCAACAACUUAUGCUAAGCAAGAUAAACAACUAAGUGAUAGCAAGAUAUAUGACAUGAAACAAUAUGGCGACCACAAAGUAAAGUGCACAAGUAAAGGGUUAGGGUAAGAGAUAACCGAGGCACGCGGAGACGAUGAUGUAUCCCGAAGUUCACACCCUUGCGGAUGCUAAUCUCCGUUGGAGCGGUGUGUAGGCACAAUGCUCCCCAAGAUGCACUAAGGCCACCGUAAUCUCCUCACGCCCUCGCACAAUGCAAGAUGUCGUGAUUCCACUAAGGGACCCUUGAGGGUGGUCAUCGAACCCAUACAAACAAGGUUGGGGCAAUCUCCACAACUUAAUUGGAGGCUUCAAACAACACCAUGAAGCUUCACCACAAUGGCAUAUGGCUUCGAGGUGACCACAAAUGCUCAGGGCAAUCUGCACAACUUAAUUGGAUACCCCGACGCUUGCCUGGAGCUUUACACCAUAAUGAUUGAGCUCUGAAGCACCACCAAGCUUCUAGGGGUACCAAGUACCCAAAGGUAAUAAGCUUCUCACUUCCACGUAUCACCGUGGAGAACUCAAACCGAUGCACCAAAUGCAAUGGAAAGGGCACACGAAGUGCCCAAGUCCUUCUCUCUCAAAUCCCACCAAAGCGACUAAUGCUAGGGAGGAAAAUGAGAGGAAGAACGAAGAAGAACACGAAGAACUCCAAGAUCUAAACCCAAGGUGUUCCCCUCACUUAGAGGAGAAAGUGACUGGUGGAAAUGUGGAUCUAGAUAUCCUCUCUAUUUUUCCUCAAGAACUAGCAAGAAUCAUUGGAGGUAUUGAGAGUUAGCAAGCUCGAAGAAGGUCAACAAUGGGGGAAGAACACGAGCUGAAGAGAUAAGGUUCAAUGGGGAAGAGGACCCCCUUUUAUAGGUCUGGAAAAAUCCAACCGUUAUGCUCCACAACCCGCAUAGAGAGGUACUACCGCUCAUGGGAGCGGUACUACCGCUUGGUAGGUUCACCAACCAUGCUGAGGCCAAAAAGGAUGCGCAAAUAAAGUCCAACGGAGCGGUACUACCGCUCACACGAGGAGCGGUAGUACUGUUGGAUACUGAAACUGCUCUAACUUUCGCAUACGAACUCCGAAUCGAGCAAACUCAAGCUUGUUGAAUUCACAACGACAAGAGCUAUCCAACAGUGACAUAAAAUCUUAAGAACAUGUAGUUAGAAAAUGCCAAUGAUAUAGAGAAGUGAGACCUCUAGGAAUGAAGAACCGACAAAAACUUCCAACAUCGAAAACAUCAUAGAAGAUGCAUAUGGAAUCCGUUUUCGAUGAACUCAAGCUUGUCAUGAAUAUGACCAUAAGCUCUAAAACUCACAAAGAGAAACACCAAAUAAGAACCAAGAAAUAUUAUGCAAGGAUGCAAAUGGUUUGAGCUCUCAACGAAUGAUACGAUCAAGCUACUCACUUUAGAGCCCCCCUUGACAGUACGACAAUCUAUCCUAAAAUAGAAAACCUAUCAAGGGCAAACCUAUACCUUACACCUAGUCCUCUUGAGCUAGAUGAUGAUGAUCUUGGCUUCCUCAAGAUGGACCACAUUUCUUGAUUGCCUUUGUUUGGCGAAUACUAGUUGAUUGCCCCCCCAUACUCACUAUGGGGAGCCACUCUUCAAGACAUCUCCACAAGUCCAUUGCCACCACAAUGGACGACAAGCUUCAAGCAUGAUAUCUUUGUGAUGCUCCACUUGAACUUGCACAUCGCAAUCUUGAUGACGAUCACCACUUGAUCUCAUCCUUCAUAGGUUGAAUGAGAUCUUCCUCUUGACGUGAACCCAUGGAGACACACCCAACCCCACAUAGAACUCUCACAAGGACCAUGGGUUAGUACACAAAAGCGUUAUGGACAAUGCUUACCAUACCAUGGGAUCACUUGAUCCCUCUCGGUACAUCUUGUACACUUUGUGUGUUGAUCAUCUUGAUUUACUCUUUGCUUAGUCUUGAUCAACCUUGUGUCUUUAUGACCAGUCUUUGGAUAAUACCUUGAAUACCACCUUGGUCAUCAUAUAAACUCCUUGACACCAACAAAUGGACUUCAAGAAGUGCCUAUGGACAAAUCCUUUGAAUAUAACUUAAGGCAACCAUUAGUCCAUAGAGAUUAUCAUCAAUUAACAAAAACACAUAUGGAGAAUUCUAACAAAAGGUAUUAAAAUUGAGGAUUUCAAGAAAUUACCACCAAUUUAAGAAAUACAUGGACUCGAUACCCCGACACAGGUAGUAGAGGUAAACUCUCUUUGCUCCUUUACUGAAAAUGAUAUACCUUAUGCUAAGACUCCUCAUCAGUACAUGGAUGAAUUUGAUAAUUAUAUUGUUAAACAAGAACACUUCAACAACUAUGUUAAGGAUCAAUUGAAUAAUAAUGCCAUGAUGAUAGACCGCUUAAGUGACUUGAUGUUUAGAAUUGCUAAUGAUGUGAAAGGUCUAGGUAAACAUGUAUGUAUGGUUCACACUCAACUAGAUGAAGUAUCUAAGUCACAAAAUGAUUUGCUUGCUGAGAUGAAUAAUAUUAAUGAUCAUGCCAUUAGAGUAGUAACUAGAGGAGGUAGUGUUGGGGAACGUUGCAUGGGAAACAAAAAUUUCCUACGCACACGCAAUACCUAUCCAUGGUGAUGAUCAUCUAUGAGAGGGGAGAGUGAAUCUACAUAUCCUUGUAGAUCGCUAAGCAGAAGCGUUAAUAAACGUGGUUGAUGUAGUGGUACCUCUUCGCGAUCCGUCCCACGAACCGUCCCACGAUCCGUCCCGAUCAAGUGCCGAACGGACGACACCUCCGCGUUCCGCACACGUACAGCUCGAUGACGAUCUCCGCCUUCUUGAUCUAGCAAGAGAGACGGGGAUGUAGAUGAGUUCCCCGGCAACUUGAGGGCGCUCCGAUGGUGGUGGUGAUCUAUUCCUGCACGGUUCCACCCGAGCUCCGCAGAAAUCUGAUCUAGAGGAAGAACUACGAAGUAGAGGAUUAGGGUUGCACGUGGCAAAGUUGUGUCUCAAAAAGCCCUAAACCUCUAGUAUAUACAGGAGGAGGAUGCUACCUCUUGAGCUUGCGUUUGUUUUUCCCUUGAAGAGGAAAGGGUGAUGCAGCACAGUAGCAGUAAGUAUUUCCCUCAGUUUGAGAACCAAGGUAUCAAUCCAGUAGGAGUAUCAAGAUGAGGCACCAAUGUACCUGCGCAAAAACAAACAAACUUGCACCCAAUGCUAUAAAGAGGUUGUCAAUUCCUUCACGAUUAUUUGCAAGGUGAGAUCUAAAGGUAAAAAGUGCAACAAAGUAAUUUUGUGGAACUGAAAAUAGGAUGUGAACUAGACCCGGGGGCCAUAGUGUUCACUAGAGGCUUCUCUCAUGAUAGCAAGUAUUACGGUUGGUGAACGAAUUACUGUCAAGCAAUUGAUAGAAUCGCGCAAAGUCAUGAUGAUAUCUAAGACAAUGAUCAUACAUAUAGGCAUCACGUCCGAGACAAGUAGAUCGAUACUUUCUGCAUCUACUACUAUUACUGCACACAUCGACCGCUAUNNNNNNNNNNNNNNNNNNNNNNNNNNNNNNNNNNNNNNNNNNNNNNNNNNNNNNNNNNNNNNNNNNNNNNNNNNNNNNNNNNNNNNNNNNNNNNNNNNNNNNNNNNNNNNNNNNNNNNNNNNNNNNNNNNNNNNNNNNNNNNUUACUCCACACAUCGACUGCUAUCUAGCAUGCAUCUAGUGUAUUGAGUUCAUAACAAACAGAGUAACGCCUUAAGCAAGAUGACAUGAUGUAGAGGGAUAGAUUCAUGCCAUAGAUAUAAACCCCAUCUUUUUACCCUUGAUGGCAACAACAUGAUGCGUGCCUUGCUACCCCUUCUACCACUGGGUGAGGACACCGCACGGUAUGAACCCAAAACCAAGCACUUCUCCCAUUGCAAGAAUUGUAGAUCAAGUUGGCCAAACGAAACCCACAACUCGAAGAGAAUUACAAGAAUAUGAAAUCAUGCAUAUAAGANNNNNNNNNNNNNNNNNNNNNNNNNNNNNNNNNNNNNNNNNNNNNNNNNNNNNNNNNNNNNNNNNNNNNNNNNNNNNNNNNNNNNNNNNNNNNNNNNNNNNNNNNNNNNNNNNNNNNNNNNNNNNNNNNNNNNNNNNNNNNNNNNNNNNNNNNNNNNNNNNNNNNNNNNNNNNNNNNNNNNNNNNNNNNNNNNNNNNNNNNNNNNNNNNNNNNNNNNNNNNNNNNNNNNNNNNNNNNNNNNNCAAAAGAAGGUUACAUCAGAUAGAUCUCCAUGAAGAUCAUGGAGAACUUUGUUCUGAAGAUCCAAGAGAGAGAAGAAGCCAUCUAGCUACUAGCUAUGGACCCGAAGGUCUGUGGUGAACUACUCACGCAUCAUCGAAGAGGCAAUGGUGUUGAUGAAGAAGCCCUCCGUGUUCGAAUCCCCCUUCGGCAGGGCACCAGAACGGUCCCCAGAUGGGAUCUUGCGGAGACAGAAGCUUGCGGCGGCGGAAAAGUAUUUUUGUGGCUCUCUCUGGUGGUUCUGGAUUUUUAGGGAAUUUAUAGGCGAAAUAAGUAGGGCAAAGGAGCCACGUGGGGCCCACAAGCCUGCUAGGCGCGCCCCAGACCGCGGCUAGGGGGCUUGUGACCUCCCCCGGAGUCCUUUGCCUUGGUUCUCAAGUUCCCUUCGUAUUUUCUGUUAUGGAAAAAAUCAUUUCACAGGUUUUAUUCUGUUUGGACUCCAUUUAAUAUUCCUCUCUGAAAAAGGUCAAAACACGGAAAAAAAACCAGAAACUGGCACUUGGCACUGAGUUAAUAGGUUAGUCCCAAAAAGAUAUAAAAUAGCAUAUUCAUGCAUACAAAACAUCCAAAGUUGACAAGAUAAUAGAAUGGAACCAUAAAAAUUUAUAGAUACGUUGGAGACGUAUCAAGCAUCCCCAAGCUUAACUCCUGCUCGUCCUCGAGUAGGGAAGUGAUAAAGAGAUAUUUUUUGAUGGGGAAUGCUACCUAACAUAUUUUUCCUUCGUAACUUCUUUCUUGUGGCAUGAAUGUUCAGAUCCGUAAGAUUCAAAACAAUAGUUUACUAUUGACAUGAAAACAAUAGUACUUCAAGCAUACUAGCAAAGUGAUCAUGAAUUUUUGAAAUAACAAGGCCAAAGAAAGUUAUCCCUACAAAAUCAUAUAGUCUGGCUAUGCUCCAUCAUCCCCACACAACGAAUUUAAAUCAUGCACAACCCCGAUAUUGGCCAAGUAAUUGUUUUCGCACUCUUACUUUCUCAAACUUUUUCAGCUCUCACGCAAUACAUGAGCAUGAACCAUGGAUAUAACACUAUAGGUGGAAUAGAGUGUGGUGGAGGUUGUGAGGCAAAAAGGAGGAGAUGGUCACAUUGACAUGGCAUAUGAGCGGGCUAUGGAGAUGCCCAUCAAUAUAUAUCAAUGUGAAUGAGUAGGGGUUACCAUGCAACGGAUGCACUAGAGCUAUAAGUGUGUGAAAGCUCAAAAGGAGAACUAGUGGGUGUGCACCCAACUUGCUUGCUCACGAAGACCUAGGGAAAUUUUGAGGAAGCACAUCAUUGGAAUAUACAAGCCAAGUUAUAUAAUGAAAAUUCCCACUAGUAUAUGGAGGUGACAAAACUAGAGACUCUCAAUCAUGAAGAACAUGGUGCUAUUUUGAAGCACAAGUGUGGAAAAAGAUAGUAGCAUUGUCCCUUCUCUCUUUUUCUCUCAAAAUUUUUUGUUUGGGCUCUUCGGCCUCUUUUUUUAUGUUUUUGGUGGGCAUCUUUGGACUUUUUUAUUUUCUCACAUGGGACAAUGCUCUAAUAAUGAUGAUCAUCACACUUUUAUUUACUUACAACUCAAUGCUUCGAACAAUGAUGACUCUUUAGGAAAUGCCCCUGGCAGUGUACCGGGAUGUGCAACGAUCUAGCUUAGCGUAUGACGUUGAAACAUGUUGCUAGCUAUCUUACGAUCAUGCAAUGGCAAUAUGAAAGUGAUGGCUCAUGUCAUGAGACGGAACGGUGGGAGUUGCAUGGCAAUAUAUCUCAGAAUGGCUAUGAAAAUGCCAUAAUAGGUAGGUGGUUGUUUUGAGGAAGGUAUAUGGUGGGUUUGUGCACCGGCGAAAGUUGCGCGACACUAGAGAGGCUAGGAAUGGUGGAAGGUGAAAGUGCAUCUAUACCAUGGACUCACAUUAGUCAUGAAGAACUCAUAUACUUAUUGCGAAAGUUUUAUUAGUAAUCGAAACAAAGUGCUAAACGCAUACUCCUAGGGGAAGGGUUGGUAGGUAUUAACCAUCGCGCGAUCCCGACUGCCACACAAAGGAUGACAAUCAAUAAAUCAAUUAUGCUCCGACUUCCUAACAUAGCGGUUCACCAUACGUGCAUGCUACGGGAAUCACUAACCUCAACACAAGUAUUUCUAGAUUCACAACACCCUACUAACAUAACUCUAACAUUACCAUAUCCAUAUCUCAAAACUAAUUGAGAGGAAUCAAAAUUCUCUUUACUAAUCAAUGCACUUGAAUAUGGAAGUUUUUAUUGUAUCCUCUUUGGAUGCCUAUCAUCUUUAGGACUACUUUCAUAGCACACGCGAAUUACCAAGUUACUUAGAGAGAGCACUCUCAAAAAGAUAUAAGUGAAGAUCGAGUGUUCUUAUUUCUUAAAAAUAUGACACCGCCGUGCUCUAAAAAGAUCUAAGUGAAGCACUAUAGCAAAGUUAUCUAGCUCAAAAGAUAUAAGUGAAGCACAUGCGAGCUAAAUUGCCUAACUCAAAAGAUAUAAGUGAAGCUCAAUGAGUAUUCUAGCAAAUUCACGAUGAGUGCAUGUACCUCUCCAAACGGUGUGCAACAAGGAUGAUUGUGAAAAAACAAAAAUAAAAGACUCCUAUAAUACACGAUGCUCCAAGCAAAACACAUAUCAUGUGGUGAAUAAAAAUAUAGCUCCAAGUAAUGUUACCGAUGGAUUGAAGACGAAAGAGGGGAUGCCUUCCCGGGGCAUCCCCAAGCUNNNNNNNNNNNNNNNNNNNNNNNNNNNNNNNNNNNNNNNNNNNNNNNNNNNNNNNNNNNNNNNNNNNNNNNNNNNNNNNNNNNNNNNNNNNNNNNNNNNNNNNNNNNNNNNNNNNNNNNNNNNNNNNNNNNNNNNNNNNGGCAUCCCCAAGCUUAGGCUUUUUGGUGUCCUUGAAUUUGGCUUGGGAUGCCUUGGGAAUCCCUAAGAUUUACCUCUUUUCACUCUUUAUCCCAUUGUCCAUGAGAACAUCACCUAAAACUUGAAAACUUCACAACACAAAACUUAAACAGAAACUCGUGAUAUCAUUAGCAUAAGAAAACAAACCACCACUCUUACUGUAGUAAACUUGAUUUCUAUUUAGAUUGAUGUUAUAUUACUGUAUUCUCACUUUUCCAUGGCUAGUACCCCCCGAUACUAUCCAUAUUUUCAUCCAAAUAAGCAAUCAACACAACAAAAAACAGAAUAUGUCAAAAACAGACCAGUCUAUAGCAAUCUGUAUACUUCAUAUACCUCUGAUAUCCCAAAAAUUCAGAAACAUUAUGAAACUUAGGUAAAUUUGUAUAUAAACCAUCAUAAAAAAGAAUCAACUCAAAAGCUCUUUAUGGAUAGGAAUGAAAAAUAAUUUCGUGAGCGCAAAAUUUCUGUCUUUUUCAGCACGAUCAAACAACCAUCACCAAAACUGAUCAUAAAGGUUCUACUUGGCACAAACACAAAAAGAAACAUAAAAAACACAAUCAUAACAGAAUUAUGAUGGUGUGGACACAACAAAACAGAAAGAAAAAAGAAAGAUAAAUUCAUUGGGUUGCCUCCCAACAAGCGCUAUUGUUUAACGCCCUUAGCUAGGCAUAAGGCGAUAGAAUCAAGUAUCGUCGUCUUUGGUGCUCAAACCGUAAGUAGCCCUCAUCAUGGAUUCAUAAGUCAAUCUUAUUUUCUUUGUAGGAAAGUGUUCCAUGCCCUUAUUUAAUGUAAAUUCAAUUCUAAUAUUCCCUUCCUUCAUAUCGAUGAUAGCACCAAUAGUCCUAAGGAAAGGUCUACCAAGAAUGAUGGGACAUAGUUCUUAUUUGCAAUAAUAAGAACAUCAUUGAUCCUUCCCAUAGGUUUAUUAAUAGUAGAAUCCGCAAGAUGCAAAUUAAGAGAGCACUCAUUAAUCUCAUUGAAGCCUAGAACAACACAUAAAGACUUUGGAAUAGCGGAAACACUAGCACCCAAAUCACACAAAGCAUUGCAUUCAUAGUUCUUAAUAUUGAUUUUGAUAGUAGGUUCCCACUCAUCAUGAAGUUUUCUAAGAAUAGAUAUCUCCAACUCAAGUUUCUCUUCAAGAGAUUUCAUCAUAGCAUCAACGAUAUGAUUGGUAAAGGAUUUAUUUUGGCUAUAAGCAUGUGGAGAGUUUAGCAUGCAUUGCAACAAGGAAAUACAUUCAAUCAAAGAACAACUAUCAUAAUUGAAUUUCUUGAAAUCCAAAGUAGUAAAUUCAUCACUACUCAAAAUUUUGAUAUCCUCUACUCCACUUUCAGUGCCUUUAGCAUCAAGAUAAAUAGACUCCGAAUCAUUGGGGCGUUUCUCAACCAAAGUGGAUUCAUAUACAGCCCCAUCAUCAUUAGGAUUGACAUUAGAAAACAAGGAUUCAAUAGGAGUCACACCAAGAACUUUAAGAUCUUCGUGAUUCUCAUCACAAGAACACGCCUUUUUGAGCCAUUCAUGUCUAGCACGGAUUUGGGCGGUUCUUUCUUUACUCUCAUUCAUGGAAACACGCAUAGCUUUCAAAGUUUCAUCCAUAUUAAUCUUGGGAGGAGCACAUAUCAAUUUCAAAGCAUCAAUAUCAAGAGACAUUCUAUCAACGGUCCUAGCCAAGUCAUCAAUUUUGAGAAGUUUUUCUUCUAUGGACGCAUUGAAAAUCCUUUGUGAGUUGGUAAACUCUUUAAUAUUACUCUCAAGAUCAGAGGGUAAUUUAUUGUAAUUUCCAUGAGCAUUGUUGUAGGAAUUGCCAAAGUUAUUAGAGGGAUUACUAGGAAAAGGCCUAGGAUUAAAGUUACCUCUAUAAGCAUUGUUGUUGCCAAAAUUAUUCCUACCAACAAAAUUAACAUCCAAGCUCUCAUUGAUAUUCUCAAUCAAGGAAGACAAAGGCAUAUCAUUUGGAUCUAAAGGAGCACUUUUACUAGCAAACAAUUUCAUUAACUCGUCCAUCUUAGCACUCAAAGAGUUAAUUUCUGUUAUAGCAUGCACUUUUUUACUAGUACGCGACCUUUCAGUGUGCCAUUGAGAAUAGUUUGUCAUGAUAUUAUCUAGGACUUUUGUGGCUUCUCCUAGUGUGAUUUCCAUGAAAGUUUCCCCGGAGGCGGAAUCCAAGAUAUUUAUAGAAGCAAAAUUCAAACCAGCAUCGAAGAUUUGUAUAAUCAUCCAAAGACUCGGGCCAUGAGCGGAACAAUUUCUAAUCAUCAAUUUAAUUCUCUCCCAAGAUUAUGCAACAUGUUCAUGAUCUAGUUGCUUAAAAUUCAUGAUAUCAUUACAGAGAGAGAUAAUCUUAGCCGGUGGAAAAUACUUGGAAAUAUAAGCAUCUUUACACUUGUUCCAAGAAUCAAUACUAUUUUUGGGUAAAGAUGAAAACCAAGUUUUUGCUCAAUCUCGUAAUGAGAACAGAAAUAGCUUAAAUUUAAUCAUAUCAUUAUCCACAUCUUUCUUCUUUUGCAUAUCGCAUAACUCAAUGAAGGUAUUGAGAUGGGAUGCGGCAUCUUCACUCGGAAGGCCGGAAAAUUGCUCUUUCAUAACAAGAUUCAGCAAGGCAGCAUUGAUUUCAUAUGAUUCCGCACUAGUGGCGGGAGCAAUCGGAGUACUAAUAAAAUCAUUAUUAUUAGUAUUCGAGAAGUCACACAAUUUGGUGUUUUCAGUCAUGGUGACUUAGCAAGCACACAAGCACACAAGCAAACAGAAAGCAAGCGAAAGAAAAGGGCGAACGAAAAAGGCAAAUAUUUUUGUAAUUUUUGUUUUUUCAGAAGUGCGGGAGAGGAAAACGAGAGGCAAAAGGCAAAUAAUGUCAAUGCAAGAGAUGAGUUUGUGAUAGUUACUUGGAUAACCUUCACUUUGAAUACUCCCGACAACGGCACCAGAAAUUCUUCUUGCUACCUCUCGAGCUUGCGUUGGUUUUUUCCUUGAAGAGGAAAGGGUGAUGCAACACAGUAGCAGCAAGUAUUUCCCCCAGUUUGAGAACGAAGGUAUCAAUCCAGUAGGAGUAUCAAGAUGAGGCACCAAUGUACGUGCGCAAAAACAAACAAACUUGCACCCAACGCUAUAAAGGGGUUGUCAAUCCCUUCAUGAUUAUUUGCAAGGUGAGAUCUGAAGGUGAAAAGUGCAACAAAGAAAUUUUGUGGAACUCAAAAUAGGAUGUGAAGUAGACCAGGGGGCCAUAGUGUUGACUAGAGGAUUCUCUCAUGAUAGCAAGUAUUACGGUGGGUGAACGAAUUACUGUCGAGCAAUUGAUAGAAUCGCGCAAAGUCAUGAUGAUAUCUAAGGCAAUGAUCAUACAUAUAGGCAUCACGUCCGAGACAAGUAGACCGAUACUUUCUGCAUCUACUACUAUUACUCCACACAUCGACUGCUAUCUAGCAUGCAUCUAGUGUAUUGAGUUCAUAACAAACAGAGUAACGCCUUAAGCAAGAUGACAUGAUGUAGAGGGAUAGAUUCAUGCAAUAGAUAUAAACCCCAUCUUUUUACCCUUGAUGGCAACAACAUGAUGCGUGCCUUGCUACCCCUUCUGUCACUGGGUGAGGACACCGCACGGUAUGAACCCAAAACCAAGCACUUCUCCCAUUGCAAGAAUUAUUGAUCAAGUUGGCCAAACAAAACCCACAACUCGAAGAGAAUUACAAGGAUACAGAAUCAUGCAUAUAAGAGNNNNNNNNNNNNNNNNNNNNNNNNNNNNNNNNNNNNNNNNNNNNNNNNNNNNNNNNNNNNNNNNNNNNNNNNNNNNNNNNNNNNNNNNNNNNNNNNNNNNNNNNNNNNNNNNNNNNNNNNNNNNNNNNNNNNNNNNNNNNNNNNNNNNNNNNNNNNNNNNNNNNNNNNNNNNNNNNNNNNNNNNNNNNNNNNNNNNNNNNNNNNNNNNNNNNNNNNNNNNNNNNNNNNNNNNNNNNNNNNCAAAAGAAGGUUACAUCGGAUAGAUCUCCAUGAAGAUCAUGGAGAACUUUGUAUUGAAGAUCCAACAGAGAGAAUAAGCCAUCUAGCUACUGGCUAUAGACGCGAAGGUCUGUGGUGAACUACUCACGCAUCAUUGGAGAGGCAAUGGUGUUGAUGAAGAAGCCCUCCGUGUCCGAAUCCCCCUCUGGCAGGGCACCACAACGGUCCCCAGAUGGGAUCCUGCGGAGACAGAAGCUUGCAGCGGCGGAAAAGUAUUUUCGUGGCUCUCUCUGGUGGUUCUGGAUUUUUAGGGAAUUUAUAGGCAAAAGAAGUAUGGCAAAGGAGCCACGUGGGGCCCACAAGCCUGCUAGGCGCGGCCCCCAUGCCGUGGCUAGGGGGCUUGUGACCUCCCCCGGAGUCCUUUGCCUUGGUUCUCAAGUUCCCUCCGUAUCUUCUGUUAUGGAAAAAAUCAUUCCGCAGGUUUUAUUCCGUUUGGACUCCGCUUAAUAUUCCUCUCUGAAAAAGGUCAAAAACACGGAAAAAACAGAAACUGACACUUGGCAUUGAGUUAAUAGGUUAGUCCCAAAAAGAUAUAAAAUAGCAUAUUCAUGCAUACAAAACAUCCAAAUUUGACAAGAUAAUAGCAUGGAACCAUCAAAAAUUAUAUAUACGUUGGAGACGUAUCACAGGAGAGGAGAGGAGGCAGCCUUGGCCUCCAAUCCAAGGAGCUUCGGCCGAACCUACAAGGGAGGAAUCCACCUCCCACAAGGGAGGUGGAAUCCUAUUAGGACUCCUCCCUAAUUUGGCCUUUUUGCCUUUAUUCUUUCCGCAUGGGCCCUUGAGAGAGACUUAGGCCAGCCCACCAAGGGCUGAUCCACCUCCUCUCAUAGCCCAUGAGCCUCUUGGGUCGUCACACCCCUCCCGGUGGUCCCCCGGCACCCUCCCGACACUCCCGGUAUACUACCGAUAAGCCCGAAACUUUUCCGGUGACCAAAACAGGACUUCCUAUAUAUAUCAAUCUUUACCUCCGGGCCAUUCCGGAGCUCCUCAUGACGUCCUGGAUCUCAUCUGGGACUCCAAACAACCUACGGUCACCAACACAUAUAACUCAACUAUAUCGAAACAUCACCGAACCUUAAGUGUCCAGACCCUGCGGGUUCGAGAAUUAUGCAGACAUGACCUGAGACACUCUCUGGUCAAUAACCAAUAGCGGGACUUGGAUGUCCAUAUUGGCUCCCACAUAUUCGAUCUCUAUCGGUUGAACGUAUAUGUCAAGGAUUCAGUUAAUCUCGUAUGAUGUUCCCUUUGUCCUUCGGUAUGUGCUACGUCUCCAAUGUAUCUAUAAUUUUUGAUGGUUCCAUGCUAUUAUCUUGUCAACUUUGGAUGUUUUAUAUGCAUGAAUAUGCUAUUUUAUAUCUUUUUGGGACUAACCUAUUAACUCAGUGCCAACUGCCAGUUUCUGUUUUUCCGUGUUUUUGGCCCAUUUUCAGACGGAGUCCAAAUGGAAUGAAACUUUACGAUGAUUGUUUUUGGACCAAAAGAGACCCCUGAAGCUUUGGGAGAAGGCCAGAUGGGCCAUGAGGGAGUCACAAGCCCUCACGCCGCCACCCCCCCCCCGGUGGCGGCGCGCAGGCCUGUGACCUCCUCGUGGGCCCAACUGACGCAAUUCCACCGCCAUAAAUUCCUAUAAAUUCAGAAACCCCCAAAAAGAAACCUAGAUCGGGAGUUCCGCCGCCGCAAGCCUCUGUAGCCACCAAAAACCAAUCUGGAGCCCGUUCCGGCACCCUGCCGGAGGGGGAAUCCAUCUCUGGUGGCCAUCUUCAUCAUCCCGGCGAUCUCCAUGACGAGGAGGGAGUAGUUCUCCCUCGGGGCUGAGGGUAUGUACCAGUAGCUAUGUGAUUGAUCUCUCUCUCUCUCGUGUUCUUGAGAUGUCUUGAUCUCGAUGUAUCAUGGGCUUUGCUACUAUAGUUGAUCUUAUGAUGUUCUUCCCCCUCUCCUUCUUGUAAUGAAUUGAGUUUCCCCUUUGGAGUUAUCUUAUCGGAUUGAGUCUUUGAGAACACUAGAUGUAUGCCUUGCACGUUUCCAUCUGUUGUGAUCAACUUGCAGGUUUGUGACAAUUGGGAACCUAUGCAUAUGGGUUGGCACACAUGGAUUCAGGUGAGUACUUGAUGUAUGUUUUGGUGAUCAACUUGCGGGUUCGUGACAUUGGGAACCUAUGCAGAGGGGUUGGCACACGUUUUGACUCUCUGGUAGAAACUUUGGGGCACUCUUUGAAGUUCUAUGUGUUGGUUGAAUAGAUGAUUCUGAGAUUAUGUGAUGCAUAUCGUAUAAUCAUGCCCACGGAUACUUGAGGUGACAAUGGAGUAUCUAGGUGACAUUAGGGUCUUGGUUGAUAUGUAUCUUAAGGUGUUAUUCUAGUACGAACUCUUGAAUAGAUCGACCAGAAAGAAUAACUUUGUGGUGGUUUCGUACCCGACAAUAAUCUCUUCGUUUGUUCCCCGCUAUUAGUGACUUUGGAGUGACUCGUUGUUGCAUGUCGAGGGCUAGUUAUAUGAUCCAAUUAUGUUAUCAUUGUUGAGAGAACUUCACUAGUGAAAGUAUGAACCCUAGGCCUUGUUUCCACGCAUUGCAAUACCGUUCGUGCUCACUUUUACCAUUUGUUACCUUGCUGUUUUGUAAUUUCAGAUUAAAAAAACCUAUAUCUACCAUCCAAAUUGCACUUGUUUCACCAUCUCUUCGCCGAACUAGUGCACCUAUACAAUUUACCAUUGUAUUGGGUGUGUUGGGGACACAAGAGACUCUUUGUUAUUUGGUUGCAGGGUUGCUUGAGAGAGACCAUCUUCAUCCUACGCCUCCCACGGAUUGAUAAACCUUAGGUCACCCACUUGAGGGAAAUUUGCUACUAUCCUACAAACCUCUGCACUUGGAGGCCCAACAACGUCUACAAGGAGAAGGUUGCGUAGUAGACAUCAAGCUCUUUUCUGGCGCCGUUGCCGAGGAGGUUAGCGCUUGAAGGUAUAUCUUUAGAGCUUGCAAUCGAGUCUUUUUGUUUCUUGUUCUUUCGCUAGAAAAUUACAAAAAAAUGGAAUUGAGGAUGCCUCAUAUGCUCCAUCUUUUCAAUGUCUUUCGUGAGCAUGAUGGGAAGGAAAAUUGUGCUCAAGUGCUGAAAGAAGAAUUACAUAGAAUGCUUGGCAUAGAAUAUGUGAAUGAUGAGCAUGAUUGCAAUGUUGUUUGCACGAAUUAUUUGAAUACCCAUGAUGUUAAUGAUAUGCAAAGCCACAAGCUUGGGGAUGCUAUAUUUGAUGAAGAUGAUCUUUUUAGUUCUUCCACUUUGAAUGAUCAAAAUUAUUUUGAUGAAAGCAUGCCCCCUAUCUAUGAUGAUUAUUGUGAGGAUACUUAUGCUUUAAAGAAGAGGGAUGAUAAAACUUGUCAUACUCUCGAGAACCCUUUUGCUAAACCUUGCUUUUUCAUUGUGGACACGAUUUGUAGUGCUCAAGUCUUUUACGAUACUCCCACUACUAUUCUUGAGACUAGAUUCCCUUAUCUGGAGAGUAGUAAAAUUUCUAUGCUUGUAGAUCAUGAAAAGAGUGCUUUAGGUGCUGGUUAUAUUGUUGAAUUCAUUCAUGAUGCUACUGAAAAUUACUAUGAGAGAGGAUCAUAUGCUUCUACCUAUUGCAAUAGUAUCAAACUUCCUCUCCAUAUGUUGAAAUUUUUGAAGCUAUGUUCGUUUUGCCUUGCUAUGCUAGUUGAUUCUUGCUCCAAUAAAUUGUUUGAUCACAAAAUCCCUAUGCAUAGGAAGUGGGUUAGACUUAAAUGUGCUAGACAUUUGCUCCAUGAUGCUCUCGUUGUGUUUCAAUCCUUACCUUUUAUGUGAGCAUCAUUGAAAUCAAUGCCUAGCUAAGGUCGUUAAACGAUAGCGCUUGUUGGGAGGCAACCCAAUGAAUAAAUUUUUCUUUAAUUUUUGCUUCCUGUUUUGUGCUUUCCACACUUUCAUAAUUCUGUUAUGAUUGUGACUUUCGUGUUUCUUUUUGUGUUUGUGCCAAGUAAAACCGUUAUGAUUAGUCUUGGUGAUGAUUGUUUGAUCAUGCUGGAAAAAGACAGAAACUUUCUGCUCACGAAAAUAAUUUUCAUUUUUAUUCUGUAAGAGCUUUUGAGUUGAUUCUUUUUGCUGCUGACUUCUACGCAAUUUGUUAAGACUGUCGUAGUUUUUCAGAUUUUUUGAAGUACCCGAAGUAUACGAAAUAUACAGUUUGCUACAGAAUGGUCUGCUGUUAACAGAUUCUGUUUUUGUUGUGUUGGUUGCUUAUUUUGAUGAAACUAUGGAUAGUAUCGGAGGGUAUUUGUGACAUCCUCGACUUUUUCUACAGUGAUGAAUUGUAAUUAAGCGGCAGUGAUCCCGCGCUAAUGAUGCCACGUCAUCAUUAGUUAUAUCAAUGAUCUCGUGUUGGUCGAAACCGAAUCAAAAUUCGAUGCUUUAAGAUGAAGUCAAACGAGGAAAGAAUUCGGUUGAUGAAAUGAAAAUGUCAGGGGAGUUAUAAAGAUGACCUAGAGAAGUAUAAAAAUGAAUCAGACACUUUUGGAAUAUAUAUUUAAGAAAGGAGCUUUAAACAAAAUAAGUAAAAGAAAGAUAGUAAACGAAAACAAAUAAAUAAAGGAAAGAAUUAAAAGUAUAUAUAAUAAAUUAUAAAAGAAAGUAAAUAGAAUUUAAUAAUAAAAGGAAUUAGAAUUAAUAAUAAAAAGAAAGUAUAAUGAAAAAAUAAAAAAAAUAAAAACAAAAACAAAAACAAAAAAAAAGGAAAAGAACCCCCCCACCCCUUGGCCCAACUGGGCCUAGUGGCCUAGCCGGCCAGGCCACCCAUCACUCCCACCUCAGAACCCUAGGGGGCGCCCGCCUGGCUCCCCAACUCCCCCGCCGCCGCCAGGGGGCUCCGUUCCCUCGGUACCGCACCACCCCCUCGAGGGCCCCCCUCCUGCUCCUAGCUCGUCGUGGCCUCGCCACCCACCUGUUCACCCGAGCCCCCUGGCCUCUCUCGAUCCCGCACCUACCCCCGACCCCCCCCACCGACACUUCCCCCCCGAGCGCUCCUCUUCCUCCCCCCAUCGGUCCCUCCUCUCCCCUGGAGACCGAGAGACUCCCAUGUCCCUCGGCCUCCCAUCUCUCCCCGAGCCUCUCUCCCCCCACCGACGCCCCGGGAGACCGCCCCCAGAUCCCCACCGCAGCCUACCUCCCACCUCGCCUCCUCCCGUCAGGCCCUCUUCCCACGGCACCGCAUCCACCCGAGAACCACCUCGCCCCUCCUGCCUCCCAGGUCGACCGAGCCCUCCUGGUCUUCCCCCCGUCGGCCGAGGCCCCCAAGGAGCCCCGCCGGCCGACCAACAUCACCCCGUCUCACCGGCCCCUUUCUCCCGCUCGGUCCAGGAGGGACCGGGCAGGGAGAUGCCCCUCCUCCUCAUCACGCCGGUCGGCCCCGACCUCCGGGAGGUUUUCUCCGGCGACCCACCUCGCGGGAUCCGUCAUCACCGCCUCCGGGAACGCCUCCACGCCGUCCCCUCCGCCCCUUCCCGCGAACUCCGGCUUCACCGGGCCGUCUCGUCAACGUCGGUGAGCCCCUCCUUGGGCUCCUCCCACCAUCUCGUUCCCCUCGCCGUCCCGGUUCCGUUCCGACGAACGGCGCUCCGUUCCGACGACGUGAUGUUCGCGUAGGAGAGAUUGAAGUUAGUUUUCUUCUCUAUUGAGAAGAGGAGAAGCACAGAAGAAGACUCUAUGUUAAGUUAACAUAAAGAGGGAGAUGAAAGUUUUUGAGAGAAAUAAAAAUAAACGUUGUAUUUGCAUAUGUAUUUUGUAUGUAUGAGAUGCACGUAUGUAUGUAUGUAUUUCGGUAUAUGGCGGUAUACUUUAAAUGUUUGGUUAUGUAUCUGUGAGUAAACAUGCGUAUUUGGCCUAAAGCCACUUACCGGUGGAGCCAACGCACCCCGCUGUCUAUGACAGGGAGGCCCCACACCCCUUUUAAAGAAAAGUAAAAAGUAAAAAUUAAAACAUAAAAAUAAAAAUAAUGUUUUUAUUAAAUAAAUAAAUAGAUAUAUCAGUUAAUUAGUUAAUUGGAUAAUUAGAAUAAUUAGAGUAUGACACGUGGGUCCCCCACUAAAUUAAUCUGAUUAAUUAAUAUUUAAUCUUAAUUAAAACUUGUGCCUAUGACGCUCGGGACCCGCUGGUCAGUUGACCAGUCAAUUGUUGAUGUGAGCAUGACAUCAUGCUGAUGUCAUAAUAGUUUUUUAUUAAAUUAUUUAAAUCUGUUUUUAAUUCCUAAUUAUUGAAUAAAACUUUAAAAAUUAAUAUUAAAUAAUUCGUAAGUCAGAUCAAAAUAUUUUCAACAUGAAAGUUGAUCAGCAGAACGAGGCGAACCCGGAUACACGGUCCAUUCGUUUGUCACGCGUCCCUAGCAUAGCAAACAUGGAUCAUUUCCAUCGUUUCCAGUAUGACCGGUAGUAGCCCGAGACCCGGAAAAUAUGGUCAGAUAUUCUUCCGACCCGUCUAUGACGGAUGUUGCUGUGUUAGCUCAUGUCUAGGCUGCAUCUUGCCAUGUCAUGCUUUGUGUUGCAUCGUUGCUAUUAUUUAUUGUUUCUUCCCCCUCUUCUUACCGGUAGACCCCGAGACUGACGCUGUUGCCGGGUACAUCUACGACCCUGCCGAUCAGUCCUUUGCCGGAGAGUAGCAAGGCAAGCAAACCCCCUUGAUCAUUCCUAUAUCGCCUAUGUCUUUCUUCCUACUGCUUGCAUUAGUAUUUUGCUACUAUUGUAGUUAGCUCCUAUAUCUGAUGCAUAGCCUAUUUUUGAUGAACUGCUACUUUCAAUCAUGUACCUUUAAUAUGCUUAGUAUAGGUGGAGCAGUCAUCCCCUCUGACCCCGUAGUUCAGUUGCCCCACUUGUUUUCAAAUCUCGAUCCCUGAUCGACGAGCCAGACCCGACACAACACAUACACCCCCUUAGUUGUACGACGCUACAGAGAUACUAUCGGGUACCGAGGGUGACACCUCGCUAAGUACUCCUGAUGAUAUCUCUGUAGUAUAGCUAGUCGGUCGUGGUUAUCGAGGGUGAUUCCUCUUUCACCAUUCCCGACGAUGCCUCUGUCGUACAACCCCUCAAGUGUGGGACCCCCGAGGGUGAUUCUUCUAAGCCCACCUUGACGGAUGCAUCGUUCAGAAUCCAAUGAGGGUGAUACCUCGGAUUCCCCCCGAUGGUGCAACCACACAGUUACUCGACCAUGUUGCUGGGAUCAUUGGUGAUUAGUUGUAAGACGGGUGGAUUCCCGUGAGACUGUGUUGAUGGCCUAAUUCAAAUGUUAAUGGAUUUGGGUGGUUGAUCUGGGUUGGUCGAAGACCUUUUCGCACUAACCGGCUACGCGGGAAGAAUUAUGGUUACUCGGCGUCGCAGUAUCAGCCGAAGCUUUUCAGAUGUCAGCAAUCAUAGUGGCGCGCGCCCGAGUGGUCCCGAGAUGCAUUGCGCUUGUGAUUAAGGGAUGCUAGGACUCACGUCGGCCGCCCUCGCAUCAUGCAGGAGCGCGGAGGGGAACUGGGCCCAUGAACCCUUUGCGCUUAGGAUUUAGACCGGCGGGCUGACCUCUCUGAUUAGUGUUAGGUGGGGCUGACGUGUCGAUAUUCUGAGGCCGGACAGGACCCAGAAAAGUGUGUCCGACAGAGUGUUAUCGAGCGUGACGGGACAUGUGGUGCACCCUUGCAGGGAUAAAAAUUAACUAUUCGAAUAGCCGUGUCCACGGUUACAGGACGACUUGGAGUUGUGCCCUGAUCUUAUACAACUCGAAUUAGUUUGCCUCGGGAUUGCUUCCUCGCAGGGAGUCGAGGGAGGAUCUUUAGGCGUGACCUCACUUUAAUAUUGCUGCAACAAUAUGACUAUUAAUGUUUUACCCCUGUUCCACUCUCGUCUAUUGCUGCAAGACCCUGAAGAUGCUAGUCUUCGAUAGGACUAGGCCUUCUCUCUCUAUUCUCGAAUUGCUGCACUCAGUCCACAUAUAACCCCCCUUCUUUGAUACUGAUGCAUACUUAGAAUAGAUCUGAUGUAAGACUUGCGAGUACUUUGGAUGAGUACUCACCGUUGCUUUGCUCCCCCUUGUCCCCUUGAUCCGUUUGCUGCGACCAGAUGAUGGAGCCCAGGAGAUGGAGGUCCCCGCCGACGACGACAGCUACCCCGACGGUGCCUACUGCUACGUGGGGGCCGUUGAUGAUCAGGAGUAGUUAGGAGGUUCCCAGGCAGGAGGCCUCGCCUCGUUCGAUCGUUGUAUCUUUUGUGCUAGCCUUCUCUAAGGUACCCCAUGUUUUAUGUCUGUACUCAGAUAUUGUUGCUUUCGCUGACUCGUGUGUUUAUCGAGCUUUCGUAUUCUAGCCCUCAAGGCCUCUGGCUUGUAAUAUGAAGGUGAUGUUAUUUUAUUUGUGUCUAGAGUUGUGUUGUGAUAUCUUCCCGUGAGUCCUUGGGUUUGAUCGUACGCAUUUGCAUGUAUGAUUAGCGCACGAUUAAACCGAGGGCGUCACAGUAUUAGCCAUGGAAGAUUGAAAAUACAGUAACCCAACAUAAGCAUAAGUAGAAUUUAAGUUUGCUACAGUACCUAAGGAAGUGGUGGUUUGCUUCCUCAUACUAAUGUUAUCACGAGUUUUUGUUUAAGUUUCGUGUUGUGAAGUUUUCAAGUUUUGGGUGAAGUUCUUAUGGACAAAGAGAUAAAGAGUGGCAAGAGCUCAAGCUUGGGGAUGCCCAAGGCACCCCAAGAGAUUCAAGGAUGCCGUAAAAGCCUAAGCUUGGGGAUGCCCCGGGAAGGCAUCCCCUCUUUCGUCUUCGAUCCAUCUGUAACGUUACUUGGGGCUAUAUUUUUAUUCACCACAUGUUAUGUGUUUUGCUUGGAGCAUCUUGUAUCGUAGGAGUCUUUUAUUUUUUGUUGUGUCACAAUCAUCCUUGCUGCACACCUAGAGAGAGAGACAUGCACUCACCGUGAUUUUGUCGAGCUUCACUUAUAUCCUUUGGUAGACAAUUCAGCUCACAUGUGCUUCACUUAUAUCUUUUGAGCUAGAUACUUUUGCUCUAUGUGCUUCACUUAUAUAUUUUAGAGCGCAGCGGUGCGUGGCUUGGUAGUUGAUCUAUGCUUUGAAACUAGUCUCAAAAGUGGUAGUUAUCCAAAGGGAUACAAAAACUUCCAUCUUCAUGUGCAUUGAAUAGUUAGAGAAGUUUGAUUCAUCUCAAUUAGUUUUGAGUUGUGGUUUUGGUAAUAUUGAAGUCAUGCUAGUAAGGUGUUGUGGAUCUAGAAAUACUAGUGUUGGAGUUAGUAAUUCCCGUAGCAUGCACGUAUGGUGAACCGCUAUGUGAUGAAGUCUGAGCAUGAUUAGUCUUUUGAUUGUCAUCCUUUGCGUGGCGGUCAAGAUCGCGUGAUGGUUUAUACCUACCAACCCUUCCCCUAGGAGUAUGCGUUGAAUGCUUUGUUUCGAUUACUAAUAAAACUUUUGCAACAAGUAUAUGAGUUCUUCAUGACUAAUGUUGAGUCCAUGGUUUAGAUGCACUUUCACCUUCCACCAUCACUAUCUUCUUAGUGCCGUGCAACUUUCGCUGGUGCACAAAACCCACCAUUAGCCUCAGCCACCAUACCUACCUACUAUGGCUUUUUCAAAGUCAUUCCGAGAUAUAUUGCCAUCUUUGAUCAACGAGCUAGUCGACUAGAGGCUCACUAGGGACAGUGUGUUGUCUAUGUAUCAACACAUGUAUUUGAGUUUCCAAUCAAUACAAUUCUAGCAUGGAUAAUAAAUGAUUAUCACAAAUAAAGAAAUAUAAUAAUAACCAAUUUAUUAUUGCCUCUAGGGCAUAUUUCCAACAGGUAGAUGACUCAGGAACCACUUUAUCGUGAAGGUCACUCUAAAAGAAUAGAACAAGAUUCCUAGUAAAUUAAUGAUGAUACUCCUAGUCCCACUAAGAAGACAAAGAAAAAGAAAAAUGAUAGGACUUUGCAAGCCCCUAAUGAACCUUAUACUGAGAAACUUGUAGAGGAUAACAAUGAUGUUUCUAUUUUCGAUGUUGAGACACAAUCUGGGAGUGAACGUGAACUUAAUAAUAAUGAUAAUAAUGAUGUUCAUGUAGAAGAUCCAUGGCGUAGCAAUAAGGAAGCUAAUAAUGAUGUUGACAUAGAACCUGUCGAGGAUCUUGAUAACCCACCUCCUAAAAAUAAACGUUAUGAUAAGAGGGACUUUGUUGCUAGAAAACAUGGAAGAGAAAGAGAGCCGUAGGUUCAAAAACUCAUGCCAUUCCCUCAAAAGUAUUCUAAAAGUAGGGACAAUGAAGAUUUUAAACGCUUUGCUAAAAUGAUUAGACCUAUAUUUUUGCGCACUCGCUUGACUGUUAUAUUGAAAAUGUCUGUGUAUGCUAAGUAUCUGAAGGAUAUUAUUACCAAUAAAAGAAAGACAUCCAAAACUGAAAUUGCCACUAUGCUUGAUAAUUACUCUUUUGAUGGCGGAAUACCUAAGAAGUUGGGAGAUCCGGGUACACCAACAAUACCUUGCUCUAUUAAAAGAAAUUAUGUUAAGACUGCUUUAUGUGAUUUAGGAGCUCGUGUUAGUGUUAUGCCUUUCUCCCUUUAUAAAAGACUUGAAUUGGAUAAGCUUACACCCACUGAGAUAUGGUUGCAAAUGGUUGACAGAUCCACUGCCUUACCCAUUGGAAUUUGCGAGGACACCCCCGUUGUGGUUGCAAAUGUUACUAUCUUAACAGACUUUGUUAUUCUUGAUAUGCCUGAGGACGACAAUAUGUCGGUCAUCCUUGGUAGACCUUUUCUAAAUACUGUAGGGGUUUUUAUUGAUUUCAACAAAAGCAAGGUCACUUUUCAUGUUAAUGUGAAGCAACAUACAAUGCAUUUUGUGAAGAAGCAAACUUUGGUUAAUAGUAUUAAUGUCAUUGAGCCUAUUCCCGUGGUCAUCAUUGGAGAUUUCACCAUUCCUCUACCUACUGCCAAGAAAAAAAAUACUAUAAUUUUAUUGUGGGAUAUAUGUAAAUCCCCAUUGAGUUAACCUAGUGACAUACAACAAUUCUUUGGUUCCAUGUUUAUCGAAAACGGUUGUUAAUUAGACUUGAUCAACCUUAUUAAUGGAUCAUUUUCGAAAGAUAUGUGAUUGAUGAAUUAUGUAUCCACAACUUUCUGUACCCCAAGUUUAUUCUGUGUUCUCUUAGCUUUAGAAAAAUAAAAUGCCAUGAUCACCCUGUUUUUUGAGUUUUUCGUACCAUAAAAAAUGACCCAAAAAUAAAAAGUCUAAGAAUGCCGUAAAAUUUUAACAUGAUUUUUUCUGGAAUAAAAAAAUUGGCAUAAAAAUAACAGCAGGGAGACGCACCUAUGGGCCACAAGCCAACACGGCAUCCCCCCGUGAGGUCGUGCCGUGAUGUCUUGUGGGGCCCAUAGGGUCCGCUGCCUUAUCCCUUCGACUCACUCCUCCUCCUACCUCCGGAUUUUUUUCCUAGCUCUCCCUCUCAUGUUCUUCCCCUAGAAACUGGAUUUUUCGAUCUCUUUGCUCGGAAACCCGUUUUCGAAACCGUUUUGAGGGAAUUGUUCCUUAGUAUGUGACUCCCCAUUCCUCCAAUUAGCUUUUGUCUUAGUGUUUUAUAUUUUGCAUAAAUUUCUUAACUUGGUGCUACAGAAAAUGAUCUUGCAUGUUAAAUUCUUCGAGUUCCAAUUAGCAUGAAUGCUUGAUAUAACCUCUAAAUAUCCAUAUGAGUAGUUGCUAUCGUUGUUGCAGAGUUUUAUUGACAUAAUUUUUUGGUCCAAAAAAUUCAGAAAUUUGUGCUUAGGGAGAUGAGUUUCUUUCGCAGGAGCUCCUCGAGAAGGCGUAAUUUUGGUGAAUUAUCGAGCGAGGGCUCGACACGACAAGCGUACAUUGAGCCUCGGGCCAAUUAGGUAGUCACGGCUGACGCAAAAUUGUGUUGGUGGCCAAGCGAUGAGUUCAUGAAUGGUGAAGGUAUCAAGGAUGAAUUUGAUCAUUUCAUUUACAAUACCAGCCUCACCGACUUCCUUGUAGAUAAGUGUGUCCAACAUUAUAACCUUACAUGCACUUUCACAAAUGGAUUCCAUCAUCUCUCUAGUACUUCUAGAGUGUUAUUUCAUCUCUAUGAUAUAUCCUUUAGCAUGAGCCUAGAAGAAUUUUAUGUCGCAUGCAAACUCCCACUUUGGGGUUCGCUUUGAGAAACCAUCAAAAACUGAUUAUAAUAUGUUUCUCGAGAGCCUCUGCAUUGGAUAAAAUAGAGGAGUAACACAUGGUAAAAUUAAAAGCAUUCAUUUCCCCUCUAUUCUCUAAUUUGCACUAUUUAACAAGAAAUGCAUAGUAGGGAAACAAGAUUGCAGUGCAUUAUGUGCCCCUGACUUGAGACUUAUUCACACUGAUGUGACUCGUGAGCGACACUAUAACCUUGGUGCAAUUGUUGCUCGAAGGUUGCAUUCUAACUCUAGCAACGGUGAUUUGUAUAGAGGAAUUUAUGCCUCCCGCAUAGCUGCACAAUUAGGAGUGACACCCCAAUUUAAUGAUCCUAUUUUGCCAAAUAGAUAUUUAGACUCUGAAGCCAUGUGUUAUCAUGAAUUCAUUUUAAAUCGUGCUAGAGUAUAUGAGUAUAACCUAAUAUUUGAGAAAUAAACACCUAUGCAUGUUACUUUGCCUGUGCCCGCCCUCUUUAAUUUCUAGGCUCGCGAGAGAUACUACGUUCUUGAGAACGAGGUGCGGUAGUACAAUGCUACACUAGAGGCAGCUCGUUUAUGCCCCUAGCUAGGCAUAAUGCAUAGCUUCAAGUGUUCUCAUCCUCGACAUUCAGUACAUAAGUGGCCCUCAUGAUAGAUUAAUAAGGUGGUUUAAUUCUCUUCCUAGGGAAGUGAAUCAUCCCUUCCUUUAAUGGGAAUUGGAAUCUUAUGUUUCCCUCCUUCAUAUCAAUAAUAGCACCUAUAGUUUGAAAGAAGGGUCUAUCAAGUAUAAUUGGACAAGACAGGUUGAUGGGGAUAUGUAUGUAACGCCCAAGAUGCGACCCUAUCCUUAUUUUGGCGCGAGGGUCUUGACAGGGAUAGGAGCGCAUCUCAUUGUUUCACAAGAAUGGAUAUCGUUACAAGUACAUGUACUAAAGAUAAGAGCAUAUGUAAUUGGCUUACACUCGCCACAAGCUACGUCAGAGUCACAUCAGUACAAUACAUAAUCAUCAUGAAGAAGAGCAGGGUCCGACUACAGACGAAAACAAACGAUAAAAGAACGAUGUCCAUCCUUGCUAUCCCAGGCUGCCGGCCUGGAACCCAUCCUAGACCGACGAAGAAAAAAGAAGAAGAAACUCCAAUUUAACAAUCAACGCGCUCGCGUCAACUAACCCUUUACCUGUACCUGCAACUGGUGUUGUAGUAAUCUGUGAGCCACGGGGACAUCAAUCUCAUUUCCAAAGGUAUCAAGACUAGCAAAGCUUAAUGAGUGAGGUAUGGUUAAGUGGUGAGGCUGCAGCAAGCGACUAAGCAUUAUAUGAGGUGGCUAACUUACAAGUGCAAGAAUAAGAGGGGGAGAUGAUCUACACAUAGCAGACGUGAACUACUGAUGAUCAAAUGAAUGAUCCUGAAUACCUACUUAUGUCAGACAUAAUCCCAUCGAGUCCUCGAUCGGAGAUGGAGCUCAUGAAAGAGACAGUCACGGUUACACACUCAGUUGGCAAGUUUUAAUUAAGUUAACUUCAAGUUAUCUAGAACCAGUGUUAAACAAAGUUUCCACGUUGCCACAUGACCACGAGCAUGACUUUCCGAAAGAUUUAACCUUGCAGGGGUGCUCCAACUAGUCCAUCACAAAUUACCACAAGUCGCAUAGAAAUCCUCGAUCACGAAACUCGCGAUCUCGUCGGACUCCUUAGUGGAAAACCUCAACUCUGAGAUUACCCAAAGAAUCACCAAAAUCCCGAUGCACAAGACAUCCGUCAAAGGUAAAACUAAUCCAGCAAGGCUGCCCGACGUGUCGAUGAUCCCGAUAGGAGCCGCGUAUCUCGUUCUCAGGACACGAUGGAUUGUCCAAACUUCCGGUAGGCCAAUCACACAGUUGCCCCUGGUAGCCACCGGCGGCUGACAGGUUGGACCAACACUCAUGCAGAGCACUGGCCUGGGGGUUGAUUAAUUACUCCGCGGGUGCAGGCGGGUCCCUAUGCAUUUUUUAUUAGUUAUUAGGCAAAUGUAGUACCAAAGUUGGGCCUUGCCAGCCCAUUUUUAAUCUAAGACGAAUUAUCAAGGGGGUCCCCAUAACAACCCCACUCGUGUUAGGAGCGCUCAAUUAUGGAAUAUAACACCGGUAGCCGAAACUAAGGGGGCAAAGGUGGAACAAAACACCAGGCUAGAAAGGCCGAGCCUUCCACCUUUUACCUAGUAUAUAGGUGCAUUAAAUUAAAUAGCAUUUAAUAUGGUGAUAUAACAAGGAACCCAUGUUAUCACAUGGAAGCAACUGCACCUGCAACUAGCAACGCUAACACAUGGUUAAGCAAGCGGUAACAUAGCCAAUCAGUGGUUUGCUAGGUUGUGAACAGGUUGAAGGUUUCAUGGCAAUGGUGAGAGGCUGAUGUUUAACAUGUGGUAGGCAGCGAGACAUAGGGAUAGGACGAUAAAACUAUCAUGAAAAUGAUAGUAAUCGUAUCUAGGGAAAUUGUCAUCUUGCCUGAGAUCCCGCAUGGAAGAAGAGUGACUCCGUGAAGCAGACGAACCGACGUAGUCGAACGGAUCCUCACACUCCGACACUCUUGCGGAACUCUAUCGAGACGAAGCAAACCAGAAACAAGAAUCAACACACAGUAUACACCAUGCAAUGCGCAACACAAAUGGUGCAUGAGCGGUUACAUUUAUGCACAGUAUGACACACAAUUCACUCCAAUCAAACACUACACAUUAAGUGAAGUUCAAUAUGCAACGAGUUGCAUAUUGACGAAACUCCACCUACGAAUUAUUUAGUUAUAUCCCAAUUAGGUACACGGCAAUAUUAAAUGUUGGUUGAACAUGGCAAGAGGUGAAGCGUAAUUAAGCUAACUAUCUAGGCAUUUUAAAUGAGGUCGGAAAAGACAUAUAGCAUCUCCGAACUGACCUCAUACGUUAAUUUAUAAUUCUAUCCAGAUCUGAACUAACACAUUUUAAUAUUUGUUAAACAACAAAGUAAAUAGGUUCGCGUGAUUAUGUGUCGUUCCAAUCAAUUUACACAUAUGUAACAUCUCCAACGGAGCUACGGCUCAAAAGAUAUGAUCACCGCAAGAUAAGAUGUCAUGAAUGCAAUAUGUAUGCAAUGACAGCCACAAGCAUUCCAAAACCAAGAAGGCAACAACAUAAUAUGAAACUACACGAUAUUCUAAGCAAGUUUCAUAUAGGACACGAUCAAAACGGAGCAACGGUUCAACAAAUACAAGUUACAUAAGAAAUAGUUAUAAUCUGCCAAAAACAACAACGUGGCAUUUUCUACACCCCAAAACAACAAGCUACAUAAAUCCAAAAUGCUCAAACAAGACAUGAGGAAAUAGUGGUCAAGAUGCACUACAACACCCUACUAAAUACAACUAGCAUGGAAGCAUGGUUCACUAGGAAAAGAACUCACAAAAUGGCAUCUCACACACAGUUUCAGACUUAGUGAAAAUAUCAGUUUUUGACAGUGCAAUUUUCGGUCCGAAGGCAUAUUGACAGCAGCAAAACUAUAUGCUAUAGGUCACCAAAUGGCAUGACAAUUUACAACAUUCUAGGGAAUCUUAAGGACUACAACUAACUCCAUUGCAGCAAUCCCAAGCUAUAGAUCACUAGCAAAACUCAUGGCAAGACAACAAAAAAAUAUAACAUAUUUCAGACUUAGAAAUAUUUAGCAUCUCCAAAUCAGCAUUAUUUUUCUAGCAUGUUGACAACAAGCAAACAACACCUAAACAUGGAUUUCUAAAGCAAAAAAAAUUACUAGGGGCUAGCAUACAUAUCUAAGGGCAUAUCUCUAGUUCACAACUCAUGCAUGUCACGCACAGAAUAAAUUCCACAAAAUAGACAAGAGGGCAACAUGGCAGAAAUAUCAUGCACACUAAUUUACUCGGAAGGCAAAACUAAAUACACAGUUAAAUCUAUGGAUUUUUCUACCCGAAAACAUAUAUAAUAUGUGGGGUUGCAAAAUAAAACUAAUGCCACACGUAUAUGCGAUUAUAUGUCCUAAACACGACAUAGCAAACUAUUGAUAGCUUCUACAUGCAAAAAUGCAAGCAACUACUCUAAAAUAGAUGGCAAGGGUCCCGAACAACGUGAACAUUUUACCUAUGGGAUUUGAACAAUCCGGACACGCACAAAAAUAACUACAGGACAUCUAACAUAUUAGGAUAGCACACAAACCUGGGCGAAUGGCAAGUCAAACCAAUUCAAACAUGCAUGCAAGUGGCAAAAUAUGAUUCUAUGCGAAAAACUACACAAGUUACAUAUAUAACUUUUCGCAAUCCGACACACGGUUUGAAAUCUACGGGCAUUUUAAAAUCUAGCCUUUUCUGAAAUAAAUAAAUUCGCAAGAAAAUACUAAAUGCUACGGGCCGAAUCUUUGCAUUGGGCCUAAACAACACAUAUGUGCCAAUAAGCAAAUACGCUCCCGUGGGCGAGGGAUAGGCGAGGGGGAACUCACCUAAGUGGGCUUCGGCCCAGGCUCGGAGGAGAGGUGGGCCGGUCGAAGGAGCUGGGCCGCUGGAGGAGCUCUCGGGCUGGCCAGCUGCAGUUGCGUGGGGCGAGGCCUCGCAGAUCUGGGCCGCGUUGGAGAGGAGGGUUGGGUCGGAUCUUGUCCAGGCGCUGGGGAAGGAGGCCCAGGCGACCUGUUCAUCCCUGUUGCCUCGUCUCCCUCCUGGAGCACGAGCCAGCAUAGGGUCCGGCGGCGGCGCAGCCACACAGGGCCUCCGGCGGGGCGACGAAGGCGGGGGAGGCCGGAUUCAUGCUGGGGAACUCCGAAUCUAACCAUUCCGGACGGUUUCGAGGCGAGGUGGCAAGCUCCUUCGACAGGCAUGGCGAACCUGCGGGAGGGAGAGGGAGAGAACCGGUUAGGGUGUGAGAAUAAGAGAGAAGAAGAGGGAGAGGGAGAAGGCAGGGCGCGGGGCCGGCCUGGUUCCGGCAAGGAGGUGAGGCGACGGGGCCGAUGAGGCGCGAGGACGAUGCUGCAGCGACGGCGUGGCGAGCGGGAGGUGCUCUAGGACGGGGCGGCUGCGGGGCUGCGGCGGCUGACCCGGGUCCAGAUGGGCUCGGGCGGGCCGGUUGCGGGCUCACGAGCCCGAUGGCGCUGAAGAGGAGGGAGGAGGUGUGGGAGGCAGCUAGGUUAGGGUUUGGCACGGGAAACGAGGGGGAUUAGGGGAGCUGCCUAUUUAUAGACAAACAAGGCUAGGGUUAUCCGAAUCCGGCUCCGUUUUCGACCACGGGAUCACGAUCGGGCGGCCACGGACGCAGGAAUGGCUAGGUGGCUGUGUAGAGUAGGCUAGCCGGAGAUGAGAGGGAAAACGGUGCGGCACGGCAAUGCAAUUUAAAAUACCGAAAAACGUUCGACGAAUAAUCGAAGACGGUGCCGCUACGAUCGACCGUUCGGGUACCAGACGGACUCCGAUUGUGACAAAAAUUGGCAGGCGGCCUACCUAUAUUUAAAUAAGACUGGACGCCAAGUUUCAACCUGAUCAAAGAAAGUUUUAUACACAAUUUUAAAAACAAGGAUUUGACGAUGUCGCGGGUGCGAGCGAGUGUGGUCUGGUUCAAAACGAACAACGACGAACACGGAGGGAACCGACAACUAAUAAUGGAUGCAAGUUUCGAAAACUGGCGGCAACAGAGUGCCGAUGCAAUGCCGGUGAUGCUCAUGCUGCGACAAAUAAAAAUAAACACAUGCCAGCAACGGAAUAAAAGGAGAAUCUUCUCAAGCAUCGGUCUCGGGUUGUCACAAUGUACCUAGGGUAGGGUCACAUGCGUGACCUAAAUGUCCUACCCAAGGGUACCUCAUUAUUAGCUGAAGGGUCACACAGAAGAUUCUGACUGGAUGUUCAUGGCACCUAAAAAGUCACUCGGUACACAAACACUCGGAAGAUAUUUCCGUCCACUCGGCGACCUACUUUCACUCGGAAGGUUCCAGUCGACACAGAAGACCAGAAGCCACCUCCACGGAGGCCAACAGGCAUACGCUCAGCUAAUAAUCAUGAAUAGCAUUAAUUACAUACAUAUGUUAUCAGUAACGUACAUCUUUAAACCAUAUUGAUCGAGCCCUUAGAUGCGGAGGCCUUGAUGAGGGGUAGCACACUCUAUAUAAGUCACCCCUCCCCUCUGGCACAAGGGUUUGCACCCCGUGUAACACACAUUCCACACUGCAAGAGCUCCCGAGCACUAAGACGUAAGGCUAUUACCUCUAAGAGAGGGGCCUGAACUCAUACAUCCUGUGUACAAGCUUGCCGUAGCUAGGACUCUCCCCUCUCCAUUCGUACCCUACACCUCUACUGUCACGUUUAUUCCCACGACAGUUGGCGCCCAUCAUGGGGCAGGCGUCUAAGCGAUUUCCGGCAAGUUUGCGAUUUUCACUCUCCGUCAUGUCUUCCGACUGUGAUUCGUUCAUGGGUGACGAGAUCCGUUUCGGCGCCCUCAUCUUCGUCGCCGAUGACUCGGCAUGGCUUCAGGAAGCGCCACUCGAUAUUAAGGCGCUCCCGAUCCGUGGUGCGACACACUUCCGUGCAAGCUCCUUCGGCGUACUCCUUCGGCAGCCGUCAACUCCGCUAUCGGCCGUUCACUCCGUUCUUCAUCGUCGUAAGCGAUCCGGUCGCUCACGACUCCAUCAAUGGGUGAAGCACGCAGUGUUUCACUAGGUGUCAUCUCCGUCGGCUCCUCAGUUCGCUGCCAUCGACCCUGCCGUACCCCUUCGGGACCCGAUCCACUCGACAUCAGAUCAGUCUGAUGUUCCUUCCAAGUGUGAAAGUUGCAAUCCAGCAGCGGAGGUCUUCAUGGCAGGCUCUGCGGAGAGCCCACCCGGGUUCGGUCACGGCGAGAACGAGGCUGGCGAACCGUCGACUGGACACGGUCGUCGUCGUCCUCCAACUUCCAGUCGGCGUCAGCGACAACUCUUCUCAAGUGGUCGACAAGACUACAUUGAGGUAUAUCGUACUCCGGUACUUAACGUUGCAACAGCAGCUAAGAUAGCAAAUUCUAUUCAGCCGUCAGAUUCAGAGGUUGGUAGAGGCUUAGAGUAGAUUCGCACUUUGCUUCAAGCAACGCAGCAACAGAAUUCACUUGUAUCGUAGUUGCUCAAUAGGUUACACAACAAUUCAGCAAGAGCAGAUACAAUGCAUUCAGUUUUCAGUCCAGGGUCACCCCAGCGUCGCAGAGAUGGGGGUUACUGAGAGAAUCAGCACAGAGACCAGGGGCGGAACCAGUUCCCUCCUUGUUAUCACCAUGAUGACCGUCGUCGAGUGCAUUCUCCUACGCGGAGCGGCACUUAUGUGUCCCGACACUACGAUGACCGGCGCACGUUCGGUGAUGAGCGGAAUCCAGGAUUUGAUGCGAGAAAUGUACUCAUAGAGAGAAGGAUCGACCGAGGCAGAGCUCACAGAGAUGGUUUCUACAGAGAUCAUCCGAGUGGAAGCGGUACUGCGGUUUCUGGUCCCGAGUGUUUCAGCAGAGCAAUCCGCUCUGCCGAUAUUCCCCCCAACUUCAGGUUGGCGGCUGGAAUCAGCAAGUUUACAUGAGAAUCCAAGCCUGAAACAUCGCUUGACGACUACCGAGUGGGUGUGCAGGUUGGCGGAGGCAAUGACAGCGUCGCCAUGAAGCACUUGCCCCUGAUGUUGGAUGGUUCGGACAAGGCGUGGCUGAAUCAGUUGGCCCCUUCUAGCAUCUACUGUUAGGAGGAUCUCGCUCGAGUGUUUAUCAAGACAUUUGAAGGCACAUGCAAGCAUCCAGCCGGUUAGUCCGAGCUACAACUUUGUGUGCAGAAGUCAAACGAGUCAUUGAGAGAUUACAUUCAGCAGUGGACCACCCUUCAUCACACGAUGGAAAAUGUUUCUCAGCACCACGCAGUCCCUGCUUUCAAGGUUGGCGUCAGAUACAGAGAGCUAUACUUGAAGUUUGGCAGAAUGAGCGACAUGUCCAUGAGUAAGAUGAUGGAGAUCUCUGCGUGGUAUGCCAACGACGCAAAAGAAGACUGCAUCCGCAGCGGUAAAGGGAAAACAGUCGACAACGACGCCAGCGACAAUUCCAAUAGGAAGCAGAAGCGCAAGGCUGAUGGUUCCACUCCAGCAGAAGCGGGUGCCGUGGCGGCGCAAGGAAAAUUGAAGGGAAAGUCCAAAGGAAAAUUCCCCCCAAGAAGUCCAAGGGUCAGUCGGACGUUCUGGACCAGUCAUGUGUAUUCCACACAAAGAAAGACGAAGAGGGCAAUUUGAUAUUGCCAAAGCACACCACUCGUUAGUGUCGACUGUUGAUCCAAGAGUUUAAAGAGGGUAAGUCGAGUGGAAAGGAUCCUGAGAAGGAAAACGAUGAAGAAAAAUAUGAUUUCCCCGAAGUCCAAGCAACGCUGAUGAUUUUUGCUCACGUAGAGAGCAAAAGUCCAUUGCAGGUCAUCAACAGAGAAGUCAACAUGGCAGUGUCUUCCACCCCCACAUACCUAAAGUGGUCGCAGACCCCCAUAACGUUUGAUUAGUCAGAUCAUUCAGCUCUUGUCCCUACUCCAGGUCGACAGGCUAUGGUGGUCGAUCCAGUUGUGGAGGGUGUUCGUCUUCGUAAAGUCCUGAUGGAUGGAGGAAGUGGAUUGAAUAUCCUGUAUACAGAAUCUCUCAAGGGAAUGGGCAUUCCAAUGUCCCGACUCAGCAAGAGCAGCAUGUCGUUUCACGGAGUCAUCCCAAGAAAGAAGGCCAAGUCACUCGGCCAGAUUGCAUUGGAUGUUGUAUUCGGCUCCGAUAAGAACUUUCGCAAGGAGAAGCUGACGUCCGAGGUGGUGGACUUCCAGAGUGCAUAUCGCGCCAUUCUGGGUCGUCCCUCUUAUGUAUGUUUCAUCGCCCGACCAUGUUACGUGUACCUGAAGAUGAAGAUGCCAGGGCCCAAAGGAGUCAUCACUAUCUCAGGCAAUCGACAGAGAGUUGAAGAGUGUUUGCAACAAGGCUAAAAAAAAUGGUCGAAUUGGAAGAGUAUCGGAAGAACGCCAACCCUGUUGACCGGAUGCGUUCCAAGAAGCGUGCUUCUGAGUCCACUUUUCAGUCAGCUAGAGAGGUCAAACCAGUGCACAUCCACCCGACGGAUCCUAAUGCUGCUCUGAUACGUCCCAAACGUAUCUAUAAUUUCUGCUUGUUCCAUGAUAUUUUUGGUGAAAUUGUUAUUUGUUUUGCUACACUUUUAUAUCAUUUUACACAUAUUUGGAGUAACCUACUAACUCAGUGCACCCAGUGCUAGUUUCUGAGUGCUGAUGUCUAUUUUGCACGGGCUUUUACACAAUUUUCCGAAGCCCGGAAAAUUCCAGAAAAAUAUAUAAAAAAUCAGCGAAACAUAAACUUCCGGAUCACGGAAGAUGGGAUAGAGGGGGGCCACGGGCCUCCCAGGCGGCCUGCUCGCGCGGCUAGGCUCUAGGCCGCGCCAUGAGGUCGCUUGGGUGGGUCCCACCUCCUCCGGUGCCCUCCUUUGGCCUAUAUUUAGAGUUCCGAGAGUUAACCCUCACAGACUUUCUGGAAUCGCGAAUUUAUCCAUCGUUUCGCCGCAGCAGCGCUUCCGAGAUUGGGAGCGUCAGGAGACCUCUUCCCGGCACCUUGCUGGAGGGAGGAUUGACCUCCGGGAGCUUCUCCACUGCCAUGGAUGCUUCCCGGACGUGCCGCGAGUAGUCCUUCUUGAACCAUGAGUCCAUGACCAGUAGCUAUGUGAUGUCUUCUCUCCAAUCUUGUGCUUAAAUGGUUAGUCCUUGUGAGCUGCCCUACAUGAUCAAGGCAUCUAUGUAAUUCUAUUGCUAUUGCUAUGCUCGGUUUGUUGGGAUCCGAUGGAUUAUGAGAUUAUGUUCAGAUUGUUAUGAGUUACAUAUUUGAUUAUCCUUUUAUAUUAUGUUCCUUAGUGAUUCAUGCAUGUUCUCCGUUUCUAUUUAUUGCUUUAUCCGAGUAGUAGAUUGUAACUCCAAGAGGGAGCAUUAUGCAUGGUUGUGGGUUCAUGCCCCUCGAUGUCUAGCUUGAGUGACAUAAACAUGAGACUAGGGGAUGUGCUUGUUGCCACCAGGGAGAAAACAACAGUGCGACGAGAGAUAAUGAAUUAUUUUAUUAAGGGAACUAUAACCACUCUAAUCAACUUAUGAUGAGUUUCAUAUGAAGGGAAUUUUCAAGUAUGCAAUGGGAGAUGACGAAAGAAGAUACAAGAGUGUCAAGCGUUCAAGCUUGGGGAUGCCCCCGUGCACCCCAAGAAAUAUUCAAAGGAGACUCAAGCGUCUAAUCUUGGGGAUGCCCCCGUGCAUCCCCUUCUCUAUCAACAAUCAUCAGUUCGUCCAUCUCCAUGCUAUAUUUUUAUCACUUCAUAUAAUAUGUGCUAUGCUUGGAGCGUCUCACUCUUUAAUUUUUAGUUUGUUUUAGUUUUGCUUCCUGUUCAUAACAAGUCAGAACCUAGCCUACCUUGUUUGGGAGAGACACACACUCCAUUCCACUCUAGAACACAACAUAGGUUUUCAUGCUUAUCUUUUUUGUGUGUUCUUCAUCUUUUCGUAGCUAUUGUCAUGCUUAGCUCUUAGUUUUCAUGCUUAUUGUUAAGAGCUUUUAUUUAGGUUGCUUCUGGAACUCUCUUGAGUUAUCAUGCUUAUCUUUUUUAGAGAGUUAGCUCGUUGCACUGAGUUGUGUGUCUUGCAUGAGUAGGUAAUUGAGAUUGCUAUUUAAGUACAGUAGUAACCUUCAAUAGUUUUGAGGUAUUGAUUUGAGUAAUGUUUGGACUAUUGGUGCCAAGAGCUUGAGCCUGUUAGUGAUAGGUGUCGUAUUUUGGGAAAUCCGUGUGCUUUUCAAAAAACUAAAAAUUAGUUGAGAACUCUAGCUACUAAAUUGAUCGCUAACCUCUGGAGGGGUUGGAAUAUAUAGAGUACCCUCACGUUACCAUGAGUCGACGAUGCGCAAGGAUAACCAAACCCCCAAACACUCCUCCUUGGGGUACUUGUCUCUUUGUGAAUUUCCUAACUAGAUAGAGAGUUACUGAUAAUAAGUGUAUGAGUUAUUCGGACUAAUGUGAGUAUUCGAUUGUUGGCACUUCCACCAUCCAUAUUUUGCUAGACUCUUUGGUACUGUGCAUUGGCCUUUCUCACAUUGAGAGUUGGUGCAAACUCCGCCGGUGCAUCCAAAACCAUGACAUGAUACACUCUGUCAUACAUAAGCCUCAUUAUAUAUUUCCUCAAAACUACCAUCAUACCUACCUAUUAAGGAAUUUCCAUAGCCUUUCCGAGAUACAUUGCCAUGCAACAUCCACCAUCUCUUGACUUGAUCUUCAUGUAAUACAUGCUUUUGCUUGAUCGAGGAGCCGCAUGCUAGUUGGGCCUUGCCCUUAUUACUACUACAUGACGUGCUAGUAUCAUUGCAUAUCCUGCUACACUGGCGCAGGCAUACAUUUGCAUACAUCAUGAUAGUUUUCAUUUGUCUUUAUGUUGAGUACUUCUUAUAAUGUGUGAUGAUUUUUCUUUUUGUUCAUGUAAAAUAUAAAGUGUUGCCCUUAAGUGAGGAAAAGAUCCCAAAGUGGACAAAACAAUAGAUCCCAAAGAGGACAAAUGAGAGAUAAAAAUAAAGAGCCAAAGAGGCCACAAAAAAAAGAAAAAAAAGAGAGAAGGGGGCAACACUACUAUUCCUUUUGAAAGAUCCACACUCAUACUCCAUUGCUAUAUUGGUACUACAUAGAGAUUAUCAUUCAUGCAUAACUAUAUGGGGACCCUUACACUAUAGAAUUUGGUUUGCAUAUUCCAAUGAUGAGCCUCCUCAAAUGAGCUCUAGGUCUUCAUGAGCAAACAAGUUGGAUGCACCCCCACUAGUUCCAUUGGAGAGCUUACCUUAGCUCAUAUGUGCAUCCGUUACAUGGCAAUCCCUACUCCUCACAUCAUGUCUAUCAUUUGGCUUUCUCUCGCCUAUGGUUGUCCUCACUGAUGUGAGUUCUUCACACCUUUUUGUCUUCCUUCCCCAUCAUUAUUCUAUUUGCCAUCCUAAGUGCCAACAUAUCUUGCUUACGCUCAUCCAUUGCAUGAGUGCUCAAAGUCGAAAGGGAGAUGAUCAUUUUGACUUGUGCCUAACUAUUGGUCUGGGGAUGAGUCAAAAUAAGAUUCGAAGGAGACUAAGUGUGAGGUUUAGUAGAUUGAGUUCUCAAUUUUAAAUAAUAUUUUAUGAUCUCAACCCAUCUCCCACUUCUUGCACGCAAACACCAUUUGGAGACAUUCGAGUCACGGACGGUGAGAGCUCUUGCACCUUUAUGUUCUUACUUUGCUAAACUCAAUACUAGAUAUAGACUCUUGCUUGUUAUUGUCUUGACUUGAAUUGCAUAUCUCACUUGCUUUACUUUGAAGUUAUUAUACGUGUGUUAGCAUGUCACCACAAAAAUUAUUGUGUUAUCAUUUAUCUACUCGAGGACGAGCAGAAAUUAUGCUUGAGGAUGUUGAUACGUCCCAAACGUAUCUAUAAUUUUUUGCUUGUUCCAUGAUCUUUCGGGUGACAUUGUUAUAUGUUUUUCUACACUUUUAUAUCAUUUUACACAUAUUUGGACUAACUUACUAACUCAGUGCACCCAGUGCCAGUUUCUAUCUGUUUAUGUCUAUUUUGCAGGGUCUUUUACCCAAUUUUCCGAAGCCUGAAAAAUUCCAGGAAAAAAUAAAAAAAGCCAACGAAACAGAAGCUUCCGGAUCACCGAAGAUGGGCCAGAGGGGGGCCAGGGGCCUCCCAGGCGGCCUGGUGGUGCGGCCAGGCCCUAGGCCGCGCUAGCAGGUCGCCUGGGUGGGUCCCACCUCCUAUGGUGCCCUCCUUUGGCCUAUAUUUAGAGUCCUGAGAGGAAACCCUCGCAGACUUUCUGGAAUCGCGAAUUUCUCCAUCGUUCCGCCGCCGCAGUGCUUCUGAGAUCGGGAGCAUUAGGAGACCUCUUCCCGGCACAGAUGACCCACAAGUAUAGGGGAUCAAUCGUAGUCCUUUCGAUAAGUAAGAGUGUCGAACCCAACGAGGAGCAGAAGGAUCUGGCAAGUGGUUUUCAGCAAGGUAAAAUCUGCAAGCACUGAAAUUGUCGGUAACAAGUGAUUGUGUGGUGAGAUGAAUCGUAGCAAGCAACAAGUAACAAAAGUAGCAACGGUGCAGCAAAGUUGCCCAAUCCCUUUUGUAGCAAGGGACAAGCGUGGACAAAGUCUUAUCGGAGGAAAACGCUCCCGAGGACACACGGGAAUUUCUGUCAUGCUAGUUUUCAUCAUGUUCAUANNNNNNNNNNNNNNNNNNNNNNNNNNNNNNNNNNNNNNNNNNNNNNNNNNNNNNNNNNNNNNNNNNNNNNNNNNNNNNNNNNNNNNNNNNNNNNNNNNNNNNNNNNNNNNNNNNNNNNNNNNNNNNNNNNNNNNNNNNNNNNNNNNNNNNNNNNNNNNNNNNNNNNNNNNNNNNNNNNNNNNNNNNNNNNNNNNNNNNCUUGGGUACUGCCCUUAGUUGGACAAGCAUCCCACUUAUGAUUAACCCCUCUCGCAAGCAUCCGCAACUACCAAAGAAGAAUUAAGACAAAGUCUAACCAUAGCAUUAAACUAGUGGAUCCAAAUCAGCCCCUUACGAAGUAACGCAUAAACUAGGGUUUAAGCUUCUGUCACUCUAGCAACCCAUCAUCUACUUACUACUUCCCAAUACCUUCCUCUAGGCCCAAAUAAUGGUGAAGUGUUAUGUAGUCGACGUUCACAUAACACCACUAGAGGAAAAACAACAUACAACAUAUCAAAUUACCGAACGAAUACCAAAUUCACAUGACUACUAUUAGCAUGACUUAUCCCAUGUCCUCAGGAACAAAAGUAACUACUCACAAAGCAUAAUCAUAUUCAUGACCAGAGAGGUAAUGAGUAGCAUCAAGGAUCUGAACAUAAACUCUUCCACCAAAUAAUCCAACUAGCAUCAACUACAAAGAGUAAUCAACACUACUAGCAACCUUACAAGUACCAAUUGGAGUCGCCAGAUGGAGAUUGGUUACAAGUGAUGAACUCGGGUUUGGAGAUGAGAUGGUGCUGAUGAAGAUGUUGAUGGUGUCGAGUCCCCUCCGAUGAGAGGAGUGUUGGCGAUGACGAUGGCGACGAUUUCCCCCUCUGGGAGGGAAGUUUCCCCGGCAGGAUUGUCCUGCCGGAGCUCUAGAUUGGUUCUGCUCAAGUUCCGCCUCGUGGCGGCGGCGAAUCCACGAAAAAGCUCCGCCUUGAUUUUUUCCUGGACAAAAACCCCCAUAUAGCAAAAGAGGGGGGCAAGUGGGCUAGUAGAGUGCGCACAAGCCCCCAUGGCGCGGCCUGGGGGGGUGGCCGCACCGUGCAGGCUUGUGGCCACCCCGUGGCACCCCUCUCGUGCUUCUUCGGCCAAGUAUUUUUUAUAAAUCCCAAAAAAAAUCCUCGUUGAUUUUUACGGCGUUUGGAGUUGCGCAGAAUAGGUAUGUCAAACUUGCUCCUUUUUCAGGGCAGAAUUCCAGCUGCCGGCAUUCUCCCUCUUCAUGUAAACCUUGCAAAAUAAGAGAGAAAAGACAUAAGUAUUGUACCGUGAAGUGAAAUAACAGCCCAAAACGCGAUAAAUAUCAGCAUGAUGCAAAAUGGACGUAUCAACUCCCCCAAGCUUAGACCUCGCUUGUCCUCAAGCGAAAGCUUAGCUCAAUAAAUAUGUCCACAUGUUUAGGGAGAGAGGUUUCGACAAAACAAGAUACGAACAUGCAUGCAUCAUGAUCAUGAUCAGAACAGCAAUACCAACAUAUAAUCUCUCAUGCUAAAGUGAUAAUUCCUUCACAAAGUAAAGCAUGGAUCAAGAAUCUUACAGGGAAGUAACAACCUAUAGCCUGUAGUCAUUGAAGCAAUUGCAAUUUAUCACAACAUCAGAAAGAGUCAAAUAAGAGCUUGUAAAGCAAAUCCACAUACUCAAUCAUCCUUUCGUUCUCUACAAUUUCUACAACUCACGUGGUACUCAUGAGAUCAAAGUUUCAGCUGGACACAGCGAAAGAUAGGGGCUUAUAGUUUCGCCUCCCAACUGCUUACCUCAAGGGUAAUGGAAACAACAAUAAUUCAUGAAUACUUACUUCCAAGUUGACAUAUGAAUAUAGAUCUUUCCCAAGCAUAUGACGUUAGCCAAGAUAAAGGCGAAACAAGGAAUUGGUGAAGAUCACCAUGACUCUUUCAAGGGCAAAAAGUAAAGGUACAAGAUAGGCCCUUCGUAGAGGGAAGCACAUGUUGUCAUGCGCUUUUGAGGUUUGGAUGCGUGUCCUCUUAGUGCGGAGGAACGUCACUUUAUAUUGCCUCCUGUGAUAAACAACUUUAUUAUGCAGUCUGUCGCUUUUAUGUCUUCCUCAUCACAGGUUCGUACAAAGCUUAUUUUCCACACACUAAUAGAUCAUACAUUUUAGAGAGCAAUUUUUAUUGCUUUCACCGAUGACAACUUACUUGAAGGAUCUUAUUCAAUCCAUAGGUAGGUAUGGUGGACUCUCAUGGCAAAACUGGGUUGAAGGUUUAUGCAUGCACAAGUAGUAUCUCUACUUAGUGCGGGAGGUUUGGCUAAUGUGAGGUGGAAGCAAUCUUCACAUGCUAAGGGAUCUCUAAUCAUAUAACAUUGUUCGGAGCCAAGCAAACACAAUUCAUUAUGUUGUCUUCCUUGUCCAACAUCUACUUCUAGGCAUGCAAUACUUUAGUGAGUGUUCACAAUCAUAGAUGGUGUCAGAGAUGAUAUAUUUAUAUGUGAACCUCUCCUUCUUUAUCACUUCCUAUUAAUUGCAACGAUGACCAAGGUCUAUGUUUGGCUACCCUCAACAAGUUUCAAUCCUCAUUCUUUUUAUAUGUGAAGCCAUCACUUCCCAUAAGAUCUUUAAAUGAUCUUUCAUGCUUUUGUUCUAUUCUCACUCUUUUGAUCAUGGCAAGAGGCAAAGCCCUUCAACUAAGACACUCUUUAUUAUAUGGCUCACGAGCUCGAAUACAUCGGGGGUGACACAAAGCAAAACUCAAGACUAAAACACUAAGACUUUUAAUCUACUAGAGAAAGAGAAAACUGAAAAGGAAAACUAAAACAAGGGUAAAGGCAAAAGUUGUGAUGGUGAUACAAUACCGGGGCAACUCCCCCAAGCUUGACACAAGCCAAGGGGAUUGCCCAUACCAAUGCUCAGUUGUCUUCCUUUGGUGGUGAUGGUGGAGGAGUUUUUGCAACAUGAGUUUGAUCCCCCGUCUUCCAAGGCAUAGGUGCUCCAUCAUGGAAAGAUAAAUGAGUCUCCGGGAUCCUCAAAUAUGCAGCCAACCAUAUUGAUUUAAAUCUAUACUCGUACUCACAGUUUUGGUUCUGCAUGUCAUAGAUGUGGGCCUGGAGUUGAUCAAUCCUCUCAUAGAGCCUGGAGAGGUGCUUUCCAAUGUCAUUGGCGUCAAUCCUGUGCUUGUUGGUGAACUCCGUGAUCAUCAUGUGGUUGGCAUUGAGUCCACGCUCCACCAUCCUUUGGCACUUGAAGACUUGUUGCUCCAUUGCUUCGAGCCUCGUCUCCAUGCUUCCGGUCUUCUUGGGCACCUAAACAUCACGGAUGUGCAACAUCCCCUCACGCAUCUCAAUAGAUUGAGGGUGUUGCAGCACUCCCGUGAGGUAGGGAUAGAUGACCUUCUUGAAGAUCUUGUCCUUCGGAGCUUUUGGAGAAGUCAUAGCGAUCUAGAUCUGCAACAGAAACAGGCUCGAAACGAAAAACAGAAGAAAUCUACGUGAUGCAGGGGUCAGACCAAACGGGAGUAAAUAUAAUGAUUUUUCCAUACUAGAAGGAGUACCCUGUACGAAAACGGAGUCCGGGAGGUGCACAAGGUGGCCACAAGCCCUCACGGCGCGGCCAGGGGGUGGGCCUGCGCCGUGUAGGCUUGUCGCCUCCUCGCGCACUUUCCGGACUACUUCCAAUUUUUGUAUUUUUUCAAAUAUUCCAAAACGGAGAAAAUUUCCUACUAGAAAAUUUUGGACUCAGUUUUCUUACCGAAUCACAUACCUCUUCGUUUUCGGAGUCUGAAACAGGCUGAUAAAUGUCCCUUAGGUAUUCUUCCGGAGUUAUGGUAUUGAUGAUAUUGCUUUCAACAUUUAUGGGAGUACCUGAGAUAUAAUGCUUGAUUCUCUACCCAUUUACAACUCUUGGACAAUUACCUUCCGUGUUGUUGAUCUUGAUAGCACCGGAACGAUAUACUUCCUCAACAACAUAGUGACCAUCCCAUUUAGAGAGAAGUUUGCGUGCAAAGAAUCUUAAACGAGAGUUAUAUAGCAAGACAUAAUCACCUACAGUGAACUCACGCUUUUGUAUCCUCUUGUCAUGCCACCUCUUAACCUUCUCUUUGAACAACUUGGCAUCUCAUAUGCCUGAGUUCUCCAUUCAUCAAGCGAGCUGAUCUCAAAUAACCUCUUCUCACCGGCAAGUUUGAAAUCAAAGUUGAGCUCUUUGAUUGCCCAAUAAGCUUUAUGCUCUAGCUCAAGAGGUAAAUGACAUGCUUUACCGUAAACCAUUUUGUACGCAGACAUUCCAUGGGAUUCUUAUAAGCAGUUCUAUAAGCCCACAGUGCAUCAUCGAGCAUCUUAGACCAAUUCUUUCUAGACCUGUUGAUAGUCUUUUGCAGAAUUAGUUUAAUCUCUCUGUUGCUUAGCUCUACUUAACCACUGGACUGAGGGUGAUAGGGAGACGCAAUUCUAUGGUUGACAUUGUACUUAGCAAGCGUUUUACGGAAAGCACCAUGAAUGAAGUGUGAACCACCGUCGGUCAUUGGAUAUCUAGGGACUCCAAAUCUAGGGAAGAUAACUUCUUUCAGCAUCCUGAUAGAGGUGUUGUGAUCAGCACUACUAGUGGGGAUAGCUUCUACCCACUUAGUGACGUAAUCAACAGCAACUAGGAUAUGAGUAUACCCGUUGGAUUUUGGAAAAGGUCCCAUAUAAUCAAAGCCCCAGACAUCAAAUGGUUCAAUGACAAGUGAAUAGUUCAUAGGCAUUUCCUGACGUUUGCUAAUAUUACCUAUUCUUUGACAUUCGUCACAAGACAAGACAAACUUACGGGCAUCCUUGAAGAGAGUGGGCCAAUACAAACCUGAUUGCAAUACCUUGUGCGUAGUUCUAUCUCCCGCAUGGUGUCCUCCAUAGGCCUCGGAGUGACACUUCUGUAGGAUUUGUCCCUGUUCAUGUGCAGGUACACAACGUCUAAUAACACCAUCUACUCCUUCCUUAUAAAGGUGAGGAUCAUCCCAAAAGUAGUGUCUCAAGUGAAAGAAGAAUUUCUUCUUUUGCUGGUAUGUGAAACUAGGUGGUAUAUAUUUGGCAACGAUAAAGUUUGCAUAAUCAGCAUACCACGGUGCACUACAUGAAGCAUUGAUGACAUUUAGUUGCUCAUCGGGAAAGCUAUCAUCAAUAGGUUGUGGGUCAUCAAGAACGUUCUCCAACCUAGACAAGUUGUCUGCUACUGGGUUAUCAGCACCCUUCCUGUCAACAACGUGCAAAUCAAAUUCUUGUAGCAAGAGAACCCAUCUGAUAAGUCUAGGUUUAGCGUCCUUCUUCUCCAUAAGGUACUUAAUAGCAGCAUAAUCAGUGUAAAUAGCGACUUUGGAAUCAACUAUGUAAGACCUGAGCUUUUCACAUGCAAACACGACUGCUAAAAAUUCCUUCUCCGUAGUAGCAUAGUUUCUCUAGGCAUUGCCUAGAGUUUUACUAGCGUAGUGAAUAACAUUCAAAUUCUUAUCGACUCUUUGCCCUAGAACAACACCAACAGCACAAUCACUAGCGUCACACAUGAUUUCAAAAGGUAAGUUCCAAUCAGGUGGUUGAACAAUAGGUGCAGUUAUCAAAGCCCUCUUAAGUAUUUCGAAGGCUUCCUCACAAUCAUCGUCAAAAACAAAAGGAAUAUACUUUUGCAAGAUACUGGUAAGAGGCCUAGAAAUCUUAGAGAAGUCCUUAAUGAACCUUCUAUAGAAAUCAGCAUGACCAAGGAAACUUCUUAUACCUUUGAUAUCUGUGGGGUAUGGCAUUUUCUCGAUUGCAUCAACCUUAGCCUUAUCGACUUCAAUACCUCUUUCAGAAAUUUUAUGCCCUAAGACAAUGCCUUCAUUAACCAUAAAGUGGCACUUCUCCCAGUUCAAAACAAGAUUGGUGUCUUUACAUCUCUGUAAGACUCGAUCAAGGUUGCUGAGGCAAUCAUCAAAGGAAGACACGUAAACGGAGAAGUCAUCCAUGAAAACCUCAACAAUCUUUUCACAAAAGUCAAAGAAUAUAGCCAUCAUACAUCUUUGAAAGGUGGCAGGUGCAUUGCAUAAGCCAAAAGGCAUACGUCUAUAAGCAAAGGUACCGAAAGGACAGGUGAAAGUGGUUUUCUCCUGAUCAGAUUGUGCAACUGGUAUUUGGGAGAAACCAGAAUAACCGUCUAGAAAGCAGAAGUGUGUGUGUUUAGAUAGUCUUUCUAGCAUUUGGUCGAUAAAAGGCAAAGGGUAAUGAUCUUUCCUAGUGGCCUUAUUCAAUUUCCUAAAAUUGAUCACCAUCCUAUAGCGAGUAAUAAUCCUGUGUGGGAUCAAUUCAUCCUUAUCAUUAGGGACAACGGUAAUGCCUCCCUUCUUAGGGACGCAAUGGAUCGGACUCAUGUAGCGACCCGACUCAAAACGAGUCAAGCCUCUGUGUUUCUGUGCCAUCCCUGGAUCAGUAUGCUGGCAUACACAGUACAUCAAUGUAUAUAUCAAAGUGCAAUCACAUGUAAAUAGCGUAAAACUGAUAUAUACCUUAAAUAUUUCAGCGGAAGCAAUCAAGGGAGUGGAGUCCCAAUAAACACCAACGGCAAGUUGAGUGUAGACCGUAACCCUGAAUCGUACUCUUACUCGUCGAAGAAAAUAUCUGCAACAUAAGACGUUGCAGCCGUGUAGGUCAGCAUAUUGAAUAUGCCGGCAAGUCACAUAGAGAGAGGGGUAAAAUGUCAUCUAUACUAUAUGCAUAUAUGGCAGGUGGGGCUAUAAGUUUUUAGCGAAAAACAAGUUUUCUCCUACAUCAAGAGAGGGGCUAAAAGCAAAAUAUUACUACGUAGUUGGUUGUUAAUGAGAUGGUUCCGCCAACCAGUUCUCAUACCCGAGUUAUCAUUAAUUACCCUCAUCCAAUAUAUAUAAUGGUGUUGAGAAAUCCAGAUAACUUCAGUUCCUUUGGCUCAAGUUGUCCAUGACCGUGGACACGGCUAAUCGAUUAGGUUUGAGUACUCUGCAGAGUUUUGCACACGUUCCCCACAAGAUUUGAUCGCCUCCGAGUAUGUCCUCGCACUUCAGGGUGUUUGAAGACCGGAUGAUCAAAACAUGGUCUUUCAACGGGUCCCUCUGAAUCCUUGUCGGUGCCCAUCCAUUCCUACCGUUCUUCUACAUCUGCUAGCACCGCCUGUCCAGAGUCGCCGCGUUGUCCAACCAAGCCAGAGCCCAUAAUGACUUGUGGCUGUGCAGGUAAGCCUUGGGUCUUGAAAAUAUCCGUCCGUCUCUUUGAGCCUGGGUGAAGCUUUCCGCAGGAUAUCAUGGCCGUCCCCAGCAUCCCGGGCAUCCACUGGGUUUUCCAGGGAGCUGAUCAACCGUCCUUCACCCAGUGUUGCAUUGCGUCCGAGGUCUUGAAAAUCUUGUCUUAACCGGUCUUGAUUAUUUAAUCAACCUCCCAUCACUCGUGAUAUACACUCAACCGAAAAACCCGUCUACUCAAGCAUAGCAUUAAGAAAUUGUCGUCCCGGGGCCAAGUAUCGGGGUUGUUGUGUGCCUACCACAUGAUACUACAAAAAUUUCCAAGUACCUAAGCAGCAUGCAAUUGGGCAUAGGAUGGUAGAACUACGAUGCAUAAAACAUAGCAGAUACAUGAUCAAAUGACUUGCCUGUGAUGUUGACGAAGAAGAAUUCCUCGAGAAAAUAACUUGAUGGACUACUCGUCACUCUCCGAUGAAAUCUAUAUAGCAAACAUAUCAUUCACAUAAGCACUCAUACUUGCAAUCAUUCUAGCAAUCAAAACAAAAGAGAGAGAGAGCGAAUAAGAAACCGAAAGAAAACUUCAAAUAAGGCUAGGGAGUCUUCUACUAAGUCAAACACUAAAUAGUUUUGUCUAACAGAAAAUAAUAACAAGGAACUAAGGUAUAAGUUUAUCUAAGAUAAAAUAAAGUAUUUUUCACAAAACUUUUUGAAAGUAUUCCCAAACGGGAUUUGAAACAAUGCGGAAACCAAUUGCAAGUUACUAAGGAACUAGAAUUGAUUUCAUGAAAACAAAUAAAUAUAAAAUAAAAUCUUGUUGCAAAACUACUGUUAGCUAACAGAAACAAAACAUAAUAUUUCUGAAAUAAUAAAGAAAAUAUUUUAAAACAAAAGUAGAAAAGGAAUUAGCCAAAAUCCUAAAAGAGGUGAAACAGAAAUUAUUUCACAUGAAACAGUGAGCUAAAAUACUCAAACAAAUCUGAAAUUUUUACCACUUAUAAAUAGGAUCACUAGUGAUCAGUACCAAAAGGAAUCGAAUUAAAAGCUAUUUUGAAACUCCUGGAAUAGGCAAAACAAGGUUUAAACUAAAUCUGAUCUAACUUAUAUUUGAAACAUUCAAACAUAGACAAACUAUAUGUUUUUAAACACUACAGGAAAUUUGUGAGCUACUGGAAAAAGAAUCAACAUCAUUGGACUUCGGGAUCAAAAGUUAUGGGCUAAACAACAUUGAAACUUUCUGUUUUUGCAAUUUAGACAAAAAAAAUUGAAGCUAACUAGUAACUAACAGAGGGGUACACGUGGCAUGUUGCUAUAGGCUGCGGGUGCUGUUUGUUGCAAGGCUAGGAGCAAAUGGCCGAAGCUAACAAACUCGCUGGCUAAAAGAAUAAGUGAACUAAAAACCGCUGGUUUUCUAAACUAAACCGAAGAGUUAUCCCUAGAUCUAACCUAAACCAUCUACUAGAGAUCUAAGGGCUACAAAACAAUAAAAGAGAAAUAACAGAGAGAGGAGGGGUUACCUCGGCUGGGAAGUUGCCCCCGUGGCUCGCAAUGGCCGAUGGUGGUGGGGUGGGGGAGGGGCCGGCGGGAGUGGGGAAGGGGGGGGGCGAAGGGGGUGGGGUAGCGAGGUGGGGUUCCCUGGGGCGAGGUGGAGCUGCAAGGGGGGGCCGAGGUGGGAAAGUUACUGGUGUGCUGCUGCUGGUCGUGGUGAUGGAGAUGGGGAGGUGCAGCAUGGGGUGGAGGGGUGGCGGGGUGGCAAGUGGGCGGCGGUGGAGGGAGCCGAAGUGGUGGCGAGAGGUGGAGGAGGGGGUGCAGCGAGGUGGAGGAGUUCCUGGCGAGGUGCAGCGAGCUUCUGGUGACGUUCUCCGGUGCCGACUCCAGCGGGGGUGCGCGAGCUAGAGGCGAGGAGAGGCUGCGGUUUCAACGGGAAUGGAACGAGGAGGACGUGGGGCUUCUUAUAGAGGCGACGGGAGGCGCUGGGAAGGAAAGGGCUUCUCGAAUCCCGGAGGUGGGGAUUCUCCUCUCCAUGGAAGGUAAGUUUCUGUCACGUGGAGAAGAGAUGGAGGUAGGAGAAGAUCUCCUGUUGGGCUAGAAUAGGUAAGUCUUAAUGGGCCAACAUGCAAUUCCUAAUAAAAGUGAUUUCCUUCCUAUUUUCAAAACUAGGAAACUAAGACGUUAAAAAGGAAAUCAAAUCAAUUCGGAAUAAAGAGUUUUUAUAUACCAAAAUUAUCAGAAAAAUAAAAUAUAAAUGAUGGGAAUUUUUCCACGGCAAAAAUAAAAACUUCAGAAAAAAUUAUUUUCACAAAAUUGCCCAAAAGGUUUAUUUUCUUUUGCAAAUAAUUUUCAAAUGACCCUCUAAGUUUUAGGGUGCAAAUAACAUUCAAAAUGCCCGGGUAUUUGAGGGUCAUGUUCCUCCGCUCUUUAGAAUGUAUUUCCCGGCAUUUCUUGCACGAAGAAAACGAAUGGAAAUGCAAAAAGAAUUCGAAUGCAAAUAUCUCCGUUCAAAUUAUUUAUAGUUGAAGAAGUCAUGUCAUCUUCUCUCGUUGCUUAUAAAAGAUUGAAUUUGAAUUCACCGGAGAAGGGGAAAGUCAUUUUAUUCCCUCUCAUUCAAAAGUUUCGAAAAGUUUCAAAUUUCACACAAGUUUCAGUCACUCAGCAAACAAACAAACAAUCAAUCUAAUAAUUAUAUUAACAUUCCAAAAUUUAUAAUUUUGGGGUGUUACAACUCACCCAAUCGCUAUGAGAAACAGGAUAGAUAAUACCCGCUUCUAGGAGCUUUAGUAUUUGUUUUCUUACUACUUCUUUCAUCUUAGGAUUCAAUCUCCUUUGAUGAUCAGCAACUGGUUUGAAAUCAGGAUCAGUUUUGAUCUUGUGCUGGCAUAGAAUGUGACUAAUGCCCUUAAGAUCAUCAAGAGUAUAUCCAAUAGCAGCACGAUGCUUCCUCAGAGUUUUUAGUAACUUCUUUUCUUCAUGCUCUGAGAGGCUAGCACUAAUAAUAACAGGAUAUAUCUCCUUUUCAUCAAGAUAAGCAUACUUAAGAGUAUCAGGCAACUGUUUAAGCUCGAACACAGGAUCACCCUUUGGUGGAGGUGGAUCCCCAAGCUGUUCAACAAGCAAGUUAUUCUUAAGGAUUGGAUAUUGUUCUAAGACAACUCUAUCUAUUUCAUCCCUUUCAUCCAUAUGCAUAUCAUUUUCAUGCUCAAGCAAGUAUUGCUCUAAGGGAUCUGUAGGAGGCACGACAAUAGAUGCUAAGGCAAUAGUUUCAUCCUUACUAGGCAACUCUUUUUCAUGAGGUUGUCUACCAAACUUGGAGAAAUUGAACUCAUGUGACACACCUUCAAAGCCAACAGUGACAGUUUGCUUCUCACAAUCAAUGUGAGCAUUGACAGUAUUGAGGAAGGGUCUGCCAAAUAUGAUGGGACAAAAGCUAUCUUAUGCGGUAGCAAGAACGAGGAAAUUAGAAGGAUACUUCGUUUUACCACACAAGACUUCAACAUCCCUAACAAUUCCCACAGGGCAGAUAGUAUCUCUAUUGGCAAGCUGAAUAGUGACAUCAAUAGGCUCUAUCUCAACAAGUGCAAUCUCAUCUUUGAUUUCAUCAUAUAAGGAUUGAGGUAUUGCACUAACACUAGCACCCACGUCACAUAAACCAUGAUAACAAUGAUAUCCUAUCUUAAUAGAAACCACAUGCAUGCCAACAACAGGCCUAUGUUUGUCUCUAACGUGAGGUUUAGCAAUUCUAGCAGCAUCUUCACAGAAGUGAAUAUUAUGUCCCUCAACAUCGUCGGACAGAAGAUCUUUGAUAAUAGAAAUUCUAGGUUCAACUCUAAUUUGCUCAGGGGGUGUAGGUGUUCUAAUAUAGCCUAUAUGUAUCACCGUUGAAGCUUUAGAAUGAUCCUUUAUCCUAACAGGGAAAGUUGGUUUCUCAAUGUAAGCACUAGGAACCACAAGAUCAUUAUAGGCAAUGACUUUCUCUUCAACUGGAGUGGGUUUAACUACAUUGACUUCUAAAGGAGGAUGAUAUUUAAACCACUUCUCUUUGGGGAUAUCAAUAUGAGCAGCGAAGGAUUCACACAAUGAAGCUACUAUCUCAGAGUCAAAUCCAUACUUAGCGCUAAAGUCACAAGAAGUAUUUGUCUCAACAAAGGAUUUAACGCAAUCAAACGUGAAAUUCAUACCUGACUCCUUGCCUUCUUCAAGCUCCCAAUCUUCAUAGUUGCGUUUAAUUCUCUCCAAUAAAUUCCAUUUGAAGUCAAUAUCUCUCUUCAUAAAAGAACCGGUACAAGAAGUGUCAAGCAUGGUGCGAUCAUCAUGAGAAAGCCGAGCAUAGAAGUUCUGAAUGAUAAUUUCUCUCGAGAGCUCAUGAUUGGGGCAUGAAUAUGACAUUAAUUUAAGCCUCCCCCAAGCUUGAGCGAUGCUUUCUCUGUCACGAGGCCAAAAAUUCUAAAUAUAAUUCCGAUCACGAUGUACUAAAUGCAUAGGAUAAAACUUUUGAUGAAAUUCCAAUUUCAACCGAUUGUAGUCCCAUGAUCCAGUAUCAUCACAUAGCCUAUACCAUGUCAACGCCUUAUCCUUCAAAGUUAAAGGAAAGACCUUCUUCUUGACCUCAUCCUCGGGCAAACCUGCAAGCUUAAAUAAACCACAAACUUCAACUACAUAGAUUAGAUGCAAGUCUGGAUGUGAUGUUCCAUCUCCUGUAAAAGGAUUAGCCAGCAGUUUCUCAAGCAUACCCAAAGGAAAUUCAAAGCAAAUAUUUUCAGUAUGUGCAGCUGGUUGAGGAGAAACUCUUUGUGCUUCCGUUCGAAGUGAAGAUACCCCGUACAAGCCCCUCAAAGGAUUAGUAUCCAUAGUGACAAGUGACAACAAAUUUCAGCACACUAUAUGAAUGUUUCCUUACCAAGUUCCACUUACGAAAGGCGCUUCUCUCCCCGGCAACGGCGCAAGAAAAGAGUCUUGAUGACCCACAAGUAUAGGGGAUCAAUCGUAGUCCUUUUGAUAAGUAAGAGUGUCGAACCCAACGAGGAGCAGAAGGAUCUGGCAAGUGGUUUUCAGCAAGGUAAAAUCUGCAAGCACUGAAAUUGUUGGUAACAAGUGAUUGUGUGGUGAGAUGAAUCGUAGCAAGCAACAAGUAACAAAAGUAGCAACGGUGCAGCAAAGUGUCCCAAUCCCUUUUGUAGCAAGGGACAAGCCUGGACAAAGUCUUAUAGGAGGAAAAACGCUCCCGAGGACACACGGGAAUUUGUGUCAUGCUACUUUUCAUCAUGUUCAUANNNNNNNNNNNNNNNNNNNNNNNNNNNNNNNNNNNNNNNNNNNNNNNNNNNNNNNNNNNNNNNNNNNNNNNNNNNNNNNNNNNNNNNNNNNNNNNNNNNNNNNNNNNNNNNNNNNNNNNNNNNNNNNNNNNNNNNNNNNNNNNNNNNNNNNNNNNNNNNNNNNNNNNNNNNNNNNNNNNNNNNCUUGGGUACUGCCCUUACUUGGACAAGCAUCCCACUUAUGAUUAACCCCUCUCGCAAGCAUUCGCAACUACGGAAAAAGAAUUUAAGACAAAGUCUAACCAUAGCAUUAAACUAGUGGAUCCAAAUCAGCCCCUUACGAAGUAACACAUAAACUAGGGUUUAAGCUUCUGUCACUCUAGCAACCCAUCAUCUACUUAUUACUUCCCAAUACCUUCCUCUAGGCCCAAAUAAUGGUGAAGUGCUAUGUAGUCUACGUUCACAUAACACCACUAGAGGAAAAACAACAUACAACAUAUCAAAUUACCGAACGAAUACCAAAUUCACAUGACUACUAUUAGCAUGACUUAUCCCAUGUCCUCAGGAACAAAAGUAACUACUCACAAAGCAUAAUAAUAUUCAUGACCAGAGAGGUAAUGAGUAGCAUCAAGGAUCUGAGCAUAAACUCUUCCACCAAAUAAUCCAACUAGCAUCAACUACAAAGAGUAAUCAACACUACUAGCAACCUUACAAGUACCAAUCGGAGUUGCGAGACGGAGAUUGGUUUCAAGUGGUGAACUAGGGUUUUGAGAUGAGAUGGUGCUGAUGAAGAUGUUGAUGGUGACGAGUCCCCUCCGAUGAGAGGAGUGUUGGUGAUGACGAUGGCGACGAUUUCCCCCUCCGGGAGGGAAGUUUCCUCGGCAGGAUCGUCGUGCCGGAGCUCUAGAUUAGUUCUGCUCAAGUUCCGCCUCGUGGCGGCGGCGAAUCCACGAAAAAGCUCCUCCUUGAUUUUUUCUUGGACGAAACCCUCCAUAUAGCAAAAGAGGGGGCAAGUGGGCCAGUAGGGUGCCCACAAGCCCCCAUGGCGCGGCCUGGGGGGUGGCCGCGCCGUGCAGGCUUGUGGCCACCCCCUGGCGCCCCUCUGGCGCUUCUUCGGCCCAGUAUUUUUUAUAAAUCCCGAAAAAAAUCCUCGUUGAUUUUUACGGUGUUUGGAGUUGCGCAGAAUAGGUAUCUCAAACUUGCUCCUAUUUCAGGCCAGAAUUCCAGCUGCCGGCAUUCUCCCUCUUCAUGUAAACCUUGCAAAAUAAGAGAGAAAGGCAUAAGUAUUAUACCGUGAAGUGAAAUAACAGCCCAAAAAGCGAUAAAUAUCAACAUGAAAGCAUGAUGCAAAAUGGACGUAUCAGGCACCCUGCCGGAGGGAGGAUUGACCUCCGGGAUCUUGUCCACCGCCAUGGACACUUCCCAGACGUGCCACGAGUAGUCCUCCUUGGACCAUGAGUCCAUGACCAGUAGCUAUGUGAUGUCUUCUCUCCAAUCUUGUGCUUCAAUGGUUAGUCCUUGUGAGCUGCCCUACAUGAUUAAGUCAUCUAUGUAAUUCUAUUGCUAUUGCUAUGCUCAGUUUGUUGGGAUCCGAUGAAUUAUGAGAUAAUGUUCAGAUUGUUAUGAGUUAUAUAUUUGAUUAUCCUUUUAUAUUAUGUUCCUUAGUCAUUCAUGCAUGUUCUCCGUUGCUAUUUAUUGCUUUGGCCGAGUAUUAGAUUGUAACUCCAAGAGGGAGCAUUAUGCAUGGUUGUGGGUUCAUGCCCCUUGAUGUCUAGCUUGAGUGACAAAAACAUGAGACUAGGGGAUGUGAUUGUUGCCACCAGGGAGAAAACAACGGUAUUUGUGACCACGGUUGCAAGGGUUGCUUACCUUACACAUAGUUCGUUAAUGCAGUUGUCCGUUGAUUUGAGUUUACACUUUGGGUGGGGCUCGCAACUUAAUACCGGAGAGAUUUCUGGAUAGAUAUCUCAAGGUGGAUGAUUAGUAAGUAGAUGUUGAUGAAUAAACAAUCUACUUGUCUUGGCAUACCGCCCAUUACUAUUGAACCUCUAACUAUCAAGUAGCAUAAUUAGCAUUGCGGUGCGAUCAUAAUUCUGUCAAUUGCCGAACUGUGAUUUGUUUACCCAAGCAUAGUUGUUUAUCGUCUUUUGGGAGAGAGACAUCACCAGUGAACGUCAUGUGACUCCAGUCCAUAUCACCAUCAUCACUUAGACCUCCAUCAUUUACCGCUUUCAUUUACUUUUCCGUUGCAAUCACUAUUACUUUCCCGCUUGUGUUUUGAUCCUUUGCAAACUACAAGGCCGGAGAUUGACAACCUCUCUGUACUCGUUGGGAGAAAAGUUAUUUGUUGUGUGUGCAAGUCCACGUCUUCUGGUGACCAGGACAGGAGACACCUACUUGUUGAGCCUAGGAGUCCUACUGGUUCGAUAAACCUUACAGUCUCAGUGUAAGGGAAAUCUGCUGCUGACUACGUCUCCACCUCCCACUUGGGGUAACCAAUGAGGGGCGAGAAGUAUAUCCAUCAACUCGUCAUCAAGCAAAUUUCUAGUGCCGUUGCCGGGGACUCCAGUCUUCAAGAUAGGGGAGUUGCACGCUAUAUUUUAUCUUUGCUUUUUAGUCUUGUUAGUUUGCUUUGCAGUCUCUGCUUUAGAGUCUUAUACCAAAAACCACAAAAAAAUUAGUUGCUUUGUUCUUGCUCGUUGUUUCUGCUAUGGGUUCCGCUGAGAACACCAUGUUGGGUGACUCCACUAGUCACAACAACAAUGAUUAUACAUUCUCCUCUAUUGCUCCAGUUACCACUAAGGGUCUUUUUACAAGGAAACCAUGUGACUAUACUAGUCAUUAUGGAGAAUUAUGCCCUUCGUAUGGUUGCGUCGGGAAGCCACAAGAUCUUUGGUUUGAAGUUUCUCCUAAACUUCCCCAAACUUGGGAAGAUGUCCAAACUCUUAUAAUAGAGAGCAAAUCAAACAUAGAGGAUGACUCUACAAUUUUACUUAAUAGCAAUAAUAUUGAUUUUGACAAUUGUAGUCUCUCCGAAGUUAUCACCUUUUUACAAAGAAUGGCUAAAGACCCCCACACUAGUACACUCAAUAUUGCCUUCACCGAGCAUAUUACCAAUGCUGUUAUCAAAGCUAGGGAGGAGAAGCUCAAGAUAGAGACUUCUAUCCCUAGAAAACUAGAAGAUGGUUGGGAUCCUAUGGUGGCUGAAUCCAGCUAAGUGCACUUUUGGAGUCCCUGGCGGCAAGUUACUCGGUUUCCUCGUUUUUGAACGAGGAAUCGAUGUUAACCCCGAGAAGAUUGGCCCAUCGUCUGGAUGCAAAGCCCUGUGCGGGUGCAGGAUGUUCAGAAGCUCAUAGGCUGUCUGGCAGGAUUGAGUCGGUUCAUCUCUUGUCUCGGUGAGAAGGCACUACCUUUAUACCAACUGAUGAAAAAAUCAGAUGUGUUCGAGUGGAAUGAUGAAGCAGAAGCAAUGUUUGCAGAGCUCAAAGCCGAGCUUUCCACCCAGCCGGUGCUUGCUGCUCCGCACAGCAAGGAACCACUACUCUUAUACAUUGCCGCCACCAAUCAUGUCGUCAGCACGGUUUUGACCGUCAAGAGAGAAGAAGAAGGUAAAACCUACAAGGUCCAGCGCCGAGUCUAUUACAUUUCAGACGUAUUGACCCCUUCGAAGCAAAGGUAUCCCCAUUACCAAAAGCUUCUUUAUGGAAUAUACUUGUGAGCAAAGAAGGUGGCGCAUUACUUUCAAGAUCACUCUAUAUCAGUCGUCAGUGAUGCCCCACUAUCAGAGAUUCUUCACAAUCGGGAUGCAAUAGGUCGAGUGGCUUAAUGGGCCAUGGAGCUGCUAUAUUUGGACAUCAAAUUUGAGGCAAAUAAAGCCAUCAAGUCUCAGGCCCUUGCUAAUUUUAUGGCCGAGUGGGUGGAACAACAGCAGCCAGCUCAGAUUCACUCGGCACACUGGACUAUGUUCUUCGAUGGCUUCAAAAUGUUAAAUGGGUCCGGUGCUAGUGUGGUGUUGGUGUCUCUGAAAGGCGACAAGAUUAAUUAUGUCUUCCAGAUUCACUUUGAUUCCUCCAACAAUCAAGCUGAGUAUGAAGCUCUCCUCUAUGGGUUGUGUAUGGCCAUCUCACUCGGCGUCCGUCGCCUGACGGUUUACGGCGACUCAUAUUUGGUGGUUAAUCAGGUGAUGAAGGCAUGGGAUGUGAGGAACCCUGCCAUGACUAGAUACUGCAAUGUAGUAAGGAAACUUGAAAAGAAGUUUGAAGGUCUGGAGCUCCACCAUGUUCCCCGACUGAAAAACCAAGCAGCUGAUGAAUUGGCCAAGAUUAGAUCCACUCGGAAACCCAUUCCCAACAAUGUGUUCCUAAAGCAUUUACAUAUUCCUUCGGUGCAAGAGGAUCCUUUUACUGAAGAGCCUCCACAACCAGUGAGCACCUCCAAUCCGACUAAGAUUGACAUCCCAGCAGUGGUGGAUCUAGUUAUGGAGAUCUUAGUAAUCACACCCGAGUGGAUAGUACCGUACAUCGCAUACAUAUUGAGAAGAGAGCUCCCUGAAGAUGAGGCCAACGCAAAUCAAAUUGUUCGAAGAUCGAAAGCUUUUACUAUGAUGGGUGAUCAACUGUACAGAGAAAGUGCUACCGGCGUAGCUCAACGGUGCAUCUCCCUAGAGGAAGGCCAACUGAUCCUGCAAGAAAUCCACUCGGGGACCUGUGGUCAUCAUGCGUCCUCUCGGACCAUUGUUGCCAAUGCAUACCGAGUUGGGUUCUUCUGGCCACGUGCCCAUGAAAUGGCCAAAGAUAUGGUUGAUCACUGCGAAGGUUGCCAAUUCUAUUCCAAUCUGUCCCACAAGCCUGCAUCUGCCUUGAAGACCAUUCCACUCGUCUGGCCGUUUGCUAUUUGGGGUCUGGAUAUGGUCGGUCCUUUCCGAACAUGUCACAGUGGAUUUACACACUUGCUUGUUACAGUCGACAAAUUUAGAAAAUGGAUUGAAACCAAGCCAAUAAAGAAGCUGGACUCAUGUACCGCAAUCAAAUUCAUGAGAUACAUAACAUUUCGAUACAGAGUUCCCCAUAGUAUCAUAACAAAUAAUGGCUCCAACUUCGAUUCAGAAGAGCUCAAACGCUUUUGCUCGGCUCAAGGCACUCGGGUGGAUUAUGCGUCUGUCGCACACCCCCAAACAAAUGGACAAGUUGAGCAGGAAAACGGCCUUAUACUUCAAGGACUGAAACCGCGACUCAUGCGGGACGUGGAACAUGCAGCUGGAGCGUGGGUAACUGAACUACCGUCUGUCUUAUGGGGCUUGAGAACAACCCCCAACCGGUCAACUGGACGAACACCCUUCUGUUGGAAAUAUGCCCAAGAGGCAAUGAUAAAUAGUUAUUAUUAUAUUUCUUGUUACAAUAUAAUCAUUUAUUAUCCAUGCUAUAACUGUAUUGAAUGAAAACAUAGAUACAUGUGUGGAUACAUAGACAAAACAAUGUCCCUAGCAAGCCUCUAGUUGGCUAGCCAGUUGAUCAAGGAUAGUCAAGGUUUUCUAACUAUGUGCAAGUGUUGUCACUUGAUAACUGGAUCACAUCAUUAGGAGAAUCAUGUGAUGGACUAGACCCAAACUAUGAACGUAGCAUAUUGAUCAUGUAAUUUUAUUGCUAUUGUUUUCUGCUUGUCAAGUAUUUAUUCCUAUGACCAUGAUAUCAUAUAUAUAACUCACUGGCACCGGAGGAAUACCUUGUGUGUAUCGAACGUCGCAACGUAACUGGGUGACUAUAAGUCUGUCCGUUGAGUUAGUAUGGAUCGAGACUGGGAUUUGUCACUCCGUGUGACGGAGAGGUAUCUCGGGGCCCACUCAGUAAUACAACAUCACACACAAGCCUUGCAAGCAAUGUGACCAAGUGUAAGUCACGGGAUCUUGUAUUACAGAACGAGUAAAGAGACUUGCCAGUAACGAGAUUGAAAUAGGUAUGCGGAUACCGACGACCGAAUCUCGGGCAAGUAACAUACCGAAGGACAAAGGGAAUGACAUCCAGUAUUAUAUGAAUCCAUGGCACUGAGGUUCACCGAUAAGAUCUUCGGAGAAUAUGUAGGAUCCAAUAUGGGCAUCCAGCUCCCGCUAUUGGAUAUUGACAGAGGAGUGUCUCGGGUCAUGUUUACAUAGUUCUCGAACCCGCAGGGUGUGCACACUUAAGGUUCGAUGAUGUUUUAUUAUAGUUGAGUUAUAUGUGUGGUUACCGAAUGUUGUUCGGAGUCCCGUAUGAGAUCACAGACAUCACGAGGGUUUCCGGAAUGGUCCGGAGACGAAGAUUGAUAUAUAGGAUGGUUUAUUUGGUCACCGGAAAGUUUCGGACAAUUCCGACAGUGUACCGGGAGUGACGAAUGGGUUCCGGGUGUUUACCAGGAGGGGUCCACCCACCCGGGAGUGAGACCAAGGGCCUAGGGUAGCGCUCCAAGUACUUAGUGGGCUGGUGGAGUCAGCCCAAGAGGGCUAUGGCGCCACAUGUAAAUAUACCAAAGGAAAGGACGAAAAAAGGAAAGAGGGAGGUGGGAAGGAAGAGGAGGACUCCUCCUUCCCAAACCGAAUUGGAGGAGGAGUCCUCCUCCUCCCUGGCAGCCGACGCACCCUUGGGGACCUUGUGCCCCAAGGCUAGCCCCUCCCCUCCUCCUAUAUAUACUGGUGGUUUAGGGCUUUUUGAGACACAAUUUUGCCACGUGCAACUCAAGCCUAUUCCACAUAGUUUUACCUCUAGAUCAGAUUUCUGCGGAGCUCGGGUAGAGCCCUGCAGGAGUAGAUCAUCACCACCACCAGAGCGUCGUCACGCUACUGGAGUACUCAUCUACUUCUCCGUAUUGCUUGCUGGAUCAAGAAGGCCGAGUUCAUCGUCGAGCUGUACAUGUGCUGAACGCAGAGGUGCCGUCCGUUCGGUGCUAGAUCGGAACCGUUCGUGGGACUUAUCGUGGGACGACGGUGAUUUGAAUCACGAAGCUGUACCACUACAUCAACCGUGUUUCUUAACGCUUCCCAUUGAGCGAUCUACAAGUGUACGUAGAUCUAAUCUCCUCUCGUAGAUGGACAUCACCAUGAUAGGUCUUCGUGUGCGUAGGAAAUUUUUUGUUUCCCAUGCAACGUUCCCCAAAAGUGGCAUCAUGAGCUAGGUUCAUGCACAGAUGUUAUCUCGAGUAGAACACAAAAGAUUUUGUGGACGGUGAUGUUCGAUUUGCUGCCCUCCUUAGUCUUUUCUCGAUUCUGCGGUAUUGUUGGAUUGAAGCGGCCCGGACCGACAUAACUCGUAAGCUUACGAGAGACUGGUUUCAUCGACUGACAUGCAACCUCAUUGCAUAAAGAUGACUGGCGGGUGUCGGUUUCUUCAACUUUAGUUGAAUUGGUUUUGACCGAGGCGGUCCUUGGAGAGAGGUUAAAUAGCAAUUUGCACAUCUCCGUUGUGGUUUUUGCGUAAGUAAGAUGCGAUCAUACUAGAUACCCAUAGCAGCCACGUAAAACAUGCAACAAAAAAUUAGAGGACGUCUAACUUGUUUUUGCAGGUAUGCUUGUGAUAUGAUAUGGCCAAUGAAGUGAUGUGAUAUAUUGGAUGUAUGAGAUGAUAAUGUUGUAAUAGUUAAUAUCGACUUGCACAUCGAUGCUACGGCAACCGGCAGGAGCCAUAGGGUUGUCUUUAAACUAACGUUUGUGUUUGCAGAUGCGUUUACUAUAUUGCUAGGUCUUAGCUUUAGUAGUAAUAGCAUAGAUAGCAUGACAACCUCGAUGGCGACAUGUUGAUGGAGAUCAUGGUGUGGCGUCGGUGACAAGAAGAUCAUGCCAGGUGCUUGAGUGAUGGAGAUCAAGAAGCACAUGAUGAUGGCCAUAUCAUGUCACUUAUGAAUUGCAUGUGAUGUUAGUCCUUUUAUGCACCUUAUUUUUGCUUAGAACGACGGUAGCAUUAUAAGGUGAUCUCUCACUAAAAUUUCAAGAUGAAAUUGUGUUCUCCCCGACUGUGCAUCGUUGCGACAGUUUGUUGUUUCCAGACACCAUGUGAUGAUCUGGUGUGAUAGACUCAACGUUCACAUACAACGGGUGCAAAACAGUUGCACACGCGGAACACUCGGGUUAAACUUGACGAGCCUAGCAUGUGCAGACAUGGCCUCGGAACACAUGAGACCGAAAGGUCGAGCAUGAAUCGUAUAGUUGAUAUGAUUAGCAUAGAGAUGCUUACCACUGAAAUUAUUCUCAACUCACGUGAUGAUCGGACUUGAGUUAGUGAAUUUGGAUCAGGUACCACUCAAAUGACUAGAGAUAUGUACUUUUUGAGUGGGAGUUUAUUAGUAAUUUGAUUAAUUAAACUCUCAUUAUCUUAAACAUAGUCUAAGUCCACUUUGCAAUAUUUGUGUUGUAAAUCAAUGGCUCACGCAACAGUCAUCCUGAAUUUUAAUACGUUCCUAGAGAAAGCUAAGUUGAAAGAUGAUGGAAGCAACUUUGUAGACUGGGCUCGUAAUCUUAAGUUGCUCCUACAAGCUGGGAAGAAGGAUUAUGUCCUUAAUGCUGCACUAGGAGAUGAACCACCCGCUACGGCUGACCAAGAUGUUAAGAAUGCCUCGUUAACACGUAAGGAGGACUACUUGAUAGUUCAAUGUGCUGUCUUGUAUGGCUUAGAGCGUCAUGGAGCAUAUGAGAUGUUCCAGGAGUUGAAGUUUAUCUUUCAGAAGAACGCCCGAAUCGAGAGGUAUGAGACCUCCAAUAAAUUCUAUGCUUGCAAGAUGCAGGAUAAUUCGUCUGUCAGUGAACAUGUGCUCAAAAUGUAUGGGUACUCAAACCGUAUAGCUGAGCUAGGAAUUGAACUCCCGCAAGAAGCUAUCACUGACAGAAUUCUUCAAUCACUGCCACCAAGCUAUAAGAGCUGUGUGUUGAGCUAUAACAUGCAAUGGAUGAACAAGUCACCCGGCGAGUUAUUCGCGAAGCUCAAAGUCGCAGAGUCCGAACUCCAGAAAGAGCAUCAAGUGUUGAUGGUCAAUAAGACCACUAGUUUCAAGAGAAACGGCAAAGGCGAGAAGAGUAACUCCAAGAAGAGCGGCAAGUCUGUUGCCAAUCCAACGAAUAAACCCAAGGAUGGACCUAAGCCUCAAACAGAGUGUUAUUAUUGCAAGGGAUUGGGUCACUAGAAGCGCAACUGCCCCAAAUAUUUGGCUGAUAAGAAGGCGGCUGCUACCUCUUAAGCUUGAGUUGUUUUUUCCCUUGAAGAGGAAAGGGUGAUGCAGCAUAGUAGCAGUAAGUAUUUCCCUCAGUUUGAGAACCAAGGUAUCAAUCCAGUAGGAGUAUCAAGCCAAGUCUCCAAAGUACCUGCGCAAAAACAGCAAACUUGCACCCAACGCUACAAAGGGUUGUCAAUCCCUUCAUGAUUGAUUGCAAGGUGAGAUCUGAAGGCGGAAAGUGCAACAAAGUAAAAGUGUAGGGCUGAAAAUAUGAUGUGAAGUAGACCCCGGGGCCAUAGUGUUCACUAGAGGCUUCUCUCUUGAUAGAAAACAUUACGAUGGGUGAACGAAUUACUGUCGAGCAAUUGAUAGAACCGCGCAAAGUCAUGACGAUAUCUAAGGCACUGAUCAUACCUAUAGGCAUCACGUCCNNNNNNNNNNNNNNNNNNNNNNNNNNNNNNNNNNNNNNNNNNNNNNNNNNNNNNNNNNNNNNNNNNNNNNNNNNNNNNNNNNNNNNNNNNNNNNNNNNNNNNNNNNNNNNNNNNNNNNNNNNNNNNNNNNNNNNNNNNNNNNNNNNNNNNNNNNNNNNNNNNNNNNNNNNNNNNNNNNNNNNNNNNNNNNNNNNNNNNNNNNNNNNNNNNNNNNNNNNNNNNNNNNNNNNNUAGUGUAUUGAGUUCAUAACAAACAGAGUAACGCCUUCAGCAAGAUGACAUGAUGUAGAGGGAUAAAUUCAUGCAAUAGAUAUAAACCCCAUCUUUUUACCCUUGAUGGCAACAGCACGAUGCGUGCCUUGCUACCCCUUCUGUCACAGGGUGAGGUCACCGCAUGGUAUGAACCCAAAACCAAGCACUUCUCCCAUUAAAAGAACUGUAGAUCAAGUUGGCNNNNNNNNNNNNNNNNNNNNNNNNNNNNNNNNNNNNNNNNNNNNNNNNNNNNNNNNNNNNNNNNNNNNNNNNNNNNNNNNNNNNNNNNNNNNNNNNNNNNNNNNNNNNNNNNNNNNNNNNNNNNNNNNNNNNNNNNNNNNNNNNNNNNNNNNNNNNNNNNNNNNNNNNNNNNNNNNNNNNNNNNNNNNNNNNNNNNNNNNNNNNNNNNNNNNNNNNNNNNNNNNNNNNNNNNNNNNNNNNNNNNNNNNNNNNNNNNNNNNNNNNNNNNNNNNNNNNNNNNNAAACACACCGCAAAAGAGGAUUACAUCCGAUAGAUCUCCAUGGAGAUCAUGGAGAACUUUGUAUUGAAGAUCAAAUGAUGAUCACGACACUUUUAAUUACUCACAGCUCAAUACUUUAGAACAAUUAUGACUCUAUAGGAAAUGCCUCCGGUAGUGUACCGGGAUGUGCAACGAUCUAGCUUAGCAUAUGACGUUGAAACAUCUCGCUAGCUAUCUUACGAUCAUGCAAUGGCAUUAUGACAGUGAUGGCACAAGUCAUGAGACGGAACGGUGGGAGUUGCAUGGCAAUAUACCUCGGAAUGGUUAUGAAAAGGCCAUGAUAGGUAGGUAUGGUGGCUGUUUUGAGGAAGGUCUAUGGUGGUUUUGUGUACCGGCGAAAGUUGCGCGGCACUAGAGAGGCUAGCAAUGGUGGAAGGUGAAAGUGCAUCUAUAUCAUGGACUCACAUUAGUCAUGAAGAACUCACAUACUUAUUGUGAAAAAAAUUAUUAGUAAUCAAAACAAAGUGCUAAACGCAUACUCCUAGGGGAAGGGUUGGUAGGAGUUAACCAUCGCGUGAUCCCGACCGCAACACAAAGGAUGACAAUCAAUAAUUCGAUUAUGUUCCGACUUCCUAACAUAGCGGUUCAUCAUACGUGCAUGUUACGGGAAUCACUAACUUCAACACAAGUAUUUCUAGAUUUGCAACACCCUACUAACAUGACUCUUAAUAUUACCAAAUACAUGUCUCAAAACUAAUUGAGAGGAAUCAAACUUCUCUUUCUAAUCAAUGCACAUGAAUAUGGAAGUUUUAUUGUAUCCUCUUUGGAUGCCUAUCAUCUUUAGGACUACUUUCAUAGCACUAGCCAACUACCAAGUUACUCAGAGCGAGCACUCUAAAAAAGAUAUAAGUGAAGAUCGAGAGUUCUUAUUUCUCCAAAAUAUGACACCGUCGUGCUCUAAAAAGAUCUAAGUGAAGCACUAGAGCAAAGUUAUCUAGCUCAAAAGAUAUAAGUGAAGCACAUGUGAGCUAAAUUGCCUAACUCAAAAGAUAUAAGCGAAGCUCAAUGAGUAUUCUAGCAAAUUCACGAUGAGUGCAUGUCUCUCUCAAAAGGUGUGCAGCAAGGAUGAUUGUGACACAACUAAAAGAAAAGACUCCUAUAAUACACGACGCUCCAAGAAAAACACAUAUCAUGUGGUGAAUAAAAAUAUAGCUCCAAGUAAUGUUACCGAUGGAUUGAAGACGAAAGAGGGGAUGCCUUCCCGGGGCAUCCCCAAGCUCAGGCUUUUUGGUGUCCUUGAAUUUGGCUUGGGAUGCCUUGGGAAUCCCCAAGCUUGAGUUCUUUCCACUCUUUAUCCCAUUGUCCAUGAGAACAUCACCAAAAACUUGAAAACUUCACAACACAAAACUUAAACAGAAACUCGUGAUAUCAUUAGCACAAGAAAACAAACUACCACCUCUUUAGUACUGUAGCAAACUUGAUUUCUAUUUAUAUUGAUGUUAUAUUACUAUAUUCUUACUUUUCCUUGGCUAGUACCCCCCGAUAUUAUCCAUAGUUUCAUCAAAAUAAGCAAUCAACACAACAAAAACAGAAUCUGUCAAAAAUAGACCAGUCUGUAGCAAUCUGUAUACUUCGUAUACUUCUGGUAUCUCAAAAAUUGUAAAAAAUUACGAACAUUUGGGAAAUUGGCAUAUCAACCAGCAGAAAAAAUAAUCAACUCAAAAUAUCUUUCUGAAUAAAAAUGAAAAAUAAUUUCGUGAGCGAAGAGUUUCUGUCUUUUUCAGCAAGAUCAAACAACCAUCACCAAAACUAGUCAUAAAGGUUUUACUUGGCUCAAACACACAAAGAAACACAAAAAACACAAUCAUAACAGAAUUAUGAUGGUGUGGACGCAAAAAAACAGAAAGCAAAAAAGCAAAGAUAAAUUCAUUCGGUUGCCUCCCAACAAGCGCUAUUGUUUAACGCCCUUAGCUAGGCAUAAGGCGAUAGAAUCACGUAUCAUCGUCUUUGGUACUCAAACCAUAAGUAGGGUGAACACUCAUCAUCUUAAGGUCUUCAUAUCUCUUACUAGAUGGGUCACCACUAUUUUUAGGAACAAAAAUAGACUUGGUGGCCUUAUUGUGGGCAAAAUUUGGAGUGUUCUGCACAAUAGCAAAAGCGGAACCCAAGUUGGUUAUAACAUCCUCUAGUUUGCCAAUCCUAGCGGAAUCAUGACCUAGUUUUUCGUUAACUGUGGGUUCCCUCUCCUUUAAACUUUUCAAAGUCAUUCCCACCUUGGAUCCAUAUUGAGUGAUUUGAUUGUGGAUCUUAUUAUCCAAAUUCUUAAUGAGUUCAAUCGUAGCAACUUUAUUUUCAAUGAUAUCCAGCCUACGCAUCACAUGUUCCAGAGUUAAGGUAGUUCCAUUAACCAUGAGUGGGGGUGAGCCUACCAAAUUUAUUAACGCACCGUAAGAAUCAACGAUAUGGCCACCUGCUACUGCAACAAAAGACCUUCCAACGGCGCCAGAAAUAGGUGUGUUGACGGCACCAGGAAUCCUUCUGCUACGACUACGCCUUAAGGGACUUCCUAGGCAAAUAUGCAAAGGAUUUCCCCCGUGGCCUUGGAGCCUUGCGUUGGUGUUCCCUCAAAGUGGAAAGGGUGAUGUAGCGCAGCGGUGGUAAGUAUUUCCCUCAGUUUGAGAACCAAGGUAUCGAUCCAGUGAAGGAGUAUCACAAGAGCCUGCAAAAACACAAAAGCUUGCUCCCAACGCUAUGAAGGGGUUUUCAAUCCCUUAUAGAUUGUUUGACAAGUGAGAACUGAAAGCAACAAAGUAACAAAGCAAAGUAAAAGCGAAAGUGGAAACGAUAGGUGUGAAUAGACCCGGGGGCCGUAGUGUUUACUAGUGGCUUCUCUCAUGAAAGCAAGUAGACGGUGGGUGAACAAAUUACUGUCGAGCAAUUGAUAGAACCGCGCAAAGCCAUGACGUCAUCUAUGGCAAUGAUUAUAUCUAUAGGCAUCACGUCCAAAACAAGUGGACCGAUACUUUCUGCANNNNNNNNNNNNNNNNNNNNNNNNNNNNNNNNNNNNNNNNNNNNNNNNNNNNNNNNNNNNNNNNNNNNNNNNNNNNNNNNNNNNNNNNNNNNNNNNNNNNNNNNNNNNNNNNNNNNNNNNNNNNNNNNNNNNNNNNNNNNNNNNNNNNNNNNNNNNNNNNNNNNNNNNNNNNNNNNNNNNNNNNNNNNNNNNNNNNNNNNNNNNNNNNNNNNNNNNNNNNNNNNNNNNNNNNNNNNNNNNNNNNNNNNNNNNNNNNNNNNNNNNNNNNNNNNNNNNNNNNNNNNNNNNNNNNNNNNNNNNNNNNNNNNNNNNNNNNNNNNNNNNNNNNNNNNNNNNNNNNNNNNNNNNNNNNNNNNNNNNNNNNNNNNNNNNNNNNNNNNNNNNNNNNNNNNNNNNNNNNNNNNNNNNNNNNNNNNNNNNNNNNNNNNNNNNNNNNNNNNNNNNNNNNNNNNNNNNNNNNNNNNNNNNNNNNNNNNNNNNNNNNNNNNNNNNNNNNNNNNNNNNNNNNNNNNNNNNNNNNNNNNNNNNNNNNNNNNNNNNNNNNNNNNNCCAAAGAAGAUUACAUCGGAUAGAUCUCCAUGAAGAUCAUGGAGAACUUUGUAUUGAAGAUCCAAGAGAGAGAAGAAGCCAUCUAGAUACUAACUACGGACCCGUAGGUCUGAAGUGAACUACUCACGAGUCAUUGGAGGGGCGAUGAUGAUCAUGAAGAAGCCCUUCAAGUCCAAAGUGCCCUUCGGCAGGGCACCGGGAAGGGUCUCUAGAUGAGAUCUCGCGGAAACGGAAGCUUGCGGCGGCGGAAAAGUAUUUUCGUGGAUCCCUUUAUUUAUUUUUCUGAUUUUUAGGGAAUAUAUAGGCGCAAGAUCUAGGUCAGGGGGGCGCCAGGGAGGCCAUAAGCCUGCCCACCACCGCCCCCUGGUGGCGGAGUGGGGGCUUGUGGGCUCCCUGUAGCCCUCCUGGCUUGGCCCACAAGCCCCCUGAUCUUCUUUCGUUCGGGAAAAAAUCAUUUUGGGGAUUUUAUUCCGUUUGGACUCCGUUCGAAAAGCAGAUCUGAGAAGAGCCAAAAACACAGAAAAACAGGAACCGACACUUGGCACUGAAUUAAUAAGUUAGUCCCAAAAAAAGAUAUAAAAGGUACAUAAAACAUCCAAAGAUGACAAGAUAGCAGCAUGAAACCAUAAAAAAUUAUACAUACGUUUCAGACGUAUCACUACCCAAGAAAUUUCCGCAUACGAUGGUGUCAAGAACAUACCUAUUCCAAGGGGAAAUACCCAUAUAAAAGCUACGAAGAAGGGUGGUAGUAGACUGCUUACGAGUAGAUCUACUCUGAGCAUUGCAAAUCCUAUACCAAGCAUCCUUUAAGUUUUCUUCCUCAUUUUGUUUGAAAUUGAGAACUUCGCUCUUGGGAGUAUCGUUCGAAGCGGUAGGUCUAGCCAUAAGGACAGGUAGACUAUCCCACACAAGCAGGUAGAAAGCAAGCGAAAGAAAAGGGCGGACGAAAAAGGCAAAUAUUUUUGUAAAAUUUGUUUUUCAGAAGUGGGGGAGAGGAAAACAAGAGGCAAAAAAGUAAAUGCAAGAGAUGAGUUUGCGACACUUACUUGGGUAAGCUUCACUUAGAAUAAUCCUCGGUGCCAGAGAUUGACACGUUGGAGGAAGACUAUUCUUGACUUGAUGCUCCCUGGCAACAGCGCCGGAAAUUGGCACGUUGACGGGAGACUAUUCUUGACUUGAUCCUCCUCCCCGGCAACGGUUGCAGAAAUUGGCACGUUGACGGGAGACUAUUCUUGACUUGAUCCUCCUCCCCGGCAACGGUGCCAGAAAUUCUUCUUGCUACCUCUUGAACUUGCGUUGGUUUUUUCCUUGAAGAGGAAAGGGUGAUGCAACACAGUAGAAGUAAGUAUUUCCCUCAGUUUGAGAACCAAGGUAUCAAUCCAGUAGGAGUAUCAAGCCAAGUCUCCAAAGUACCUGCGCAAAAACAGCAAACUUGCACCCAGCGCUACAAAGGGCUUGUCAAUCCCUUCACGAUUGAUUGCAAGGUGAGAUCUGAAGGCGGAAAGUGCAACAAAGUAAAAGUGUAGGGCUGAAAAUACGAUGUGAAGUAGAUCCGGGGGCCAUAGUGUUCACUAGAGGCUUCUCUCUUGAUAGCAAACAUUACGGUGGGUGAACGAAUUACUGUCGAGCAAUUGAUAGAACCGCGCAAAGUCAUGACGAUANNNNNNNNNNNNNNNNNNNNNNNNNNNNNNNNNNNNNNNNNNNNNNNNNNNNNNNNNNNNNNNNNNNNNNNNNNNNNNNNNNNNNNNNNNNNNNNNNNNNNNNNNNNNNNNNNNNNNNNNNNNNNNNNNNNNNNNNNNNNNNNNNNNNNNNNNNNNNNNNNNNNNNNNNNNNNNNNNNNNNNNNNNNNNNNNNNNNNNNNNNNNNNNNNNNNNNNNNNNNNNNNNNNNNNNNNNNNNNNNNNNNNNNNNNNNNNNNNNNNNNNNNNNNNNNNNNNNNNNNNNNNNNNNNNNNNNNNNNNNNNNNNNNNNNNNNNGAUAAAUUCAUGCAAUAGAUAUAAACCCCAUCUUUUUACCCUUGAUGGAAACAACAUGAUGCGUGCCUCGCUACCCCUUCUGUCACUUGGUGAGGUCACCGCACGGUAUGAACCCAAAACCAAGCACUUCUCCCGUUGCAAGAGCUGUAGAUCAAGUUGGCCAAACGAAACCCACAACUCGAAGAGAAUUACAAGGAUAUGAAAUCAUGCAUAUAAGAGAUCAGAAGAAAUUCAAAUAAGAUUCAUAGAUAAUCUGAUCAUAAAUCCACAAUUCAUCGGAUCUCGAUAAACACACUGCAUAAUAGGAUUACAUCGGAUAGAUCUCCAUGAAGAUCAUGGAGAACUUUGUAUUGAAGAUCCAAGAGAUAGAAGAAGCCAUCUAGCUACUAGCUAUGGACCCGAAGGUCUAUGGUGAACUACUCACGCAUCAUCGGAGAGGCAAUGGCGUUGAUGAAGAAGCCCUCUGUGUCCAAAUCCCCCCUCCGACAGGGCACCAGAACGUGCACCGGUUGGGAUCUUGCGGAGACAGAAGCUUGCGGCGGCGGAAAAGUAUUUUCGUGGCUCUCUCCCGUGGUUUCAGAUUUUUUGGGGAUUUAUAGGCGGAAGAAGUAGGGCAAAGGAGCCACAGAGGGCCCACAAGCCUGCUAGGCACGCCCCCCAAGCCGCGGCUAGGGGGCUUGUGGCCUCCGCUGCCGCCCUUUGCCUUGGUUCUCAAGCCUCCUACGUAUCUUCUGUUCCGGAAAAAAAUCUUUUCGGAGGUUUUAUUCCGUUUGGACUCCGUUUGAUAUUAUCCUCUGAAAAAGGUCAAAACACGGAAAAAACAAGAACUGGCACUUGGCACUGAGUUAAUAAGUUAGUCCCAAAAAAGAUAUAAAAUGCAUACAAAACAUCCAAAGUUUGACAAGAUAAUAGCAUGGAACCAUAAAAAAUUAUAGAUAUGUUGGAGACGUAUCAAGCAUCCCCAAGCUUAACUCCUGCUCGUCCUCGAGUAGGGAAGUGAUAAAGAAUGAAUUUUUGAUGUGGAAUGCUACCUAGCAUUUCUUUCCUUUGUAACUUCUUUCAUGUGACAUUAAUGUUCAGAUCCGUAAGAUUCAAAACAAUAGUUUGCUAUUGACAUGAAAACAAUAAUACUUCGAGCAAACUAUCAAGGUAAUCAUGAACUUUCGAAAUAACAAGGCCAAAGAAAGUUAUCCCUACAAAAUCAUAUAGUCUGGUUAUGCUCCAUCAUCCCCACACAACGAAUUUAAAUCAUGCACAACCCCGGUAUUGGCCAUGUAAUUGUUUUCGCGCUCUUACUUUCUCAAACCUUUUUCAACUCUCACGCAAUACAUGAGCGUGAGCCACGGAUAUAGUACUAUAGGUGGAAAGAGUGUGGUGGAGGUUGUGAUGCAAAAAGGAGGAGAUGGUCACAUCGACUAGGCGUAUCAAAGGGCUAUGGAGAUGCCCAUCAAUAUAUAUCAAUGUGAAUGAGUACAGAUUACCAUGCAACGGAUGCACUUAGAGCUAUAAGUCUGUGAAAGCUCAAAAGGUGAACUAGUGGGUGUGCAUCCAACUUGCUUGCUCACGAAGACCUAGGGCAAUUUUGAGGAAGCCCAUCAUUGGAAUAUACAAGCCAAGUUAUAUAAUGAAGAUUCCCACUAGUAUAUGGUGGUGACAAAACAAGAGACUCUCAAUCAUGAAGAACUUGAUGCUAUUGUGAAGCACAAGUGUGGAAAAAGAUAGUAGCAUUGUCCCUUCUCUCUUUUUCUCUUUUUUUUUGUUUGGGCUCUUUGGCCUCUUUCCAAUUUUUUAAAAAAAAUUGUGGGCAUAUUUGGCCUCUUUUUUUUAUUUCCUCACAUGGUACAAUGCUCUAAUGAUGAUCAUCACACUUUUAAUUACUCAUAGCUCAAUACUUUAGAACAAUGAUGACUCUAUAGGAAAUGCCUCCAGUAGUGUACCGGGAUGUCCGACGAUCUAGCUUAGCAUAUGACGUUGAAACAUCUUGCUAGCUAUCUUACGUUCGUGCAACGGCAAUAUGAAAGUGACGGCACAAGUCAUGAGAUGGAACGGUGGGAGUUGCAUGGCAAUAUAUCUCAGAAUGGGUAUGAAAAGGCCAUGAUAGGUAGGUAUGGUGGCUGUUUUGAGGAAGGUCUAUGGUGGUUUUGUGUACAGGCGAAAGUUGCGCGGCACUAGAGAGGCUAGCGAUGGUGGAAGAUGAAAGUGCAUCUAUACCAUGGAAUCACAUUAGUCAUAAAGAACUCACAUACUUAUUGCAAAAGUUUUUAUUAGUAAUUGAAACAAAGUGCUAAACGCAUACUCCUAGGGGAAGGGUUGGUAGGAGUUAACCAUCGCGCGAUCCUGAUGACCCACAAGUAUAGGGGAUCAAUAGUAGUCCUUUCAAUAAGUAAGAGUGUCGAACCUAACGAGGAGCAGAAGGAUCUGACAAGUGGUUUUCAGCAAGGUAAUAUCUGCAAGCACUGAAAUUAUCGGUAAGAAGUAGUUGUGUGGUGAGAUGAUUCGUAGCAAGCAACAAGUAAAAAAAGUAGCAACGGUUCAGCAAAGUGGCUCGGUCCCUUUUGUAGCAAGGGACAAGCCUGGACAAAGUCUUAUAGGAGGAAAAACGCUCCCGAGGACACACGGGAAUUUCUGUCAUGCUAGUUUUCAUCACGUUCAUAUGAUUCACGUUCGUUACUUUGAUAGUUUGAUAUGUGGGUGGACCGUCGCUUGGGUACUGCCCUUACUUGGACAAGCAUCCCACUUAUGAUUAACCCCUCUUGCAAGCAUCCGCAACUACAAAAGAAGAAUUAAGACAAAGUCUAACCAUAGCAAUUAAACUAGUGGAUCCAAAUCAGCCCCUUACGAAGCAACGCAUAAACUAGAGUUUUAGCUUCUGUCACUCUAGCAACCCAUCAUCUACUUACUACUUCCCAAUGCCUUCCUCAAGGCCCAAAUAAUGGUGAAGUGUUAUGUAGUCGACGUUCACAUAACACCACUAGAGGAAAAACAACAUACAACACAUCAAAAUAUCGAAUGAAUACCAAAUUCACAUGACUAUUUAUAGCAUGACUUAUCUCAUGUCCUCAGGAACAAAUGCAACUACUCACAAAGCAUAAUCAUAUUCAUCGCCAGAGAGGUAAUGAGUAGCAUCAAGGAUCUGAACAUAAACUCUUCCACCAAGUAAUCCAACUAGCAUCAACUACAAGAGUAAUUAACGCUACUAGCAACCUUACAAGUACCAAUCGGAGUCGCGAGACGGAGAUUGGUUACAAGUGAUGAACUAGGGUUUGGAGAUGAGAUGGUUUUGAUGAAGAUGUUGAUGUUGAUGAGUCCCCUCCGAUGAGAGGAGUGUUGGUGAUGACGAUGGAGAUGAUUUCCCCCUCUGGAGGGAAGUUUACCCGACAGGAUCGUCCUGCCGGAGCUCUAGAUUGGUUCUGCUCAAGUUCCGCCUCGGGGCGGCGGCAAAUCCACCGAAAAGCCUCCUCGUUUUUUUCCGGACGAAACCCUUCUUGUAGAAAAAGGGGGGAGCCAGAGGGCCAGUUGGGUGCCCACAAGCCCCCUAGGCGCAGCCACGGGGGUGGCCGCACCUAGCAGUCUUGUGGCCACCUGCUCGCACCCCUCUCGCACUUCUUCGGCCCAGUAUUUUUUAUAAAUACCAAAAAAAUCCUCGUUGAUUUUUACGGUGUUUGGAGUUGCGCAGAAUAGGUAUCUCAAACUUGCUCCACUUUCAGGCGAGAAUUCNNNNNNNNNNNNNNNNNNNNNNNNNNNNNNNNNNNNNNNNNNNNNNNNNNNNNNNNNNNNNNNNNNNNNNNNNNNNNNNNNNNNNNNNNNNNNNNNNNNNAAAGAAGAUUACAUCGGAUAGAUCUCCAUGAAGAUCAUGGAGAACUUUGUAUUGAAGAUCCAAGAGAGAGAAGAAGCCAUCUAGCUACUAACUACGGACCCGUAGGUCUGAAGUGAACUACUCACGAGUCAUUGGAGGGGCGAUGAUGAUGAUCAAGAAGCCCUCCAACUCCAAAGUCCCCUCCGGCAGGGCACCGGGAAGGGUCUCGAGAUGAGAUCUCGCGGAAACGGAAGCUUGCGGCGGCGGAAAAGUAUUUUCGUGGAUCCCUUUAUUUUUUUUUCUGAUUUUUAGGGAAUAUAUAGGCGCAAGAUCUAGGUCAGGGGGCGCCAGGGAGGCCACAAGCCUGCCCACCGCCGCCCCCCUGGUGGCGGAGUGAGGGCUUGUGGGCUCCGUGUAGCCCUCCUGGCUUGGCCCACAAGCCCCCUGAGCUUCUUUCGUUCGAGAAAAAAUCAUUUCGGGGAUUUUAUUCCGUUUGGACUCUGUUCCAAAAUCAGAUCUGAAAAGAGCCAAAAACACAGAAAAAAUAGGAACUGGCACUUGGCAAUGAAUUAACAAGUUAGUCCCAAAAAAAGAUAUAAAAGGUACAUAAAACAUCCAAAGAUGACAAGAUAGCAGCAUGAAACCAUCAAAAAUUAUAGAUACGUUCGAGACGUAUCAAGCAUCCCCAAGCUUAACUCCUGCUUGUCCUCGAGUAGGGAAGUUAUAAAGAAUGAUUUUUUGAUGCUUUCAUGCUACCUAGCAUAGAUGUCCUUUGUAACUCCUCUUAUGUGACGUGAAUGAUCAGAUCCAUUAGAUUCAAAACAAUAGUUUGCUAUUGACGUGGAAACAAUAAUAAUUCAAGCAAACUAGCAAGGUAAUCAUGAACUUUCAAAAUAACAAGGCCAAAAGAAAGUUAUCCCUACAAAAGCAUAUAGCCUGGCUAUGCUCUAUCAUCAUUGCACAACGAAUUUAAAUCAUGCACAAGCCCGGUAUUGGCCAAGUAAUUGUUUUCACACCUUUACUUUCUCAAACCUUUUCAAUGCUCACGCAAUACAUGAGCGUGAGCCAUGGUUUUAGCACUAUAAGUGGUGUGCAGUGUGGUGGAGGUUGCAAGACAAAAAGGAGAAGAUGGUCACAUUAACUAGGCAUAUCUAUGAGCUGUGCAGAUGCUCAUCAAUAGAUAUCAAUGUGAAUGAGUAGGGAUUGCCAUACAAAUGAUGCACUAGAGCUAAGAGUAUGUGAAAGCUCUUAAGGAAAACUAGUGGGUGUGCAUCCAACUUGCUUGCUCACGAAGACCUAAGGCAAUUUUGAGGAAGCCUAUGAUUGGAAUAUACAAGCCAAGUUAUAUAAUGAAAAUUUCCCACUAGCUAUUUGGUGGUGACAAAACGAGAAACUCUCAAUCAUGAAGAUCAUGGUGCUUAAUAUGCACAAGUGUGGAAAAAGUGGUAACAUUGUCCCUUCUCUCUUUUUCUCUCAUUUUUUUUGGUGGGCUCUUUGGCCUCUUUUUUUGGUGGGCUUAUUUGGCCUCUUUUAUUUACUCACAUGGGACAAUGCUCCAUCAAUGAUGAUCAUCACACUUACAACUCAAAACUUAGAGCAAUGAUGACUCUAUAUGGAAUGCCUUCGGUAGUGUACCGUGACAAUGAUCUAGCAUGGCAUAGACAUUAAUGGAAACAUCAUGCUAGCUAUCUUAUGAUCAUGCAAUGGCAAUGUAGACAUGGUGGCACAUGUCAUGGUGGUAGUUGCAUGGCAAUAUAUCUCGGAAUGACUUUGAAAAAGCCAUAGUAGGUAGGUAUGGUGGCUAUUUUGAGGGAGGCUAAUGGUGGGUUUUGUGCACCGGCGAAAGUUGCACGGCACUAAGAAGAUAGUGAUGGUGGAAGGUGGAAGUGCAUAUAAACCAUGGACUCGACAUUAGUCAUGAAGAACUCAUAUACUUGUUGCAGAAGUUUUAUUAGUAAUCGAAACAAAGCAUUCAAUGCAUACUCCUAGGGGAAGGGUUGGUAGGUAUAAACCAUCGCGGGAUCCCGACCGCCACGCAAAGGAUGACAAUCAAUAGACUAAUCAUGCUCAGAUUUCAUCACAUAGCGGUUCACCAUACCUGCAUGCUACGUGAAUCACUAACUUCAACACAAGUAUUUCUAGAUCCACAACACCUUACUAGCAUAACUUCAAAAUUACCAUAACCACAACUCAAAACUAAUUGAGAUGAAUCAAACUUCUCUAACUAUUCAAUGCACAUGAAGGUGGAAGUUUUCGUAUCCCUUUGGAUAACUACCCCUUUUGAGACUACUUUCAAAGCAUAGAUCAACUACCAAGCCAUGCACCGCUGUGCACUAAAAUAUAUAAGUGAAGCACAUAGAGCAAAAGUAUCUAGCUCAAAAGAUAUAAGUGAAGCACAUGUGAGCUGAAUUGUCUACCAAAAGAUAUAAGUGAAGCUCGACAAAAUCACGGUGAGUGCAUGUAUAUCUCUCUAGGUGUGCAGCAAGGAUGAUUGUGACACAACAAAAAUAAAAGACUCCUACGAUACAAGACGCUCCAAGCAAAAACACAUAACAUGUGGUGAAUAAAAAUAUAGCCCCAAGUAACGUUAUCGAUGGAUUGAAGACGAGAGAGGGGAUGCCUUCCCGGGGCAUCCCCAAGCUUAGGCUUUUACGGCAUACUUGAAUCUCUUGGGGUGCCUUGGGCAUCCCCAAGCUUGAGAUCUUGCAACUCUUUAUAUUUUUGUUCAUAAGAACUUCACCCAAAACUUGAAAACUUCACAACACGAAACUUAAACAGAAACUCGUGAUAACAUUAAUAUGAGAAAGCAAACCACCACUUCCUUAGGUACUGUAGCAAACUUAAAUUCUAUUUAUGCUGAUGUUGGGUUACUGUAUUUUCAAUCUUCCAUGGCUAAUACCCUCCGAUACUAUCCAUAGUCUCAUCAAAAUAAGCAACCAACACAACAAAAACAGAAUCUGUUAACAGCAGACCAGUCUGUAGCAAUCUGUAUAUUUCGUAUACUUCUGGUACUCCAAAAAUUCUGAACAAUUACGAAACUCUGAAGAAUUUGCGUAGCAAUCAGCAGCAAAAAGAAUCAACUCAAAAGCUCUUACAGAAACAAAAUGAAAAUUCUUUUCGUGAGCCAAAAGUUUCUGUCUUUUCCAGCAUGACCAAACGAUCAUCCCCAAGACUAAUCAUAACGGUUUUGCUUGGCACAAACACAAAAAGAAACACAAAAAACACAAUCAUAACAGAAUUAUCAAAGUGUGGAAAACACAAAACAGAAAGAAAAAGGAUAGAUUCGUUGGGUUGCCUCCCAACAAGCGCUUUUGUUUAACGCCCUUAGCUAGGCAAAAGGUGAUGGAAUCACGUAUAGUCAUCUUUGGUGCUCAAACCAUAAGUAGUGUGAUCAUUUAUCAUCUUAAGAUCUUAAUCUUUAUUGGAUUACUCACCACUAGCUUUAGGAACAAAAACAGACUUGACGGUCUUUUUGAGAGUGAGAUUUGGAGUAUUUUGCACAGUGCCAAAAGCGGAACCCAAGUUGUAUAUGACAUCUUCUAAUUUGCCAAUUCUAGAAGAAUCAUUAACUAUAAGUUCCUUCUCCCUUAGAUUUUUCAAAAAAAAUCCCACUUUGGAUCCGUACUGAGUAAUUUGAUUGUUGAUCUUUCUAUCCAAACCCUCAAUAAGUUCAACUAUGGCAAUUUUUUUUUCAAUAGCGUCAAGCCUUUGCAUCACGUGUUCCAAGGUCAAGGUAGUUCCAUUAACCAUGAGCGGGGGUGAGCCUACCAAAUUCAUGAUAGCUCUAUAGGAGUCAACAGUAUGGCUCCCCAAAAAAUUCCCUGCCUACAAUGGUAUGAAGGAUAUACCUAUUCCAAGGAGAAAUUCCAACAUAAAAACUUCGAAGAAGAACAGUAGUGGAUUGCUUACGAGUAGAUCUACUUUGAGCAUUGCAAAUCCUGUACCAAGCGUCCUUUAAAUUUUCUUCCUCAUUCUGCGUGAAAUUGAGAACUUCAUUCUCAGGGGUAUCGUUUGGAGUGGUGGGUCUAGCCAUUGAUGGACUAUCUCACACACAAACGAGCAGGAAGAGAGAGUGAACGGGCAAAAUAAAACGGCAAAGGAGAAAGGCAAAUGAAAACGGCAAAUGUGAAGUGGGGGAGAGGAAAACGAGAGGCAACUGGCAAAAAAGUAAAUGCGAGAGAUGAGUUUGUGAGACCUACUUGGAUAGAUCUCUCCUUCCCCGGCAACGGCGCUAGAAAUAUUUCUGCUACUGCAACAAAAGACCUACCAACGGCACCAGAAAUAGGUGUGUCGAUGGCACCAGGAAUCCUUCUGCUACGGCUACGCCUUAAGGGACUUCCUAGGAAAAUAUGCAAAGGAUUUCCCCCGUGGCCAUGGAGCCUUGCGUUGCUGUUCCCUCGAAGCGGAAAGGAUGAUGUAGCGCAGCGGUGGUAAGUAUUUCCCUCAGUUUGAGAACCAAGGUAUCGAUCCAGUGAAGGAGUAUCACAAGAGCCUGCACAAACACAAAAGCUUGCUCCCAACGCUAUGAAGGGGUUGUCAAUCCCUUAUAGAUUGUUUGCCAAGUGAGAACUGAAAGAAACAAAGUAACAAAGCAAAGUAAAAGCGAAAGUGGAAACGAUAGGUGUGAAUAGACCCGGGGACCGUAGUGUUUACAAGUGGCUUCUCUCAUGAAAGCAAGUAGACGGUGGGUGAACAAAUUACUGUCGAGCAAUUGAUAGAACCGCGCAAAGUCGUGAUGUCAUCUAUGGCAAUGAUUAUAUCUAUAGGCAUCACGUCCAAAACAAGUAGACCGAUACUNNNNNNNNNNNNNNNNNNNNNNNNNNNNNNNNNNNNNNNNNNNNNNNNNNNNNNNNNNNNNNNNNNNNNNNNNNNNNNNNNNNNNNNNNNNNNNNNNNNNUAGGGCGAAUUCCUUGAAAUCCAUGGUAGUAAUUUCAUUACUACUCAAAGUUUUAACGUCUUCUACUCCAGUUUUAAUGCUUUUAGCAUCAAGAUAGAUGGACUCCGAAUCAUUGGGGCACUUUUCAACCAAAGUGGAUUCAUAUCCAGCCCCAUAAUCAUUAGGUUUUACACAAUAAAACAAAGAUUCAAUGGGAGUCACACCAAGCAUUUUAAGAUCUUCGUGAUUCUCAUCACGAGAACACGCCUUUUUAAGCCAUUCAUGUCUAGCACGAAUUUGGGCGGUUCUUUCUUGGCUCUCAAUCAUGGAAACACGCAUAGCUUUCAAAGUUUCAUCCAUGUUGAUUUUGGGAGGAGCACAUCUAACUUUAAAAGCAUCAACAUCACAAGAAAUCCUAUCAACGCUCUUAGCCAAAUCGUCAAUUUUGAGUAGUUUUUCCUCUAUGCACGCAUUGAAAAUCUUUGAGAGUUGAUGAACUCUUUGAUAUUACUCUCUAGAUUAGAGGGUAAUCUAUUGUAAUUUCCAUGGGUAUUAUUGUAGGAUUUGCCAAAGUUAUUAGAGGAGUUACUAGGAAAAGGCCUAGGAACAUAGUUGCCAAAGUUAUUCCUACCAACAAAAUUAACGUCCAAGCUAGCAUUGCUACUCUCAAUCAAAGAAGACAAAGGCAAAUCAUUAGGAUCCAAAGGAGCACUUCUACUAGCAACCAAAUUCAUUAACUCAUCCAUCUUAGCACUCAACGAGUUAAUUUCCUCUAUAGCGUGCACCUUCUUACUAGUAGGUGACCUUUUAGUGUGCCACUGAGAGUAGUUCAUCAUGAUGUUGUCUAAGAGCUUUGUGGCUUCUCCUAAGGUGAUUUCCAUGAACGUUCCACCUCAGGCGGAGUCCAAGAUAUUUCUAGAAGCGAAAUUCAAGCAAGAAUAAAAGAUUUGAAAAAUCAUCCAAAGGCUCAAGCCAUGAGCGGGACAAUUUCUAAUCAUUAAUUUCAUUAUCUCCCAAGCUUGUGCAACAUGCUCAUGAUCAAGUUGUUUGAAAUUCAUGAUAUGAUUACGGAGAGAGAUGAUCUUAGCCGGCGGAAAAUACUUGGAUAUAUAAGCAUCUUUGCACUUAUCCCAAGAAUCGAUACUAUUUUUGGGCAAAGAAGAAAACCAAGUUUUUGCGCGAUCUCGCAACGAGAAAGGAAAAAAGCUUCAAUUUAAUCACGUCAUUAUCCACAUCUCUUUUCUUUUGCAUAUCGCAAAUCUCAAUGAAGGUAUUGAGAUGGGAUGCAGCAUCUUCACUAGGAAGGCCAAAGAAUUGCUCUUUCAUAGCAAGAUUCAGCAAAGCGGCAUUGAUUUCGUAUGACUCCGCACUAGUGGCGGGAGCAAUCGGAGUACUAAUAAAAUCAUUAUUAUUAGUAUUCGAGAAGUCACAAAGCUUGGUGUUUUCGUUCAUGGUGACUUCAGCAAGCAAUCAAGGACACGAGCAAACAAAAAACAGGCGAGAAAACGGACGAACGAAAAAGGCAAAUUGGUGAAGUGGGGGAGAGGAAAACGAGAGGCAACUGGCAAACAAAGUAAAUACAAGAAAUGAGUUUGCGACACUUACUUGGAUGAGUUCUUGACUUGAUCUUCCUCCCUGGCAACGGCGCCAGAAAUCCUUCUACUACUUCUCAAACAACAGCGCCAGGAAUUGACACGUUGACGGAGAUUGGGCUUGCGUUGGUUUUUCCCUUGAAGAGGAAAGAGUGAUGCACCACAGGAGCAGUAAGUAUUUCCCUCAGUUUGAGAACCAAGGUAUCGAUCCAGAAGGAGGGUCUCGUCAAGUCUAGAGUACCUGCGCAAACANNNNNNNNNNNNNNNNNNNNNNNNNNNNNNNNNNNNNNNNNNNNNNNNNNNNNNNNNNNNNNNNNNNNNNNNNNNNNNNNNNNNNNNNNNNNNNNNNNNNNNNNNNNNNNNNNNNNNNNNNNNNNNNNNNNNNNNNNNNNNNNNNNNNNNNNNNNNNNNNNNNNNNNNNNNNNNNNNNNNNNNNNNNNNNNNNNNNNNNNNNNNNUGAAGGCGGAAAGUGCAACGAAGUAAAAAGUGUAAGGCUGAAAAUAUGAUGUGGAGUAUACCCUGGGGGCCAUAGUGUUCACUAGAGGCUUCUCUCAAAAUAGCAAAUAUUACGGUGGGUGAACAAAUUACUGUCGAGCAAUUGAUAGAACCGUGCAAAGUCAUGACGACAUCUAAGGCAAUGAUCUAGCAUAUAGGCAUCACGUCUGAGACAAGUAGACCGAUACUUUCUGCAUCUACUACUAUUACUCCACACAUCGACCAAUAUCCAGCAUGCAUCUAGUGUAUUGAGUUCAUGACGAACAGAGUAACACUUUAAGCAAGAUGACAUGAUGUAGAGGGAUAAUCUCAAACCAAUGAUGAAAACCCCAUCUUUUUACCCUUGAUGGCAACAACACGAUACGUGCCUCACUGCCCCUUCUGUCACUGGGUGAGGUCACCGCACGAUAUGAACCCAAAACCAAGCACUUCUCCCAUUGCAAGAAUCAUAGAUCUAGUUGGCCAAACAAAACCCACAACUCGAAGAGAAUUACAAGGAUAUGAAAUCAUGCAUAAGAGAGAUCAGAAGAAACUCAAAUAAGAUUCAUAGAUAAUCUGAUCAUAAAUCCACAAUUCAUCGGAUCUCGGCAAACACACCGCAAAAGAAGAUUACAUCGGAUAGAUCUCCAUGAAGAUCAUGGAGAACUUUGUAUUGAAGAUCCAAGAGAGAGAAGAAGCCAUCUAUUUACUAGCUAUGGACCCGUAGGUCUAUGGUGAACUACUCACGCAUCAUCGGAGAGGUCAUGGUGUUGAUGAAGAAGCCCUCCAUGUACGAAUCCCCCUCCGGCAGGGCACCAGGACGUGCCCCAGAUGGGAUCUUGCGGAGACAGAAGCUUGCGGCGACGGAAAAGUAAUUGCGACCGUCCUCUGAUUUUUUGGGGAAUAUUUGGGAAUUUAUAGGCGCAAGAUCUAGGUCAGGGGACCUCCAGGGGGCCCACAAGCCUGCAUGGCGCGGCCCCCGUGGCAGCGGGGUGGGGGCUUGUGGGGCCCGUGGGGCUCUUCUAGCUUGGCCCCCAAGCUCUCCGAUCUUCUUCCGCUCCAGAAAAAAUCUUUUCGGGGAUUUUCUUCCGUUUGGACUCCGUUUCAAAAUCUCCUCUGAAAGGGGUCAAAAACAUGGAAAAAACAGGAACUGGCACAUGGCACUGAAUUAAUAAGUUAGUCCGAGAAAAUGAAUAAAAGGCAUGCAAAACAUCCAAAGUUUGACAAGAUAAUAGCAUGAAACCAUCAAUAAUUAUAGAUACGUUGGAGACGUAUCAUGCCACAGUUUCAAUUCUAGCAUAGGUCACAAUAGUAUCAUGAUUAAUUUCUAAAGUAGAAUCAUCAAGUUCAUGUGACAUAUGAGGACGAUCAACAGAUGGUGGUGUAACAAGCUGGUUCAAAAUAGUAGGUGAAUCAAAAGUAGAGCUAGAUGGCAGUUCCUUACCUCGUCUCGUGCGAGAGGGGAUGAUCUUAGUUCGAUUAUCUUUCAGAUUCUUCAUAGUGGCAAUUGGAUACCCUCAAGUCAACACAAUAAAUAAAGUUAUGUUCCCCAGCAAUGGCACCAAAAAAGGUCUUGAUAACCCACAAGUAUAGGGGAUCGCGAUAGUCUACACAGUUAGUAUUUCACCCAAAUUUAUUGAUUAGACACAAGGUGAGCCAAAGAAUAUUUAUUGACUGAAACAGUUGAGUUGUAAAUUAAACCGCACUUGGGAUAUCUCUAUGCAACAAGGAUUUAGUAGCACAAUAAAUGAUAGUAGUAACACUAACAGUAAUAGCAGCAAUCUUGGUAACAGUAGUAAAAGUAGCAAUUGAGUAGCAGGUGUGAGAGGAGCAGCAACAGUAGUAACUUAGCAAGAUUCAAUAUAUGUAAAACAUAGGCAUGUGGAUCAGCAGUGGAUAGUGAGUUAUAUGACAUUAAUCAUAUAACAGUUACACAGUAGGGCGACACACAGUGGCGAUUCUACUGGGCAGACUUCAACAAGCUGAAGCCUGCCCUCCGAAAUUAAAAUCCAGCCCAUCCUAGCCCAUCUUAGCCUAGUUUCAUCCCAUCUUAUUCUAGAUUCAGCCCUUGUACUAAAGUUGGGCCUGCCCUUCAAAUUCGUCCUAAAUUCGCCACCGGCGACACAGAACUAGCUCCAAUCCAUCAAUAUAAUGUAGGCAUGUAUUCCGUAUAUAGUCAUACGUGCUUGCGAUAAGAACUUGCAUGACAUAUUUUGUCAUACCCUCCGUGGUAGCGGGGUCCUAUUGGAAACUUAGGGAUAUUAAGGGCUCCUUUUAAUAGAGAACCGGAACACAUCAUUAACACAUGGUGAAUAAAUGAACCCCUCAAACUACGACAAUCACCGAAAAGAAUCCCAAUUAUUGCCACCUUGGGGUAUGGGGAUCAAGACACGUAAUAAGUAACUACAACUUGCAAGAUAGGAUCCAAAUCACUCUCAUAUUCAUGAAAAUAUAAUAGGUCCAUAUAUGAGAUCAUGGCACUCUGGCCCUAGUGACAAGCAUUAAGCAUAGCAAAGUCAUAGUAACAUCAAUCUCAGAACAUAGUGGAUACUAGGGAUCAAGCCCUAUCAAACUUAACUCGAUUACAUGAUCAAUCUCAUCCAAUCCACCACUAUCUAACAAGCCUACACAUGAAUUACUCACUCCCGGUGGUGAGCAUCGUAGUGGUGUUGAUGGAGAAGGGUUGGUGAUGACGAUGGUGACGUAUCCCCCUCUCCCCAGCUCCAAACGGACUCCAGAUCAGCCCUUCGGAGGAAGAACAUGAGGAGGUGGCGGCUCUGUCUCGUAAAACGCGAUGAAAACUUCUCCCUGAUUCUUCUCUCUCUAAAUAUGGGAAUUCAUAGGACUAAAAUUAAGGUCGAAGGAGCCAUGUGGGCCCCACAAGCCAUCAAGGCGCGACAUGGGGGCACCGUGUUGGUUUGUGUCCCAUGGCAGUGUUUCUUCGGUAGCUCUCCGCUCCAUAAAUCCUUAUAAAUCAUAGAAAUGAUUCAAAACAAGUUUCAUCCGAUUCCGAGAACUUUUAUUUCUGAACAAAAAUAACACCAAGGUAGUUGUGCUGAAAAUAGUGUCGGUGUGUGUUAGCUUCAUUCAAAUCAUGCAAAAUAGAGGUCAAAACCAGAGCAAAAGUGUUUGGGAAAGUAGAUAUGUUGGAGAAGUAUCAAUGUUCACUUCCUUGGAGGGAAGCUACAUCACCAUUUAGAGAGGUGGAUGUUACCACGAAGGCUCACCCUAUUCUUUCCUUGAGACAACACCAUGAAGGCGUUUCUCAACCACUAGUGGUAGACCUUGGAGUGGUCUCCAUACCCUCACAAACUUUCCUAGGGUAAUCACAAUGGUUGAGUCCUCGCCGAAGAACUUCUAUCGCCUAGGAGCCUCCAACCUCCAAGAAUAACAAGAACGAUGUGGAAAAGCUCAAGACUUGCUCAAAUCACAAAUUCCUUUGGUCAAGAAAAGGGGAAUGAGUGGAUCUAUUACUUGAUUGGAGAGCUUAUCACAAAUACUCUCAAAUGCCUUUGGGAUCUUGGAUUUGGUGUAUGAGAAUGCGUGAGAGAAAGAUAUGUGUUCUAGGGUUAGCUCAAAGUGAAUUGCUAACCUUAUCUUGAUGUAGGAGAGAGCUAUAUAUAGUUGUGGUGAUGAAAUGGCUGUUGUGGAGUAAGUUAUUGGCACUCGCCAGACAUCCGCGCCAUGGGUCGGACAUCGGAGUAAAGAUAAUAAUACACGCUAUACACAUAGCGAGAGAGGAAAGCAGGGGAGCCGCACAUUCGAGGGUGGCCUAGACAUCCGGGGCCACUUGUGAAGACCCGGACAUCCGAAUUAUGCCUGGACAUCUCGCAUAGUAGUCCAUGGGGACAAGCACGGGAUUGGCAUUAUGCAGAUCAGAAUUCUGGCAGGAGGCUCGGAUAUCCGGGGGCCCGGACAUCUAGCGGGGUGCCGGACAUCCGGCCCAUAUGUGGUUAAAAUGGAUGCUCUCUGGAUAGCAGGGGGGCCAGACAUACGAGAUACUGCACAGAAAUCUGACGACUGUUUGAACGCCCAGACAUCUGACACAGGGGCCGGACAUUCGGCCAUCACAGGCUAACAUCACUUUGCAGUGUAUAUUUGGUGUAAUCUAGAAGAAGAAAGGUGUUUGAAUUGACUUGAGCACGUAUUUUACUGACCCAAUCGAUCCCCUCUUGGUAGUUUGGGAUCCCUAUACUCAAGAACAAAAUAAAGCGAGAUACGCAAACCUCUUUGUUCCUUCCUUCUGAAAUCAUAUUAAUUCCACGCGUCCAUGAUCCAUGCCUAUUGUCAUUUGAGGACUAAUACCUGAGAUGUACUUGAUAAACACCAUUAGUCCUCUACAUGUACAUUGUCAUCAACAUCAAUAUAUAAUAUAAGGACAUGAUUGCACUUUCAGUUCCCACACAAUUGUAUGCACCAGUGAUGUGAAUGCAUGCGGCCUUACACGUCGGUCCCAUGCGUUAGCACCGGUGGUGCGAACGCGUGUGGCCUUACAUGUCGGUCCCACGCGUCAGCACCAACGAUGCGAACACAUGCAGACAUGCGGCCUUACAUGUCGGUCCCAUGCAUCAGCACCGACGUAGUGAUGGUCAAAGGCUUUGACCUGAUGGCAAAGCACCGUUUGUCCUCUCGUGAAGCGCUGACGAGUGGAGGAGGGGAAAAGUGAGCAUCGUGAGUUGGGUGGGGCAAAACUGAGCUGAAUUAAGAAAGGAAGGGCACGAAAAUAGAAAUCCCAAUACAAUAUUAUUACCUCUAGGGCAUAUUUCCAACAACAUGAACUAUGACGGUCUUUUUUGUGUGUUGACAAGUUUGCUUUUCUAGGAUGGCUUGUAUGCCGACUGUUGUCAUGUAUGAUGAGAAGAACUAUGACUGUUGACCCUUAAUUUAAAUUAAAUUUGCUUGCGAAAAAUCUUGACAUGUUGACCCUAAAUUUAAAUUAAAUUUGCUUACGAAAAACCUUGACAUGUGGACGAAAUACGUGGGCCGAUUGAACGCACUAGUCAAAUUUGGACGGACCCGCCGAGUGCGCCUCCAGCCGAAUUAAACGAACAAAAAUGGAUAAAAGCCGUGUUCUCUUACAUCAACGCGUUCGGUUGCCCUUAGAGCAUCUCUAGCAGAUUCCGUAAAAACGAUCAAACCUUCCUAUUUACGAUAAAAUCCGAAAAAGCCUCAAAUAGAUCCUUUAAAAUAGCAUAUCUCGUAUUUUUUUCCAGGCUCUCCUAUAUUCGAGCUCCCAUCCAUCAUAUACGGAGGAUUUCAACCGUUUUUGGAGGAUCUUAUCAAGCCGGUCAGCCGGAGAAGGGGCCUUGCGAUGCCGUGCACAAGUAGCAAGUAGGCGGAGGAGCUCGCCUUCGACGGAGCGGAGCAUCGUCGGAUGAUGAAGACAUGGCUAUCUUGGGUAUGAUCGCAAAUAUUGUAUAUGCAUAUUUAUUUGAGUUGAUUUCCGAUAAAAGUUAUGCAAUAAAUUAUUUAUGCUAUACAUAAUAAAAGUACCUGAUCUCUUUUUAUUUCAUGCCUAAUUGUAGAAGUUCAAGACACUUGUACAAUCCACAUAUGAAGAUAAAGAAAAAAGGACAUUUAGGUGUUAUUCAAGAAGUUCUCUCACGUUAUUUUUAGCCCAAGAAAAAAUAUAGUUCAAGUCUUUCACGUUCUGGACUCAGAUUCGAAUUACACAGACAUACCUGUAUCAAAAUGAUAAGAACUUUUGCAUGUGAUCUUCAAAUUGGGUGAUUCUUUUUUUGUUGGAAAGUAGAUUUCAUGUGAUUUCCAACCCAAUUGGAUUCAUCUUCAAAAUCGUCAAAAGCGUGUAUAUAUUGACGAAACAAUCUGACACUGCAGCAGAAUCCAAGUCAAACUAUAAGUCUAAACGUGUUGCAUCAUCUCCGCUUGGGCCCAUGAGCCUUGUACGACAUAGGCUUAGUUUUAGACUGCCUUAGGACGUCCUCCCACCUCCUUGUCCACCAUUACUUGCUUCUAUAUAAGUAGAUCAAUCUAGUAGCUUUUUGUUGGAUUUGUUUAGUUUAAAGUUAGUCAUUGCAACUUUGUGUAUUUUGUUUGUGUCCAACGACCACACCAAGACCGCCUUCGGAUCCUCACCUUUAUCAAUACUUCAUCCACAUUCGCAAUAUUCAUAUUGUUUUUAUUAUAUUCCUGUUUGGUCUUUGAUUGCUUGUAUGAAUACAUCUUCGUGGUCAGAUUGGUCGUGCUCCGCCGUGGUUAAUAAACUAUUGAAGUUAAUUUAGCAAUUACUAAGACGCAACAUCGUACACGUUUGUUGUCGGAUCGUCAAAAUCGUGUCCAUCAAAUCGAUAGUUAUCAUCUCAUCGAAAGAUCAGACCCUGCCUCUGUCACGACAGCCCUGCACGGCGGGCCGGAACAUCGCGAGAGCGUCAUCACAGCCUCGCCGGAGCACGCAACGGGCCACAUGAGGCGACAGGCUGGAGCGAUGCCGUUGUGGCCGACCGGAGUUCGAAUUCGUCUCUCCGUGCAUCCCAGAGAAAAAGAAACGUGAGAAAAAAAAAUAACGAUAACAAAUUUACGAGAUCUAUUUCGUUCGAUGUUUUGUUUCAGGCCUUUUUUACUGGAUCUGAGAUGCUCUUAACCAACCAAGGCCGAAUCAAACGUGUACUCACUGAGAGUGUGGCCCCAAAAAUCCCCGCACCUCCGCGGCCUGGCCUCUUCACUUCACCGCAGGGUGGGCCCAUUCAACCCGCGCUCCUAGUCGCUGGCUAGAAUUUUUACACGCCACGAGGUCGGGACUCAACCGGCGGCCGCAAAAUCAAAAACCUCGUGCGCCCCACGCCCCACCGCACCCGCGACCACCCAGCGAGCGAGCUUGCUUUCAAAUCCCCCGCCUCUGCUUCUCAGUCCCUCCCCGUCUCCAAAUUUUCGGCGAAAUUUUCCAUCCCCCCACCCGAGCUUACCUUCCCUUCCCCCGUCGCUCUCAGCCGCGCAGCGCCAGCUAGGGUUGGGAUCGAUUUGGGGCCUAGGGUUAGGUUAGGUUAGGUUUCCCCAUGGCGGCGGCGGCGGAGGGGUCCUCCGGGGCAGAGGGCCGCGGCGGGCGGCGGCAGCAGCAGGGGCUGGCGGAGCGCCGGAUGCUCCGCUCCCAGUACCUCGCCAUGAAGAGCCUUAUCAACGGUACGCCCCUCCUGUUCGGGUUCCUUUUCUGCUGUUCCGUUUCGGGGGUUGGGCGCGGUGCGAUUCUGAGUUGUCUUGUGUGUGUGUGGUGCAGAGGAGAAGGAUGACAUGGCCAAGGAGGACUCCGACAAGUUCGCUUCCAUCAUCACGCAGGUGGAGAGCUUGCACGAGCAAGGUAAGACCACGAAUAAUCAUACCAUCUUGCUCUUGCGACCCGCGAUUUCCCCCCCUCUCACAGAUGGGUGAUUUGGGGACUAUAAACUUAAAAAGAGCCCCGGCCCUCUCGACUGUGUCUAUCAGUCUGUCAAAGUCACCCACAAUGUACAAAUAAUCUUCAACAAGUGAAACCGUUCUAAAUGAUGGAUUCAGACGGACUUAGAAACUACUGGAAGUAAACUGCUCUAAAAACCAAAUAUGUCUAGGGGACAUCGCUAUAAGUGAACCAUUGAGCAAAUGACAUCAACUUAUGUUCAUGUAGCUUUGGCGCAUCUUGUAGAAUGUGCAUCAUGAUCAUAAGCAUGCUUUCAAGCCAUGUUCGUAGUUCUACCUUGUUUAAUUUUACAAUCUUUUUGAAGUAUUCUGCAUUUCUGAAUCAUACGGUGGAAUGGAGCACUAUAGUAGUAUGCAUCAUAAAUAGACUGCAGGUCGUUCCUUUUUUUUUUUUUUUGAACCAGCAGGAGCUCUGCCUUUUUCAUAUAGAAGAAGAAUUGGUCAGUUAAUAAGGAAAACUGGCCGAAAACCGAACUGCAGGUCGUUCUUGCAUGUUCAUGUGGAACACGUUUCGAUCAUGUCACUCAAUGCGUGGCUGUUUGUCUGCAAGAUUGCAUUUUCAGACAAACGUGGGCGAGUAUUGCCAUGCCUUGAGCUCACGGUGGCAUGUCAAAAUAUUUGCUAAAUGGGUGUUGCCGAGGAAUUUUGGAUUUUUUUUCAAGGUUAGAUGGAAUCCGAAGGAUUUCUAUAGCUAAAAUCCAAAUCUCCUGUUCUACUGGAACAAACCCUUACAUAAAAUAAGAUGUCUAUUAUUCUCUAUAUUUCAUAUUGGUUGGAGCUUUGAAGUAUUGAUGCUAUAUAGAAAACACAAAAUGAGAUGUCCUUCCACACUGCAGUGCAGAGACCCAGGGAGCAAGUAGCGGAUGCAGAGGCUCUGCUGGACAUUACAACCACGUUUGUAAAAUCUGUGAGGUCCCAGUCAAGUGAAGGAAUCACACCUUCUGAUUUCGUAACAGCAUUGCUGAAGAAAUUUGGGCAGCAAGCAACCCUUGAUUCUGAGCCUGUCUCAUUGCGCUGGGUUGAUGUUGGGCUUUCUGCUUCACAUGUCUUCAGGGCUGCGCCUGGAUGCUGCACCAUGUAAUUAAGCUCCUUAUUAGUUCUCAACAUUUCUUUGCAGUGCGUACUUGGUAUAUGAGUUAAACCAUGCAUGCUCUUAAUCCUUGCAGGCUUGGACCCAUGGAUACAGAAGUAAAGCAGCGUAAGCUUUCAGUUGUUAAUAGAAAAAGAAGUGCCAGGCCAACUGAAAAUACUUGUCCUGAAGAGGUAUUCACAUGCUUUUGUCUAUCAUAAUUAAUAAAACACUAGAGAUUAAUUACACCCAUCUGUAUAUUUCUCCCAUGAUUUGUCUUCCGAUCUGUUUGCCUUCUGUUGUUGAUAGGUGACAUAGUGUGAAAAAUCUUUGGUUACUGUUGUGUAAAUCUUAGUUAAUUCCAUGCUUAAAGUUACCAAUCACCUUUUGUUUUUUUGAAAGACACAUCUUAGGCAGUACCAUUCAUAUGUUUGCUAUCUUCUGUAGCCGCUAUCGAGUUUCUGGGUUGCUAGCUAGACUUCUUCCCUGCCAUAGCAUUGUUAAAUGUAUGAUCACUUUCGACAGUGGAUUCAUAUCAUCUCCUUAAUGUGCAGCUUGCUGAUUCUUCAGAGGGAUCAAAGACAGACACUGACCGGAAUGUGACUGUUGUAUUUGAUAUCCUGAGGAAAAAUAAGCGUGCAAGGCUGGAGACCCUUGUUUUGAACAGGCAAUCAUUUGCCCAAACGGUUGAGAAUGUUUUUGCACUGUCUUUCCUAGUUAAAGAUGGCAGGGUGGCAAUAAACAUUGAUGAUAAUGGGCACCAUAUAGUCUGUAAGGAUUUCUCGUACGGUUUCAUUUGUUCUUUAAUAGUACCACAGAGAUGUUUGUGUAUCUUAUAUAAUUCUGUUGGCCUUGCGCAGAUCCACGAAAUGCGCCUGCUGCUAGUGCCAUAGCGUCAGGAGAAGUGUCCUAUAGCCAUUUUGUUUUCAGAUAUGAUUACAGAGAUUGGAAGGUACAGUUUCUGAUCAUAGAACUAUCCUACGGCCUUUCAAUAUUUGACCUGGAUAAUCGACCUCAUUAUUCAUAGUGCAUUCAUGCAAGAGCAGUAAAAAGGUGCAUUAACUUCUGUGAAUAGUUUGGUGCUGCUGCUUUUGUAAUGAUCCCUAGAUUAAAUCAUAGGGUAGAUCAGAGUAGGCUUGGGAAGGAAGAGCAAAUCGUAACGGCAGUGGAGGCAGCAGGAGAUAAGAACUAGCACAUGGUUGGUUUAUCAUAGAUGAGUGCGCAUCCUCUCUUAUAGAAGGAUGUAUAACAUGGUCCGUAAGGAUCUAAAUCCUAACUUCCCCGUAAAAAAGAAAGGAUCUAAUCCUAACUUUCCAAUCUAAUCAGAUUGUAUCCCUUGCUUGAAUGACUAGGGCUGGCUGCCCCCUUACUAGAUGGUCCAUNNNNNNNNNNNNNNNNNNNNNNNNNNNNNNNNNNNNNNNNNNNNNNNNNNNNNNNNNNNNNNNNNNNNNNNNNNNNNNNNNNNNNNNNNNNNNNNNNNNNNNNNNNNNNNNNNNNNNNNNNNNNNNNNNNNNNNNNNNNNNNNNNNNNNNNNNNNNNNNNNNNNNNNNNNNNNNNNNNNNNNNNNNNNNNNNNNNNNNNNNNNNNNNNNNNNNNNNNNNNNNNNNNNNNNNNNNNNNNNNNNNNNNNNUGUCUUUGAUCCAUCAGCUUAGCAUCCUUUAUUUAGUUGGCAACAGAAAUCAUCUUGACCCCAACUUAGGAAGAAAUGACUCUGUUUGCAUCUUCCUCUGAAUUGGCUCCUAUACUUGUUUAACCAGUUACUCAUUUUACUCAUUUUUUCUUUCCACUCCCCCUUUGCGGGCAAGAUAAAAACAUACAAUAUGAGAAUUCAUCAGAUGCCGUAGGAGAUUUUAAUCUCUCAAAUAAUCUGACCUUUCCUGUGUGUUUUACCUGUUGUUAGCUCAUGAAAGAAGUCGUUGCUGAAGGGGAAGAACUGAUGCCGCACAGGACCGCGCACAGCCUCUCUGCUGAAGAGCGAGAACAGCUGGAGCCAUGUGCGCAACGAACACCGAUAAGGAAACUUUGCCGGAACCGAGGUUUGGUUCUUCAGGAGCAGAUGGUUGUUGCUGAGACACCCGAGGAGGACAGAAGCUCCAAACGCAAGCGUCUAUUCAUAGAUCAGGAGUGAUCAGG
rnacentral:lncRNA from 1 species